rnacentral:lncRNA from 1 species
GACCUGAUUUAAGACCCACUGGUUCUGAAUUCCACUCAAUGCUUGUUAUACAUUCGCUUAAGCAUGGAGAGGAAGCUGAUGAUGAUUCUGUUGAAGGUUCUCAUACGCUAACUGCCAAUAAUUUUGAUAGCUAUUCACAUGAGUAAGUGAGCCUUCUCUGAACCACAACUUAUAAUUUUUAUUUUCAAUUCUGUGAUCACAAUAUUUCUCUGCUAUGUGGCAAUUGCAAUGAUGCCUUCUUUGAUUUGUAUUAUAUUUCCUUUCCAGGUAUCCUAUUUUAGCUGUCAAUUUUUAUGAUCCAUGGUGCUACUGGAGUAAAUGCCUGGUAUUUUUAUUUUCACCUUUUGUUUCUCAAAUUUUGUCUUGUUGCUUUUUGAUUAUUGUUGUCUAGAUUUACCUUAUUGGAUCUAUUCUUUCUCAUGUUUGUGUUGAUGUAAUUGCCAGAUAUAAUAUUUUAAAUUUAUUCACUUGGAUGUCAUGUUUGUGCCUGCUCAUAUGCACACAUAUUAAGUUGAUUAACUCCAUUGCUCUGUGCGUCCACUGACAGUUGCACACAAAUUCCUUCAUUACUUUGGUUAACUCCAUUGGUCUCUGUGUUUGUGUUGAACUUUCCAUGCCUGUUAUACAACCAAGCAUGGGUUUUCUUUUGUUUGUUUGACUGUAUUGUUAGACUUCCCCUCAUGAUGUUGUUAAUAAUUUCUCCUCUUUCUCUUGGACAACGGUUAAAAUAAUUUUUAUUGUUAGUAUAAUAUGCUUGUCUUGCAUGCAUUUAUAUGCCAUUAGGAAACUAUGCAGAUUGCAGCAUGUAAAUUUUAUCAGUUUUUUUAUUGUGCAUGUCUUGAAUGGUGCAGGAUGACUUACAAUAAACCAAAGCAUGUAUAUGGGUCAAAACUAAAUAAUUAGAGCAAAUGUCAAAUUGGUACAUGGAAACAAUAAUAGAAGACUUCAUUUCGAUUACCGAAAGAAAGAAUCCGCGAAGCAAUAAACAUGUGUUGGAAGAUUGUGCUGUUACUAUAUAUCAGAUUAUAAAUUAUUUGUAGUUGGUAAACAAUGUAAUAAGUUUCAAACAAUGUAAUAAUUUUUAAAUUGUUCAUUGCAAUGUAAUAGUUUUCAUAUGGAUGAAUGUAAAUUUCAAUUCAAAUGCCAAUUGCAAAUUUUCAAUUUCUAUUAUAUGGAUUUCUAUUUUUUUUUUUAAUUUUUCUCAAAUAAACAUUGAUACCAAAUUAUCGUUAUAUUUAUUAUGCUUUUGUAUCAUUAUUUGUUUGAUACCAUAGUCUCAUUAUAUAUGUGAUGUUCAAGCAUCAAUAUUUUUUUGGUACUAUAGUGACAUAGAUUCGCUGAUACAAAAAACUUGUGUCAGUAAAUUUCUUGCACCGUAUUCAGUGACACUAAACUCGGUGUCAGUAAAACAAGCUCUUGAUAUCAAAAUAGUAUCAAAGAAGGCCAUUUUUUUACUAGUGUAAGAGACAUCGAUUCAGACAACAUAGCAAUGAAGUAAUGUAGGAAGUAUAUUAGAUAAAAUAAAUUAGAAUUUAUUAGGAAUUAUAAUAUUUGGGUAUUUAGUAUUUUAUUAGAAUUUAUCUUAUUUUUUAAACUUAUUCGAUCAUGUUUAGAAUUCUAAUCUAAUUAAGAUUUUAGAUUAUUUAUCUUAUUUAAGAAGGAUUAAGAUUAAGUUGGCUACUUAGUAUAUAUAGGCUUGUUACUGAUAGUUCUUUAUAACAUACAUAAGCUUCUCAUCAAUAAUAUUUAAUAUUUCUUAAUUGAGAUACUUUCUCCUUCGUGAGAGCAUUUUUUCUUGAAUUUUCAAGAACGUAUGUUAUAAUGAAAUUUAGUAUCGCUUAUGCGAUGCGUCAAGUGGUAUCAGAGCCUUUCUUUGUAUUAGGCAGAGCUUUCCUGACCAUCAACCAUUCCCCAUACACAAAUCCUCCCUCCAUCAUCCAUUACUUUCAUUAAAAAAAAAAAAAAAGAAGAAGAAGAAGAAAAAGUCAGAAAAAUAGCAAAACCCGAAGCCACCUCACGUCCACCAUCUCCAGCUGCUGCCUCUGUCAUUCUUCACCUUUUUCAUGCUUUAAUAAAAUUUAACAUAAUGCUCACUAUUUUGUAUAUUAUUAAGGACCAUUGUAUGAUUAAUCAUGAAGUGUAUAUUAUUUUUCACAUUAAUUUAGCACAACCUAUACCAUGAAAUUACGGAUUAUAUUACAGUGAAUACUUUUAUAUGGUAGGAAUAUAAAUUUAAGUUUUACAAGCCUAUUUUCAUUUAAUUUUCCAAUAUCACUUUGUUGAUUUCGUAAAGUUGAAAUUAACAUACAUUCUUAAUUAGUUAUAUAGUUUAUGAAUCAUGAAAGAUUUUUGUUGUUGAUAUUCAUUGAUUGUGGUUACAAAAUUUUAUGUCACUAAGAGGCUGAUUGCAUUUAUGAUGGUAAUUAAUAUAAUAAGUAAAUAUUACCUCCAAUAAUAUUCAUGAAAUAUUACCUAUUUAUUUUAUAUUCUCGUUAUAAAAGCAUGGUUUUGGAUAUUUUAACUUAAAUUUUGACACAAAAAAUGAGCCAUUAAUCUCUCACAAUCUAAUGGUUGAUAUUAAAAGUCAAUGUAAAAUUUUAAAUCAUCCACCAUAGUAACUGAAUUGUGUGAAAUCAAUAAUUUCAAUUUUGUAUUAAAAAUUUAAGAUAAAAUAACUUAAAAGCAAAAGGAUACCUAAACGCCCUUUUGGCUAUAAUACCCUACAUAGGUAGUAACUUUUAAAAAAAUUAACGUUAAAAUAUUUUUAAUAAACACAAAUAUACUUUAAAUAGUUUAUUUUGUCUAAUAGACUAAAAAUAAUGGAAUAUUUGUAAUAUGUAUAAAAUAAUUUUUAAAAUGUAAAUUAUAAUAUUAUUUUAAUAAUAUCUUUUUAUCUAUUAUAUAAUUUUUAAAUAAAUAUUUGGGUUAAAUAGAUUUUACAACUAAUAAAAAAAUCUCAUGUAUUGAUAAUAUUAAAAUUAUUUUAUAUAAAUUUAAAAUAAUUCGAAUCUUUAUAUAUUUAUUUUAAUAUUAUGUUUAUAUCCAUUAUAAAAUUUAGUUUAAUCUAAUAUAAUACUGUAAAGUAUUAAAAUAUUUUUUGAAGAUUAAAAUUAUUUUAAUAUACAUAUGUUUAUUUUAUUUUUUUCCUUUCGGAAGCGAAAGCAAGUCCAUGCCCGACAACUUGGGAGGAGAGGCUAAAGGCAAAAACUGGAACAUUUUUUUUUUAUGUGAUAAUUUCUUCUUUCUAUUAUAUAAUUUCUUUUCAAAGAAUUUGUUAUUUUGUUGCUUGUUUAAUGGUAAUUCGGCAAUUUUUUUUGAAAAAACAGAGUAUCAAUGACUCUUAGGUCUCAAAAGUGAUAAGCUAUCCGCAUAUUUUAAUAUUUAACACACAACAUUAAAUAAUUAGUAAUUCUGGUCUCGAGCCCCUUCAAGUAUACCAAACAACUCGCGCUCAUCGCAUCUAUGUACGGCAUCUUUUCCAGAAAAAACAGAGUAAUAAAACAAAGCAGAGUAUUUACUUCGGUCCUUUACUUUCCUUAAUUUUCACCUCAUGAGAAAUCAAAUCUCAAAAUUCAAAGCUUCGAUUUGAUGGGCCAAGAAUGCAAUUUUGAUUCAUGGAAGGCACAUUCUGAUUCUGUCCAACUUUUUUAACCCAAGCCAGGCAUUUUCUGGUAAUUUAACAGGGAAAUAAGCAGCAAGAACUGAUACAAUAAACAAAUACAAAGAAAGUAAAUGAAAUGCGAUCUGCAGAGAAAAUAAAAUUGAAACUGAGAUGCGCACUUACACUGUUACACGUAGACUCAGAGAAAAUAAUAUUCACUAGGCUGUGCCCUUCAUUCGAGUUGUUUAAAUCUUUUAGGUUGUGGUUCCUCAUCAUCAUUACAGCAGCCACUUCCACUAGCUUCAGCCGCCCCAACAUAUUCUUCAAGACUUCGCUUUAGAAAGCUUCGCUCAGACGACGUUGUUGAUCCUGCAUCAUCCCGGCGGCAACUUCCACUGCCUUCUGCCCUGUCUAAGUCAUCAUUACGGCUAUGCGUAAAGGAUGUUGAUCCUGAACAAUCGUGACCAAAUUCGUUCAAAUUCCAAACCGGAUCAGUUGUUUGGUUGAACUUAUCCCCUUGAUGCACAUAUAUUGGAUGGACACCACACCUCUUCAACUCCAAUCCUGACGGCGAAGAAAAUUCCACUUCACUAAUAUCUUCCCUAUUCUGGUAGUAUAGGAAAAGAUGGUCUGACAUAGCCUGACCGAAUUGCUUUCUCAAAUAAAUGCUACACAUACCCGAGGAGGUAGGCUUUCUAUCUAUGGACAGCUCAUGUACGGGAAGCCCUUGUAUAUAAUAAGGAAGUGAAUAUUUAGGGACAUGAAAAACACAGCACAUAGCAUAUCCCACAAGCUUACUAUUCUUAUACGUCUUUGGAGGCGUGCUUAUUGUUAUUGAAGAACCCUCAUUAUUCUGAUACUCGAACCACUCUGGGAUUUCACUUCCAGGAACAAUUAUGUAACAAUAUCUCAUAUAGUCCUGAAACCUCACAAAUAUAUAUAUAUAUAUUAGAAAGCCAUACCAAUGCAUAAUUUUUAGGCAUAAUUUUAGCAACAGGUGAGAGACAGUGUAAGAAACUGACAUUAGUCUGUUUAAUGUACUUGUCCGACAGUGACAUAUUCUGCAACCCCACGGAAAAAAAAAGUGAGUAAAUAAAUAAAAUAAAAAGACAUAACAUGUAUUGCAUCAGUUUUAGGCAUAAUGUUAGCACAGGUGAGAGUGAGAGACUGACCUCAGAAUUUUUAAUGUACUCUUUCAGCAGUGAAAGCGCCAAAUCAUAGUUGCCAGCCAAUUUCAAGCAAUCCACACAAGGAAGGUGUAAGUACGGGAGUUGAUGCUCGUUUAAAUUUAAUACAUCUGAUAAUGUCUUCAACGAAACACAACCGUCUAACGAAAUCCAAUGUAUACUGGCUGGAAGUCGAGGCAGAUUUUGAAGCAUUUUGCAUUCCUCUAAAUCAAUACUCGAAAGUUUAGAAAGAUGGUAAAUGCUUGCCGGCAGCGUAAAAAAAUUGUUUCCACUCAGAUGUAACUCUUCUAAUGAGCAUAAGUCGCCAAUACUACUUGGGAUUGCUCCUUCCCCUAGAUCACAGUCACUGAUAUCCAAUUUCGUUAAACUACACAAACCUGACAGAGAAGACGACAAACUCAAAGCCACCGGAUCUGAACUCCAUCGCAUCAAAUUGAUAGGGAAGCGCAGAAACCAUGAUGCAGAUGAUGGUGAUCCUUUGCACCCAUGAAAAGAUAGUUCUUUAAGAUUCUUCAUAAGAAAAAUUGACGAUUGAGGUUGCCUUAUAGCUGUACCACUUAUAUCAAGGAUUUCCAAACUUUCUACUUGCCCAAUCGUCUCAGGCACAUUUUCAAGUUUGAAGCAGCCUGAGAGAUUCAAAGUUUUGAGGGAUUUCAAACCAUUUAUACUGCUAGGAAGUCUCACGAGACUUCUGCAGUCAUUCAAAUUUAACAAUUCAAGUCUGGUCAAAAGUUCUAUUGAUGAUGGUACUUCUGCAAUAGAAGUUCCAUCUAAAAAGAGCUCUGACAGAUCUUCCAUACUUAUCACACUCUCUGGAAAUUUCACUAUUUUCGAGCAACCAGAGAGCGUUAGAGUUCUUAGACAUUUUAAGCUGCUUGCAGUAAUUGGAAGAGUCUCGAGAUUUCUGCAAUCCUUCAAAUUCAACAAGACAAGUUUGAAUAGAAGCUUAAUAGAUAAAGGUAGUUUUUUGAUAUCAGUUUCAUCCAAAAGAAGUUCCCGUAGACACUCCAUACUUCCCACAACGCGUGGAAGUUUCCUCAAUUUCAAGCAACCAGAAAGAACAAGUGUUUUAAGCGAUUUCAUAAAUAUCUCACCCGGAAGAGUUGUAAGACUUGUACAACCUUUCAAAUUCAACAAGAUCAGCUUAUUGUGACGUAGUAAAGACUGGUGAAUUUCACGCAACCUUGUACAUCCUUCAAGAUCCAACUCCUCUAAGUUUGGGACCUUUGUGAAGUCUGGUGUCUUAAUCAGAUUCUCUGAAUGGCUGAGUUUCAUGAGUCUCAACAUGUUUAAAGGCUGUUGAAAACAAAAAAGGAGCUAAAAUGAUAUUUCUUAAUUCAUAUACUACUAUAAUAAUAAAACUGUUAUCAACAAUUAUUCUCUCAAAAAUCUAAAUUUGUGACAAAAAAAAAUUGAACUUACUUUGAAUCCUUUCCAUAAUUCUUCAAUGCGGCUGUAACACAUUUUAAAUCCAACAAUUUCAUCCAAUUGCAAAUUUGAUGGCAAAGAUUUCAAAGGAUACCGACGCCAAUCAAGUAAUCGCAACCUGUUAGAGAGAUAUUCUAGGCCUCUAGGAAGUUGCACAUUACUGAUUUUGAGCAGUCUUAGGUUGGUCAUCUGCGAAAAUGCUUUAGCACUUGCACUUAAGUAAACCUCAUUUUCAGGAAAGUAGGCAUUAACUAUUAUUCCUUCCACUACUUCACCUCCCUAAAAAUUAUAAGCAAACAAUAAGUAGAUAAAACAAUAAUGUAAAGAUGUUGAAAAUUCGUCAGAGAUAUAAUUGGGAAAAAUAAAGUAGCAACCAUCAACAAGUUUUCCAUUUAAUAAUUCACUUACCGUAUUGUUUGUCAACACCUGGCGCACUUCUUCUUCCCUCCAUAUUCUGCUACGUUUCCCAGGUUCUUCGGGGGAUUGUCUCGUAACAAUCAGUUGUCCCAAUUCCUGUAACAAAUCAUGCAUCCCCAGUGUGUUGUUGUCAUCAACAGUUAAUAGAGACUUUUCGAUAAGAACUUCUAUUCCAAUGACUGGGGAAAAACCACAUCCCUCUAGAAUUUUUGUUACACCAUCUCUAUUCUUCCAUUUAAAGAAACAUGCAACAUCGAGAAAUAUUUUCUUCUCUGAAUCUUGUAGUCCUUCAAAACUUAUUUGAAGUAUACUCAUAAUCUUAUUUGAAGGAUCUUUUUUUAGUCUUUCUAGGGCACUUCUCCAUAGAUCUGCAGAUCUACCAAUUAGAAAGGAUCCCAAAACUUUUAGAGCUAAUGGAAGACCACCAGCAUACUCCAGAACACGUUUAGACAGCUCCACAUAUUCUCCCAUAGGCUGAUGGCUUUUAAAAGCUUUGGUACUAAAGAAUUGAAGAGCUUCAUCGUUAUUUAGUACAUCAAGGUCAAGAAUAUGCUCUUCAUCCACUUCAUGUGCCACCAACAACUGUCUAUCUCUCGUUGUUAUUAGAAUCCUGCUGCCUGGACCGAACCAAUCACGCCUUCCAACUAACCUUUGUAAUUGUUCAACAUCAGCCACAUCAUCGAUUAUGAGAAGAACUUUUUUCCGUUGCAGCCUACUUCCAAUUAUGUUAAUACCAUCGUAGACAUUCUGUAUGCUAUAAUCUGAAAGCUUCAGUAAAUCAGAAAGAAGCUGCUUUUGUAAAGAGAUUUCAUUGCCUUCUUUUUCAGAUUUUUCUCUAACAUCGGCAAGAAAACUACUCCCAUCAAACUCAUGAGACAUCAAGUCAUAAAAAACCUUUGCAAGAGUUGUCUUUCCUAGACCUCCCAUGCCCCAUAUCCCGAUCAUACGAACAUCAUUAGACCCCAUACCCAUAAGAAACCUCAGUUGCUCCAAGCGUGAUUCCAUUCCUACUAGCUCCUUAAGAAUCUCUGGUUCUAAACGAAUUUUACGAAAUAUGACAUUGGCAAUUUCCUCAAUAAAUUCUGACUCAUUGCUGCAGAUUGAAAACAACAAGAAAAGAUUGGCGUUGUUAAAUUAAAGUUAGUAUGAACGUAGUAGCAAAUCAAUUCCAUAUUGUGAAUAAAAUCCAAACUAUGCAAUAUUCAUUUCAUCAAAUUGAAGCCAUAUAAUUAAAUAAUAUGUUAUUAUUACAUCAGUCAACAACAAUUGGAAUGAGAAAUUCAAGCCCAACCCAAUAAAAAUUGGAUUGGGUUGCAUUGUGAUUGGUAAUUUCAAAAUUUAUAUAUUAAAAUUUAUAUAUUGUUUCUUUCUACAACAGGAUCAGUUAGUUGAAAAGACAAUUUAAAUCAAUUAGAUUAGCUAAAUAUGUAAUGAUAUUGAUAUCAUUCGUAUUGAGAUUAUUGCCAUUGUUAUUAUUAGUAUUUUGCAAAUCUAGGUCAAGAGUCAAUUCAUAGAAGAAAAUUAUAUUAAAAUAAAUAGCAAAUGACAAAACAGAGCAGUUUGCAAGCAAGGACGCGGAUAGAUUAAUCUAGGAAAUAAAUUGACUAAAAUUAUAAUCACAAGCUUAAAUCAUUAUAUUGAGAUGCCUAAGCUUGGGCAAUAAUCUAGGAAUAAAGUUUUAUUUUACUUUUUUUUUUUUUUGCAAAACUGAUAGCACAAAGCAUCGCAGCAUAAAAACAUUUAGUCAUCAAAAGUUCAAAAUACAAUAAUUCAACGUAUCAAUGUCCAUAUCUCUUUGUUUGCAGAUAUUAAUUCAUUUAUAAAUUUUAGAUUAUUCUCCUCAUGAUUUGAAUAUCUUCAAAUCACUCCCUUUUGAACACCUCAAUUACCCUAUUUUUGUUCAAAAGAGAAGGAAAAAUGGGGUGAGUUGAUGAAAUAUUUUUUUAUUCUUAACAAAAAUGGGAGGUAAAUUGAGAUUUUCAAAAUUAAAGGUAUAAUUUAAAGAUAUUCAAUUCAUGGGAGGAACCCUCUUCCUACACAUCAUAUGAUAUAUAUAUGUAUUAAAUAGAAGUUGUUUAAUUGAAAACAGUGUUGAAUGAAAAUCUGUUUUGUAGUUACUAAUCUUGCAAAACAAACAAAAUUAAUAGUUGAGAAAAAGAAUGAUUACCUAUCCUUAAAUUCCCAACCUGAUAUAUUGGCCACCACCUUUAAAGCGUGUCUCCACUUUUGCACUUUUUCUAUAUUAUCCUUGAAAAAUUCUUCAUGUUUAGCAAAAGCUUCUCCGAAACAUGUUGUUUGUUUUCUUACAACAGUUGGUUCCACUUCAUAAAAAAUUGGAAAAAUUUGAUCCUCUCUAUUUUUGCAUUCAACAAUCUUAAGAAGUUCAUCCAAGCACCAAGUGGAAGAAGCGUAAUUUUUUGAGAGAACAAUAAUUGAAAUUCUUGAUUCUUCAAUUGCUUUAAGGAGAUUUGGUGAAAUGGAUCCUCCUUUCUCAAGUUGUUUGUCAUCCCUGAAUACAUAAAUUCCUUUAUUGUUCAAAGCAGUGUAGAGAUGACCUAUGAACCCUUUACGGGUGUCUUCUCCUCUAAAGGUUAAGAAGGCAUCGUAUUCCCCAUGAGAGACAUUUUGGAAGCUCGUGGAAGCCAUUAUAUUAAUUUGUUCCUGAAAAUUUAGAAUAAAUCAAGUGAAAUCCAGUGAGCGUAAAAUACCAUGCAAACAAUAAGAUUCAUUCAAGAUUAUGGGCAGCACAAAAAUGAAAAUGUUAUAGAUUAUAUGUAAAUUCUACUUUUUUUAACCACCUAAAUGGUAACUCGAAUGAAUUGUGAUUGUAACUAGUAUUGCGUGACCAGUAUUGUAUAAGCAUUAAUCCGUGCACAGUAAUUUUAGGAGUAAUUAAUUAGAAAAAUUAAUAUAUCUAUUGUUUUAAUUUGCUUAUAGAUCUAAAUUAUUUACGCAUGAUAAAUCCCCAAAUGUAAUAGAAAUUUUUUCUAGAUGCUAAUCGGGGAUGCGCACACCGAUCUCUACUUAAGCAAAUCUUGAUUAGAGCCUCUAAAAGAAGGCAAAGAGUUUGUACAAAAUUAACAUUCAAAGAUUUCUUUCAAUUUUUUCAUUUUUUUCUUUUUCUGUACACUAAGAUGUGCAAAUUAAUUCUGAAAAUAAAAGAGAGAUUUAUGAGAUAGAACUUACAGCUUUUGAGUGUAUUGAAGGAAGCCACUUAAAUGAACUCCAAUGCAGUAUGAUUAUUAUAAUUACCACAAACUCCAAUGCAGUAUUUGUUUCAAAGAAUUUAUUCAUGCAAAUAUCUUUUGGGAAAAAAAAUAUUAAGCCAUUAGGAGUUGUGUGGUUGUACUAAUGUAUGAUUUUCCAAAAGCAAGUCUUGGUAAGAAAGUGACUUUCUUAAUAAUCAAUAAAUAUUGUCACUGUUUACUCACAUGAUGAAGUUAGCAUCGAACUUCCUGGAAGCUUCAAGAAUCUAAACGAAAAUUAUCAGGCUUUUCAAUUGAAUACGCGUCGUCCCCAUUCUGCCCAUUAGCCGUGUUGAAGCCAUUAAAAUGGAUUGGAAUCCAACGGUUGAUAUUAGUAAUUAAUUAAAAAUAGUUAAAAUUACCAGCAGUCUAUCGGAAUGGUAAACAUAGUGACCUUUAUUAGUAAAAUUUUAACGGAGUCCAAAUAGGUAGGGUUGGACAAACUCAAUCCAACCCAAUCUAAUCAAAUUAGAUUUAGAUGGAUUGAUUAGAUUAUAAUGGGCUAACUGACUCAAUUUUUUUUUUUUUCAAUUUGAUUAAUGAUUGAGUUAGGCUGGAUUCAUUAUCAUAAACUCGAAUAAUUCAACCAAACCCAAAAACAACAAAAAUCAUAAAAAAAAUUAACGUUCGGCUAUUAACUAUUCAAUCUUAAACCCAAUUUUGAACCCUAAAAGAGAUCUUGUUCAGUCUCUCUCAUUUAAACAUGAUAUUAAUUGAAUUCUCUAGACUAAAAUUCAAAAGUCAAAUCAAACUUUGACUAAAACUAAGUUGAUAGAUAUUCAAACAUUAAGUUAUAUUGUUUUAUUGACAGAUAUUGGAUAUAAUAGAUAACAUUUAAUGAUAUGAUGAAGAAUUAAUAUGUUUUUUUUACUAUUUGAAUGUGAUUUUAAGUACCAAAUAGCUUUUUUUCUUUUAACUUUGAUGUUUGAACUUUUUUCAUUUUUAAUUUUAAUCAAUUCGUUUGACCCAGUCCAAUGAUUUAAGGAUAAGAUUGGGUUGUCGUCAUAUUUAUUUGGUUGGGGAACUAAUCAAUAGUGGGUUGGGUUGGAUGCCCACUAAAGAGNNNNNNNNNNNNNNNNNNNNNNNNNNNNNNNNNNNNNNNNNNNNNNNNNNNNNNNNNNNNNNNNNNNNNNNNNNNNNNNNNNNNNNNNNNNNNNNNNNNNAAAUUAAAAAAUAAUAAUAAAUUAUAAUUUCUUCCACCAAUAUCAAUAAUUAAAUAAGAUUUAAUAUUAUAUCAACAAAAUAUGUUCAACUUAUGUUUAAUAAACUCCUAUUAAUUUUCACAAUUAUCCGUAAUUGUUGUGGGAUUUACUUUUAUCGUGUUUAGAACAAAAGAAAAAUUAAAUUUCUUUAUCAUAGAAAUAUGCAAAAUCCAUACACUGAAAAAAAAAAAAAGGUAUGCGAAACUGUAAUUACAAUUUAGAAGCUUCCAGUAAGAAUUGAUUCAACUUAUAAAAUCUGUGUUGUUUAUAAUUAAUAUAUAUACACCCUGAUCAACAAAUAUGGUAAAAUAUUAUUUAUCGAGAUCUAAAUUAAAAAAAUCUACAAACCUAAAGAUUCAUCGAGACUUACGAGAUUCAAGGAGAUAAAAUUAUUAAUGAUUAGUGUUAAAAAAGAGAAAAUAGAGAGAAAGAGAAAAAUAAUGUAAUAUAAUUACUACGAUAAUUUCUUUUAACAUGAAAUUAUCGAACAACAAAUUAAUAAUCUUCUUCUUAACUAAACAAACUAAUUAAAAGCCUCUCAUUUACUUCCAAAAUAUAAUUAAAAAAGUUUGUCAAAUGCUGAUUGGAGAGUGUGUUUGCCGACCUUUACUGAAGCAAAUCUUAAUUAGAGCCUCAAAGAGAAGCAAAUUAAAGGGUUGAGACAAGACAAAUUAAAUUACCAUUCAAAGCUUUCUUUCAAUUUUAUUUAUUUCCUGUUCUAAACAUCCAGGAUGUGCAAAUUAAUUCUGAGGAUAAAAGAGAAAUGUAUAAAAUAAAACUUACGGCUUUGAGUGUGUUGAACGAAGCCACCUAAUUGAUCUGCUCAACUCCAAUGAAGUGUUUUGAUUCAAAGGAAAGAAGGUUAAUCAGGCAAAUAUGCAAUUUCCAGCUCCCCAGAUUUAUUUGUACGUAUUCUAAAAGUAAGUCUUGGUCAUCUCAGAAAGUGGGUGGGAAAAAGCAAAAAAGGCCAAAGGAAUCUUUUUGACUACUUCAUAUACGUCUUGUGGGGUGGUUUUUUGUUUUUUGUUUUUGUUUUGGUUUGGGGAGAUAGGGGGGGGGUUCUCCGGGGAAUAAACCGGGUGUAUUUCGCAUGCCGCGUUAAAAGAUUGUAUUUGAGAUAAAAUAAAUCUUAAAGUUUUGAUUGCACAGGCAGCUACCUGUUGAAUUUCAAUGCAGUAUUGCUUCAAAGAAGCUAAGUUAAUCAGUGAAACAUAUUUGUGCAUAUGACGAUUAAAUAUGAAUUAUGUAGAUAAAACAUAAAACAUAUGAAUUUUAAAUUAAAACUUAUAAAUCAAUAUUAAAUAUAAAAUAAAACAUGGAUUGUGUAAUUAAAAUAUAAAACUUCUAAAAUAGAAGGUAAAAUAAGUAAAUUAAUUUAGAAGUGGUAAAUUAGUAAAUUAUGGGUACAUAAAAUAAAAAUUUAUAAAUAUAACAUAAAACUUGUAAACCAACAUUAUGUGUAAAAUAAAACAUAAGAUUUGUAAAUAGAAGGUAAAACAAGUUAAUUAAUAUAGGCAUGAUAAAUUGGUGUAUUAUUAUUAAACAAAACAAAAACUUACAAAUAUAACGUAAAGCUUACAAAUUAAUAUUAAAACAAAAACUGAGAAACAUAAUAUAAAACUUGUAAAUCAAUAAUAAGUUUAAAAUAAAACAUAAAUUAAGCAAAUGAAACAUGAGACUUGUAAACAGAAGGUAAAAUAAGUAAACUAACAAUAUAGGAGUGGUAAAUUGAUGUAUUAUUGGUAAACAAACAAAAACUUAUAGAUGUAACAUAAAAUUUUUAAAUUAGCAUAAAGUGUAAAAAUAAAAUAUAAAUUAUGUAACUAAAACAUAAGAUUUAUAAGAGGAAAGUAAAAUAAGUAAAUUAAUAUAAGAAUUAUUAAAAAAAUAAAAAGUUACAGAUGUAAAUUAAAAAAGAAUUAUAAUAAUGAUUCCCUUAUAUAUUUACUAAUUUUGUCUCUAAAUUGAAUAAUGAUAGUUUUGGGCUUAUGUAAUACAUGUGAUGAUAUAUUUAAAAUUUUAUUAAGAAUAAAACUCUUUUUAUAUUUUUUUAAAGUUGUUUUGUAAGAUAAGGUAAUUUUGCAUCAUUCUAAACCUCCUCGGCAAUAACUCAACGGUAUAAGAAGCAAAGCUUGAAACUAUAUAAAGUAUGCAUAAAACUGAAAAUUAAAUCAAUUUUAUUGAUAUAUCAUAUAUGUCUAGUACUAUAAAAAUAACUUUUAUUUUGUUUUGGCUUGAUCUACAUUAAGAAAAAUAAUUUUGCUUAAUUAACCGGUGUAGUAAGCAAAUAUGAUGAUUAAAAAUGAAAAAAAUUAUAAAUGUCUUAGGAUAAAUAUAGAAUUCAUGGUAUUCAUUAAAAUUUAUUCUAAAUUUGUUUUAAUAUAAUUUUUUCAUUUUCAAUUAAUAAGUGAUUUUUUUGCUUAAUAAGUGAUUUUUGCUUAAUUAAAAUAAAUAAAUCAACUAUUUUCUAGUCUAGUUAAAGUUUGAUGUUGAUUUAUAAGUUUUAUAUUAUUUUUACAAGUAUUUUUUAUUUUUAAUUUUAAAACAUCAAUUUACCACUUUUGUAUUAAUUUAUUUAUUUUAGUUUUUUUAUUAGUUAUAUGUGUAAAUUAUAAAAAUUUAUAUUUAUUACGCAAUUAAUUACGAUGUGAUAGAUUUUUCCUUGUGCACCUAUCUUUCAAGGGAAGGCAGAGGACUUUUAUUGAAUCUGGAAAAUUAAACCGAUUACACGGUUUCCAGCUCCCAGUUGUGUUGAAUCUUGGUCAAAAAGUGUGACUCUUUAAGUAGCGUUUACUUUUUGGAUUGGAGUGGGAAUCCUAGGAUUCAGAGUGUUGAGUGGGAGUGUGAGUAGGUUGUUUACUUGCACUGGAAUAGAAGCAUGGAAUGGAGAUCAGAAUCCAAUUUAUGUGUUUAUUUUAUUUUGAAUUGAGAGUAAAUAGUUUCAAAUUAUAAUUUUAUCCUUAUUUAAAGAAUUAGAGUUUUUAAUUACAAAGUUAAUAAAAAAUAUAUUUAAUGAAUAAACAUUUAUUUUAUUAUAUUUGUAAAUUUAUAAUAAUUAUUAAUAUUCUUAAUUAUGAACAUCACAAUUUUUUAUUAAUUUUAACUUUAAUUAUAUAAAUUAAAAAUUGUUGAUAAGGGCAAUAUAAAUGAAAUAUUUUUACUAUUAACAUAGUAUGAAAUUAAUAUUUUCUUAGAAUAAACUAUUUAUUAGUAUUAAUUAUUCAUAUUAAAUAAAUAUAAUACUAUUAUUUUUAAAUAAAUAUAAUAAUAUUAUAUUUUCAAAUAAAGAUGGUAUAUAGUAAUAUUAUUAAUUCUCUAUUAAUAUAGUAUUAUUAUUUUUAAGUAAAUUAAACUUAGAAUCAAACCCAAUUAUUAUUUAGUUAAAUAUAAUAAUAAUAUUUAAAUAUUUAUUAAAUAUAAUUAUAGUAAAUUUAAUAAAAAGAAGGGUAAAUAUAAAAUGCAACAUUAUUUUAUUUUAUUUUAUUUUACAUAAUUAUAUUAAUUCAUUAUUUAUUAAUAUAAUAUUAUUUAGUACAAAAUUAAUAUUUUCUUAGAAUAAACUAUUUUUAUUAUUAAUUAUUAAUAUUAAAUAAAUAUAGUACUAUUAUUUUUAAAAUAAAUAUAAUAAUAUUAUAUUAUUAAAUAAAGAUAGCAUAUAGUAACUUUUAUUAAUUCUCUAUUAAUAUAAUAAUAUUAUUUUUAAGUAAUUUUAACUUAUAAUCAAUGUAAAUUAUUAUUUAGUUAAAUAUAAUAAUAUUAUUUAAAUAAAGAUAAUAUAAUUUAUUUUAUUUUUGGAGUGGGGAGUGGGAGUGGGACUUCCAUAGGGAGAGGUGGGAGUGGGAUUCCCAAUCCUUCCCCAAUUUGUUGAAGUAAACACUAGAAUUGGAGGAAUCCACACUCUUCACUCCCACUCCAAAAAGUAAACACAACCUUAGUCUUUACCCUACAAUAUGAAACUACCGUUCAAUCAAACUUUCUCUCAAUGAUAAGUCUCUUUAAUUGAAAUUACACGUCGUCGCCACUCGGCCUUGUUAGAGAGCAAUAAUGUCUUCAUCUGCUAAUGUUCUAAUAAUUUGUAAUAAUUAACUCAUCGACUAUGAUUCUGCAAAGAUAUUCAGCUGUAAUCACUUGCUUCGGAUUCGUGUAGGUUUAUCUUUAAUAUUAGUAUUAAGCCUUUGCUUAUCAGCUUAAGCUUUCCGAUUAUAUAUUGGCAAAUGGGAGCUUGUUGUGAGCUGAUAAUAAUUAAAGGAAGUUAAACCAUUUCCUUCGAGCCUCUGUAGUGUAGCCUCCACUAAACUUUGUUAUUUGCUGGUUCUGUUCUUAGUUGAACUUUGCUGACUUUGUAAUUUGUAUGCUUAUUGCUAAUGAUCCUUGCACUUUGCUGCUAGUGUAACGUUGAUUCCAUCGCUGCUGUUGCGCUUACUAGCUAGGAAUUCCACGAACAAAUUUCACAAAAGGUUUGUUGAAAUUGUUGAAAAGGCAAAGAAUGUCUUGCAAAUUUCAAAAGGCAAAGUUGGUGGGUUUGCCAAAUUAAAAAAAGCAAACUUGGUUGGCUUGCUAAUUUCAAAAGACAAAGUUAGGUGUUGAAAAGCUUGUGCAUGCAAUACAAGAUCCAGCUCAAUGUUUUGACCAAUUGAACCCAACUUGGAGCAUAAUGCACUCUAUAAAUAGAGAAGUAUUUUGCAAUUGUAAGCAUCCCAAUUUGAGAGAAGUAGAGAGCAAUUGCAACUGAGUUCUUUGAGAGAAUUUGAGAGAGCUUCCACUUGAGUGUUCUAGUGAGGUUCCAUUUGGGUGUAUUCGGGUUGUGGGUUUUGUGAGUUUUUCCCACUUCUAUAAAUUUCCAUUUGUUAGUAAAAUUAUCUUCUAGUUUUUUACCCGUGAACGUAGGCAUUACGCUGAACCACGUAAAUUAUUGUGUUAUAUUUUCUUUGCAUUUGUUUAUCACAACAUUUAUAUUUCUCUAGAAUUUGCAGUAUUAGUAAUUGCUCAACCCACGAUUCUGCAACAAUUAGUAUCAGAGCCGAUGGUUCGUACUUGGGGGGAUACGAUAUUUGAAAUAUAAGUGUGCAACCCAAGAGGGGGGGUGAAUUGGAAUUUUAAAAAUUAUCCUAGCAAAUCCACACAACAAGCUAUCUAAUGUCUUAAUAAAAAUUGAAAGCAAUAAGUUCAAUAAAAGCACAAUAAUUAAAUAGUAAGGGAGAAGAGAAACAAACACACGAAUUUUUACGUGGUUCGGCAAUCCCCGCCUACGUCCACGCCUCUAAGCGAUCCAAGCUUGAGGAUUUCACUAUCCAAGGUUUCAACCGAUUACAAUUGACUUUGAGGUGUCAAUAAACCUUUACAACAAAGAGAUUAUAUCCCAAUCUCUUCACUCAAGUGUCUCACACACUCAAACUCUUACAAUUGAGAUGAAUAAAUGAAGGUUACAAUAAAACUCACUCAAUGAGUAGAUAUUCAAAAAUGAAGAACAAGAAAUGAUUCAAUGUUUGUAUUUUGCAAGUUUUAAGGCUUAAGAUAUCACGUGUGCUUUUUGUUUUUGCUUAUUGGAGAAAUUCAAAAUGAGUUGGAUUUGAGUUCUUAUAGUUUGAGCUCAAAAAUUAGCCGUUACUCACAUUUUGGGCGUAUCCGGUUUGCCGUUUAUGGAAUCCGAUAAGCCGGAUUUAUGUUACCGUUUGAAUUUUGCCUAUCCGGCUUACUGGUUACGAAAUCCGGUAAGCCGUUUGCAUUCUGGAUGCUUACUGCCCCAUAUCCGAUUUUCCAGUUUUUAUAUCCGGUAAGUUGCUUGCUACAGUAACUUGGUACAGUGAAAUUUUUCCUAAAUUUUUAAUUUGACCCCCAAACUUUACAAAACUGUAGUAUGACCCAAAACGUUAUAAAAAUUUACAAAUAGGUCCAAUUUAAGAAUUUCUAAAUAAUGCUUCGUUAAUCCCAAAAUUUUUUGAAAUUAUGAUUUCGCCCAAACUUUGUGAAAUUAUAGAAUGGCCCAAAAUGUUAUAAAAGUUUGCAAAUAGAUCCAAUUUCAGAAUUUCUAAGUAAUGCUUCGUUAAUCCCAAAACUUUUUGAAAUUAUGAUUUUGCCCAAACUUUGUGAAAUUAUAGAAUGGCUCAAAAAUAUUUAAAUAGUUUCAAAUAGGUCCAAAUCCGAAAUUUAAAACAUUAUCAAAUAUUUUGAAAUUUUAGUCCAAAAUGCUUUAAUUCUAUAACAUCAUUUUCUUAUUAUAAAAGCACAAUUCAUAAAUCUUUGCUUAAUAAAUACAUGUGGUUUGUUAUCAUCAAAAUCAAUAUUUAUAACCAUAUAGGCUAACAAUCUCCCCCUUUUUGAUGAUGACAAAGCACAUUCAAAUUUAAUCUAGUUAUGAAAAGCUCCCCCUUAAUCAAUGCAAGUUAAAAAAUGAUUUGAAAAUUAUUUAACAAAAACUCCCCCUGCAUACAUGCUCCCCCUAGAUACAUGCAUAUUUUCAUAACACAUUAAAUCAUUCUCCCCCUUCAUCAUCAAAAAGAAUAAAGGCUCCCCCUAUCAAUCAUCAAAAUCGCAACAUAAGCACAUUAGUAAAAAAAAAUAUCCAUAAGCAUAAGAAAAUCCAUAUAAUCCAUAAUGAUCAAUCAAAACAAAUCCAUAACAUCCAACAUAAAUAGUCACAACAAAUCCAUAUAAUCCAAAACAAAGACAUAAAUCGAAAAGCAUAAUAACCAUCCAUAGAUUCGAAAAUAAACAAACACACAAUGCAGUAAAUGAAAUGUAGAUGUGUCCAAGUACAAGCAUAAGAUACUACUCAGGUGGUGAGGAUGGAGGUGAUGGAGGUAGAAACGGAUAUGGAAUGCCGAAGUGCUCGAAGAGGAGGCACUGUCCAUGAAUAAGCUGCUGCUGCUGCUGCUGAAACUCAGUUUGCCGCUGCUGAAACUCAGUCUGCCGCACAGAGAGUGUCUACACUUCAUCCAUAAUCUGCUGAAGAGUGACCUCUUCAGAGGUAGGAGGAUGUGGAGGUGAUGAAGCGGAUGCAGAUGCACUAGGAGCUGAAGCAACCGUGGAAGAAACUCGGCGUCUACGCUCCCCUCGAAAUGAGAGUGAGAAAACUGGAAGUUGUUCAGCUGGAAUCACAGCAUUAAGUGGCCGAUCAUCACUUGGGGUUAGAAGGGUAAACUUGUUAUCGCUGUAUUUGACCCAAGUGUCAUCCUUCCACUCAAAGCCUAACCCAAUAAUAACCUCAUCCCCGAUACCCUUGGACGGCCUACAAGAUGGUUCUAGAAUCUGUACUUCAAAGAAUUUAAGAAUUCGGGUAAUGAAGUGACCAUAAGGAAGAGAGAGGGUAAUCAAGGCGGGAAUGCUCAACAUGGUGCGGAUGAUGGAAUAGCCCAAGUUAACCGGGCGACCUCUAAGAAUACAGUCAAUCAUGGCGACAUCCAUGUGAGAAACCUCAUCCAAAUGUCCUGAUCUAGGAAGUACAAUGGACUGGAUGAUACGAAGCAAAAUACGAGUUUGAAGACAAAGACACUGAGUACGAAAAUGAAUGGUACAAUCUUCAACAGAAAGAUCACUACGUCGACAAAUAUUACGAACGGCAUCAACAUGAACAUAGUCAUCAAUAUCAGGAGGUUUCCUAGGAGAAAAAAUGUCCAAGCCAUCAUCGGAAGAUCCUAGGAUGGAGUUCAACUCCGAAUCAUCAAAUUCAAUCAAAACUCCUUCAACUGUGGUGAUUACUUGAUUCUCUUUCUCCGCGGAACAAUCCAUAUUCGAGUAAAAUACUUUCACCAAGUCGGGAUACACAUUCUCCUCAAUCAACAAUGCAUCAAUCCAACCAACAUCUCCCAACAAUUGAUAUUUCUAUAACUAAUCUUGAGAGUAUGCAUAACAUCCGGUAAAACAAAGAAAGUGUUGAGUACCUCACGAGUCCGAAAGUUUUGUUGAAACCGUUUGAUCAAGUGUUGCUUGUUCUGAAAAUGAAUGGACUCAAAAGUGGAUUGAUUUGAGGUGCCCCUUGCUUCCCGUGGCCGGGUGGUUUGUUGAACCGGUUCUUUGCCUUUUCUUCGAACCGGCCGAGAGUUUGACAUUUUGAUUUUGAUGGAUGUGAAGAUAAAAACACCAAAGAGAAUGAAGAUGAUGAAGAUUGAAAGUGAUUUAGAGAAACAAAUUGGAUCAAAAACGGCUUGAGAGUGAGAAAUCUAGAGAGAGAAAAAUCAGCCAAAAACCUAGGUUGAAAUUCGGAUCUAGGGAUUUGGAGGUUGAAAAUGAGUUUUGAGUGUGAUUUUAGGUAUAAGAACGGAUGGGGAUUAGGAUCUAUGGAUUGAUUUGCAUCAAAACCGUGUAGAAAAGGUGGAUUUGUGAGUGAAAAAUGAGAGAGAAGGACCGGUUUUUAGAGAGCGAACAAGAACCGGAUUGCUGAAUGAAAAAGGAAGAAGAACAGUUGAAAUAGCUCCCGAAACUGGCUUGCCGGUUUGCACUAUCUGGCUAGCCGGUUGAGACCAGAAGCUUGAAACCCGUAAACGGCUUGCCGGUUUGACUUGAACUGGAAAUCCGGUUGUGACCAGCAAGUCCUUCACUCGAAUCCGGUUUUCCGGAUAACACGAACCAGCUUGCCGGUUGGAUCCAAAAGAUAGCAAGUGAGAAUCGGAUUGCCGGUUUUCCUGAACCGGUUGGCCGAAUGAGUCUAGAAUGCUGCCAAAGUGCAGCUCGAAUUCGGAUUUCCGGAUUGACAGAACCGGAAAUCUGGUUUUGUUCCAGCAAGCUUUCCUUGCGAAUCCAGCUUUCCGGUUUUGCUAACCGGUAGUCCGGUUUGAGGCAGAAAGUUACCUCUUCAAUUCGGUUUUUCAGAUUUUAAGAACCGGUUAUCCGGUUUUUAGGCAGAGAGAAGGCUUAGCAAAUCCGGUUUUCCGGAUUGAAAAUUCGGUUAUCCGAAUGUUGUCCCGAGAGCAACCAAAGUUAAUCCGGUUUUCCGGAUUGAAAAUCCGGUUAUCCGGAAUUUGUCCCAAGAGAGAUCAAUAAAAAAAGUGUUUUUCCGGAUGAAUGGAAAGGGAAUAUUUGCUAGCUCUUAUACUUGUACUACACACACCAUUUUAUUUCCGGCCUUAAAAAUUGAUUAAUUUUAAAUCAUUUUGAGAUUUAAAACUUUUCAAUAAGCCAUUUAAUGCAUAAAACACAAAAUCAUAAAAUCAUAAAUUUACAAGCAUAUCAAGUUAUUUAAUUCAUGAAACAUAAAUCCAUAUGAUAACAAAUAUAUUAAGCCAUGUAGUAAAACAUGAAUUAAGAUUCAACAUUCAUCAUUCCAAGCUCAUGUCUUAUCUUUAUAAAAUACUCUUCGCUAAGAGGUUUUGUAAAGAUAUCCGCAAGUUGAUUUUCAGUGGAAACAAAUUUAAUUACGACAUCUCCUUUUUGAACAUGAUCUCUAAGGAAAUGAUGUCUAAUUUCCAUAUGCUUAGUCCUAAAAUGUUGAAUAGGAUUCUUAGAAAGAUUUAUAGCACUAGUAUUGUCACAUAAGAUAGGAAUUUGAUCAAGCUUAAUACCAUAGUCUCUAAGGGUUUGUUUCAUCCAUAGAAUUUGUGCACAACAACUACCUGCGGCAAUAUAUUAUGCCUCGGUGGUUGAAAGCGCAACCGAGUUUUGUUUCUUACUAAACCAAGAGACAAGAGAAUGGCCUAGGAAGUGACAUGUUCCACUAGUACUUUUUCUAUCAACCUUAUACCCAGCAAAAUCGGCAUCCGAAUAACAAGUUAAAUCAAUAUGAGUUCCUCUAGGAUACCAAAGGCCAAGAUUAAUGGUGCCAAUUAAAUAUCGAAAAAUGCGUUUGACAGCAAGCAUGUAAGACUCUUUAGGACAAGAUUGAAAUCUAGCACACAAGCAUACACUAAACAUAAUAUCAGGCCUACUAGCAAUUAAGUAGAGUAAGGAUCCCAUCAUACCUCGAUAUGUCUUGAUAUCAACUUCCUUACCUUUCUCAUCUUUGUCCAGCUUUGUGGUAGUACUCAUAGGAGUGCUUUUUGCCGUUCCAUUAUCAUAGCCAAAUCUUUUGAGUAGAUCUUUCACGUACUUGGCUUGGUUUAUGAAAAUUCCUUCCUCAUUUUGUUUGAUUUGAAGUCCAAGGAAGUACUUCAACUCUCCCAUCAUGCUCAUCUCAAACUCUUGGCUCAUACAUGAUGAAAAAUCUUUACACAACAACUCAUUAGUAGAACCAAAAAUAAUAUCAUCAACAUAAAUUUGAACAAUAAGUAUGUCUUGGUUCUUAUGCUUAACAAAAAGAGUUGUGUCCGCUUUUCCUAUUGAAAAAUCGUUAUCCAACAAGAAAUUUUUAAGCCUAUCAUACCAAGCUCUAGGUGCUUGUUUUAAACCAUACAAAACCUUAGAUAACUUAUACACAUGAUUUGGAAAUUUUUCAUUUUCAAAACCAGGAGGUUGUUUCACAUAAACUUCCUCCAUAAUAUAUCCAUUUAAGAAAGCACUCUUGACAUCCAUUUGAUAUAAAAUAAAAUCCUUAUGACAUGCAUAUGCUAACAACAUCCUAAUGGAUUCUAACCUUGCUACAGGUGCAAAAGUUUCAUCAAAAUCAAUUCCUUCUUCUUGGUUGUAACCUUGAGCCACUAAUCUAGCUUUAUUUCUUACAACCACACCGAAUUCAUCCAUUUUGUUUCUAAAUACCCAUUUAGUACCUAUAAUGGAUUGAUGUUCCAGAUUAGGAACUAACUCCCACACAUUGUUUCUCUCAAAUUGAUUCAACUCCUCUUGCAUUGCCAUAAUCCAAGAUUCAUCAUUUUCCGCAUCCGCAAAAGAUUUUGGUUCAAUUUGAGAAAUAAAUGUAGCAUGCUCACAUGUGUUCCUAAGAGAUGAUCUAGUGGUAACACCUCGUGAAGGAUCUCCUAAAAUUACAUUCUUAGGGUGAGAGGAUACAUACCUCCACUCCUUGGGGAGUGUUUGAGAAGUACCUUCAUUUUGCUCUACAUUUGUUUCUUCAUGAUGUUCCUCUUGAAUUCCAUGUGGUGAGUCUUCUUGGUUGUCAUUCGAUGCUUCUUCUUGUUGUUCUUCUUCUGCAUUAUCAUCAACAACGACUUUCUCCGUAGAGGAGGGGUUAGACUCAUCAAACGUAACAUGCAUAGAUUCUUCCACAACUAAAGUUCUUUUGUUAUAAACUCUAUAAGCUUUUCUUGAAUUUGAAUAACCAAGAAAGAUACCAACAUCAGAUUUUGGAUCAAAUUUACCAAGAUUAUCUUUUGUGUUCAAAACAAAACAUUUGCAUCCAAAAACUUUAAAAUAACCAAUGUUGGGUUUUCUAUCUUUCCAAAGCUCAUAUGGAGUUUUAUUAAAAUUAGGUCUAAUCAACACACGAUUUAAAACAUAAUAAGCGGUGUUGACGGCUUCGGCCCAAAAGUACUUAGGCAAAGAGUUUUCAUUCAACAUGCUCCUAACCAUUUCUUGAAUAGACAUAUUCUUUCUCUCUACUACUCCAUUUUGUUGUGGAGUCCUAGGUGAUGAAAAUUGAUGUUCAGUGCCAAAGUCAUUACAAAAAUUUUCAAACGCAUGAUUUUCAAAUUCUCCACCAUGAUCACUUCUAAUACAAGAAAUAGAAUAACCUUUUUCAUUUUGAACCUUUUUAUAGAAAAUUCGAAAUGCAUCAAUAGCGUCAUCCUUAUUAGCUAAGAACAAUACCCAUGUGUACCUAGAAUAAUCAUCCACAAUUACAAAUGCAUAAAAUUUGCCACUUAAGAUAGCAUAUCUAGAAGGUCCAAACAAAUCUAUGUGAAGUAAUUGAAGUAGUUUUGAAGUAGAGACAUGAUUCUUGCUUUUGAAGGAAGUUUUGAUUUGUUUUCCAAAUUGGCAUGCUUCACAAAUUCUAUCUUUUUGAAAACUGAUUUUUGGAAGACCUUUAACUAAAUCAUUUUUCAUGAUUUUUGAAAUCAAAUCCAUGCUUGCAUGACCUAAUCUUCUAUGCCACAACCAACCAUCAUCAUGCAAUGCGGAGAGACAUUUAUCAUGUAUUGAUACACAAUCUAUAUUAAUGGUAUAGACAUUAACACAUCUAUUUCCUACAAACAAGACUUUCCCAUCACAUGCAUUCUCAAUAACACAUUUUGAUUCAUCAAAGAUAACUCUAUAUCCUUUAUCACAUAAUUGACUAAUACUAAGCAAAUUGUGUUUCAAGUUUUCAACUACACACACAUUUUCAAUGAGAGUAGAGGAUACAUUACCGACAUUUCCAAUCCCAAUGAUUUUUCCUUUUGAAUUAUCUCCAAAUGAUACAUCUCCACCAUUUUCGAUCUUAGUAAAGCUUGAAAACCAAGAAUAAUUCCUUGUCAUGUGUCUUGAACAACCGCUGUCCAAGUACCACUUAUUCUUCUUCUUCUUCAAGCCCUGUAGAGAAAAUCUCAAGUUUUAGGUACCCAAACCUUUUUGGGUCCUUGAGAGUUAGCAAUGGUUCCUUUCGGAACCCAAACACAUUUCACACCAUAAUAUGCAUUUCUCUUCACUGCACAUCUAUUUUUCAUAUGACCAUCUUGAUUACAAUAAUGACAUACAAUUUGAUUGUUGAUAGAUGUAUUCUUCACAAAAUAACUCUUGUAAAAUUUUUGUUUAAAAUUUGGUUUAUAACCAAUGCCACUUUUGUCGAAUACACAUUUUUGUGAGUUUAGCAAAUUGUCCAACAUCUUUUGCCCAUUUGUGAAUUUUAGCACAAUUUCAUUUAGUUCAUUGCUCUUCUUUCUAAGCAUUUCAUUUUCAUUUUUCAAGUCAUUCAUUUGUGACUCUAAGUGCUCAUGUGAAGUGCUAGAAUUCUCAAAUAAUGCAAUACUAUCAUGCAAUGUUUUAUUUUCUAAUUCUAGGCAUGUAAUCGUUGCACUAAAUGAUUCAUUUUCAUUUUUAAGCUCUAUCAUCUUCUUUUUAAGACAUAUAUUCUUUUUACCAAUCUUCAUCAACUCAUCAUGCAAAUCCUUAAAGGCAUAAUGUAAUUCAUCAUAUGUAGGAAGAACAUUUACCUCAUCGAGUUCAUCACAUGAUUCUUCCCCAACGGCCAUGAGAGCUAAAUUUGUCAUUUCUUGUUGCUCAUCAUCAUCACUUGUUUCCUCAUCGCUAUCAUCCCAUGUGGCCACCAUAGCUUUCUUUUUAAGUUUGUUGAGAAGAGGACAUUUCGGUCGUAUGUGUCCGGGCUUCUUGCAUUCAUAACAAGUGAUUGGCUCCUUCUUCUACUUCUUAUUCUUGUAGCCUCUGAACUUUCUCUGCUCAUUAUUCUUUUUGUAAUAUUUUCUGAAUCUUCUAGCCAACAUAGCCAACUCCUCAUUAUCCAUUUCGCUUUCCUCAUCACUCUCACGUUUUGAAGCCUUGAGAGCAAUAGUUUUCUUCUUUUCCUCAUGCCCUUUUUCAGCUGCCAAAUCUUCUUCAUAUGAAAUGAGAGAACCAAUUAGAUCAUCAAUAGGUAAAACAAUAGACAACUUUAAGUUUGUGCCAAAUCUCAUUAGCACUUUCGCAACUAGACACUCUAUGAAACUCUUUCUUAUCUAAUGCACAAAACAAGGCAUUCAUGGCCUCGAAAUUUAGAAAAGCUUUUCUCUUUUCGAAUUCAUUCCAAUCCCGUGAAGGUUUUGGAAUAUCUUCUCCGACUUCAUUUUUAGUCAAAGGCAUGAAAGGACCAUCAUUAACGAUUUCCCAAAUUUUAUAAUCUAAGGCUUACAAGUAAAUUCUCAUCCUAGUUUUCCAAUAUGGGUAAUCGUUUCCAUCAAAGUAAGGUGGUCUAGUGGUGGACUGUCCUUCCCUAAAUGUUGAAUCAUUUUGAGUUGCCAUUGAUCUUUAGCUCUUGACGGUUAAGUCUAAAUACGAGCACCUCGCUCUGAUACCAAAUGAAAUAUAAGUGUGCAACCCAAGAGGGGGGGUGAAUUGGAAUUUUAAAAAUUAUCCUAGCAAAUCCACACAACAAGCUAUCUAAUGUCUUAAUAAAAAUUGAAAGCAAUAAGUUCAAUAAAAGCACAAUAAUUAAAUAGUAAGGGAGAAGAGAAACAAACACACGAAUUUUUACGUGGUUCGGCAAUCCCCGCCUACGUCCACGCCUCUAAGCGAUCCAAGCUUGAGGAUUUCACUAUCCAAGCUUUUCCAAGGCUUCAACCGAUUACAAUUGACUUUGAGGUGUCAAUAAACCUUUACAACAAAGAGAUUAUAUCCCAAUCUCUUCACUCAAGUGUCUCACACACUCAAACUCUUACAAUUGAGAUGAAUAAAUGAAGGUUACAAUAAAACUCACUCAAUGAGUAGAUAUUCAAAAAUGAAGAACAAGAAAUGAUUCAAUGUUUGUAUUUUGCAAGUUUUAAGGCUUAAGAUAUCACGUGUGCUUUUUGUUUUUGCUUAUUGGAGAAAUUCAAAAUGAGUUGGAUUUGAGUUCUUAUAGUUUGAGCUCAAAAAUUAGCCGUUACUCACAUUUUGGGUGUAUCCGGUUUGCCGUUUAUGGAAUCCGAUAAGCCAGAUUUAUGUUACCGUUUGAAUUUUGCCUAUCCGGCUUACUGGUUACGAAAUCCGGUAAGCCGUUUGCGUUCUGGAUGCUUACUGUCCCGUAUCCGAUUUUCUAAUUUUUAUAUCCGGUACGCUGCUUGAUACAGUAACCUGCUACACUGAGAUUUUUCCUAAAUUUUCAGUUUGACCCCCAAACUUUAUAAAACUGUAGUAUGGCUCAAAACGUUAUAAAAGUUUGCAAAUAGGUCCAAUUUCAUAAUUUCUAAGUAAUGCUUCGUUAAUCCUAAAACUUUCUGAAAUUAUGAUUUCGCCCAAACUUUGUGAAAUUAUAGAAUGACCCAAAACGUUAUCAAAGUUUGUAAAUAGGUCCAAUUUCAUAAUUUCUAAGUAAUGCUUCGUUAAUCCCAAAACUUUCUGAAAUUAUGAUUUCGCCCAAACUUUGUGAAAUUAUAGAAUGACCCAAAAAUAUUUAAAUAGUUUCAAAUAGGUCCAAAUCCGAAAUUUAAAACAUUAUCAAAGAUUUUGAAAUUUUAGUCCAAAAUGUUUUAAUUCCAUAACAUCAUUUUCUUAUUAUAAAAGCACAAUUCAUAAAUCUUUGCUUAAUAAAUACAUGUGGUUUGUUAUCAUCAAAAUCAAUAUUUAUAGCCAUAUAGGCUAACAAUAUUGUUCACGUAUACGGUACUAUUCCCAUAUACGGUACUGUUCACAACUGCGGUGGAGACGACCAUUUAUACUUGGGAGACAGUCUAUUGUAAGUAGUGUGUAUUUUUACAUGUCUAGAAAAGUUCUGUCAACAAGGCAAUAAGAGUCUAAGGAUUCCAGUUUUUAAUUGGGACCGAGUUCCCGUCCAAUCUCUAGAGAACUUUCCUAGUGCAUUUAUUUACGCGAAAUAAACAUCAUAGAGGCUGUUUUUUUAAGUGUAAAUAGUUGUUGAAGAAACUGAUCAUUUGAGAUAAAAAGGAUGGCAGAGGCAUCGUCGUCAUCUUCAUCAGCGAGGACUACUGUGACUAAUACAAAGUUUGAAGUGGAGAAAUUCGAUGGUACCAAUAAUUUUGGUAUGUGGCAAUGUGAGGUGUUGGAUGUCUUAUGUCAGCAAGAGUUGGACGUUGCUCUUGAAGAAAAGUCUGACAUGAUGGAUGACAAGGAGUGGAUAAAGAUCAACAGACAAGCAUGUGAUACUAUUCGCCUAUGUUUGGCUAAAGAUAAAAAAUACUCUGUCAUGAGGGAGACAUCGGCAAAGAAAUUGUGAGAGACACUGGAAGAAAAAUAUAUGAAGAAAAGCCUUGAAAAUAGGCUUUAUAUGAAAAAGAAACUCUAUCGUUUCACAUAUACACCUAGCAUGUCAAUGAAUGACUAUGUGAACUCAUUUAACAAAAUAUUAGCAUAUUUGCUAAAUUUGAAUGAGCAAUUUGAAGAUGAAGAUAAGGCACUAUUGUUGUUGAAUUUCCUUCCUGAUGAAUAUGAUCAUCUCACCACUACUUUGUUUCAUGGGAAAGACAGUGUCACAUUCGAUGCUGUAUGCAGUGCAUUGUACAACUCUGAGACCAGAAAGAAAAAUAGAAGGAUCACAGAGAUACAGUAGCGGAAGUAUUAACAGCGAGAGGCCGUUCACAAAGCCGCAAACCUAGAAAAAGAAGCAAGUCUAAAGGAAGCCUUGCUAAAGAUUAGUGUGAUUUUUGUCGCGAGAAAGGGCAUUAGAAAAAGAAUUGUCAUAAGUUACAAAAGGGUAAGGCUACUUCUGAUGCAUGUGUAGCAGAACAUGACGAGGAGUCAGACUUUAGUCUGGUUGGCAUGACAUUGAUGUCUCACUCAGAUGAGUGGAUUUUAGAUUCAGGUUGUACUUAUUAUAUGUGUCCUAACAAAGGCUGGUUUUCUAACUUCAAGGAGCUAGAUGGUAGAGUUGUUUUUAUGGGCAAUGACAAUGCUUGUAAAAUCAUGGGAAUAGGUACAAUCCAAUUAAAGAAUCAUGAUGGCUCAAUCCAAGUCUUGACGGAUGUUCGCUAUGUACCAAGCUUGAAGAAAAAUCUCAUCUCAUUAGGAGUCCUAGAAUCUAAAGGGCUCACAAUUACUUUGGGAGAUAGAUUGUUGAAGGUAGUAGUUAGGGCGCUGAUGGUAAUGAAGGACAUAAGAAGAAAUAACUUGUAUUAUUUCCAAGGAAGUACAAUUAUUGGAUCAACAUCAAUAAUUUCUAGAAAAAAUACAGAUUCCGAAGCGACCAAGUUGUGGCAUAUGCGUUUAGGACAUGCUGGUGAAAAAGCUUUGCAGACUUUGGUAAAGUAAGGCUUAUUGAAAGAUACAAAUUCCUGCAAAUUAGAAUUUUGUGAACAUUGUGUUCUGCGCAAGCAGACAAGGGUAAAGUUUGGUUCAACAAUUCAUGAUAUAAAAGAAAUUCUGGACUAUGUUCACAGUGAUAUGUGGGGACCUACCAAAACAGCUUCUUUGGGAGGUAUGCACUAUUUUAUUACUUUUGUUGAUGAUUAUUUAAGAAAAGUAUGGGUGUAUUUGAUGAAGAAUAAGAAUGAAGUUUUGGGCAUUUUUUUGAAAUGGAAGAAAAUGGUUGAGACUCAGACUGGUCAAAAGGUCAAAAGACUUCGCUCAGACAAUGGUGGUAAGUACAAGAGUGAACAAUUUCUUCAAAUAUGCCAAGAUGAGGGAAUUGUGCGACACAACCACAACAGAAUGGGGUGGUAAAAAGCAUGAACCGGAUUAUAUUGGAGAAAAUUCGGUGUAUGUUGUCCAAUGCUGGAUUGGGCAAAGAGUUUUGGGCUGAGGCAAUUAUACAUGCGUGUCAUCUAAUCAAUCAUUUGCCAUCAGCUGCAAUUGAGGGUAGAACACCCAUGGAGAUGUGGACCGGUAAACCUGCUACUAAUUAUGAUUCUUUACAUGUUUUUGGUUCCACUGCUUAUUAUCAUGUAAAGGAAUCUAAGUUAGACCCAAGAGUAAAGAAAGCAUUGUUCAUGGGUAUAACUGGUGGAGUAAAAAGAUAUCGUCUCUGGUGUCCUGUUAUGAAGAAGAUUAUUUUCAGCAUAGAUGUAACUUUUGAUGAAUCAGCCAUGUUGAAACAAAAAGAAUCUCAAGAGAAUGAGAAGACCAGAAGAACUUUGCAGCAGGUGGAGUUUGAAAAGAUUAAAGCUGAUCCAGCUGGUGUCAAUGAGAUGGAUAGUGAUUCUCUAUCGACCGAUGAUGAUGAAGGGGUUCUGACCCAGGAACCUUCACAGCAACAAGAUUCAAUUGCAUAUAGAAGGUCACACAGAGAGAUUCACAGACCUGCUCGCUUUGUUGAUACGGUGGCCUAUGCACUUCCAACUGUAGAUGAUGAUUUCCUUCCACUUACAGAGAAGCAGUAAGUAACCCAGAAAGUAUACAGUGGAAGAAAGCAAUGAACGAAGAAAUGCAGUCUCUUCACAAAAAUGAAACUUGGGAGUUAAUUACACUGCCCAAGGAAAAGAAAGCAAUUGGGUGCAAAUGGGUAUAUGCAAAAAAGGAAGGAUUUCCUCGUAAAAAUAAAAUUCGAUACAAGGUUAGAUUGGUAGUGAAUGGUUACGCUCAGAAGGAAUGAAUAGACUACAAUGAGGUAUUUUCUCUAGUUGUGAAACAUUCGUCUAUUCGAAUUUUGCUAGCCAUAGUUGCACAAUUUGAUCUUGAACUAGUUCAGCUUGAUGUAAAAACUGCAUUUUUACACGGUGAUUUGGAAAAUAAAAUUUGCAUGACUCAGGCAGAUGGAUUCAAGGUUGCUGGAAAAGAAAAUUGGGUUUGCAAAUUGACAAAGUCGCUUUAUAGAUUUAAACAGUCUCCGAGGCAGUGGUAUAAGUGAUUUGAUCGAUUUACGAAAGGGCAAAGGUACACACGAAACAAAUUUGAUCAUUGUGUGUAUUUUCGCAAGCUACAAGAAGGAUCUUUCAUUUAUUUGCUAUUGUAUGGCGAUGAUAUGCUAAUAACAUCCAAGAGUAAAUAUGAGAUUGAGAAGUUAAAGACUCAACUCAAUCAAGAAUUUGAAAUGAAAGACCUGGGUGAAGCUAAGAAGAUUUUUGGCAUGGAGAUAUGCAGAGAUAGAGCUCGUGGCAAAAUAAGCUUAUCUCAAAAGCAAUAUUUGAAUAAGGUAUUACAACAGUUUGGUAUGACUGAGCAGAAAAAACCUGUAAGUACCCCAUUGGCUUCUCAUUUCAAGCUUUCUACACAACUAUCUCCUUCGACAGAUGCAGAACGAGAAUACAUGUUACAAGUUCCAUAUUCAAAUGCAGUGGGUAGCUUGAUGUAUUCAAUGGUGUGUACAAGGCCUAACAUUUCACAUGCAGUUGGUAUAGUGAGCAAGUAUAUGCAUAAUCUUGGUAAAAGGACAUUGGCAAGCUGUAAAAUGGAUUCUAGGGUACAUUUAGAAGACUGUGGAUGUUAGUUUACUGUUUGAGAGAGACGAUACACUUGGUCAAGGUGUGAUCGGGUACGUUGAUUCUGAUUAUGCUGGUGAUUUGAACAAACGACGGUCAACCACCGGAUAUGUAUUUACUUUUAUUGGAGGGCCAAUCAGUUGGAAGUCUACACUACAGUCUACAGUUGCACUGUUGACCACAAAGGCCGAGUACAUGGCAAUUACGAGGCUGUUAAAGAGGCUAUUUGGUUACAAAGCUUGCUUGAAAACUUGAGAUUGGUACAGAAGCAAAUUAAUGUAUAUUGCGACAGUCAAAGUGCUAUUCACUUAACGAAGAACCAAGUUUAUCAUGCACGUACGAAGCAUAUUGAUGUACGAUUUCACUUUGUGUGGGAAAUUGUUGAUGAGGGGAAGGUUCUUCUUCAAAAACUUAAGACUGCAGAUAAUCCUGUAGAUAUGUUGACGAAGGUAGUGACGGCGGCAUUGUCUAAACGUGAUCAAUAUCCUACAAGUUUGAAAGUAGUCGGAGAAGGCAGAGAUUGGAGGAUGAUUUGAUGUACUGGAAGUUUAGUAUUCGGCUCAGAAUUGAAUAAAUCUUAGCCGAGAUGGAGAAUUAUUGAAAAGUCAAAGAAUGACUUGCAAAUUUCAAAAGGCAAAGCUGGUGGGUUUGCCAAAUUCAAAAAAGUAAAGUUGGUCGGCUUGCUAAUUUCAAAAGACAAAGUUGGGUGUUGAAAAGCUUGUGCAUGCAAUACAAGAUCUAGCUCAACGUUUUGACCAAUUGAACCCAACUUGGAGCAAAAUGCACUCUAUAAAUAGAGAAGCAUUUUGCAAUUGUAAGCAUCCAAUUUGAGAGAAGCAGAGAGCAAUUGCAAGUGAGUUCUUUGAGAGAGCUUUAACUUGAGUGUUCUAGUGAGGUUCCAUUUGGGUGUAUUGGGGUUGUGGGUUUUGUAAGUUUUUCUCACUUUUGUAAAUUCCCAUUUGUUGGUAAAAUUAUCUUUCAGUUUUUUACCCGUGGACGUAGGCAUUACGCCGAACCACGUAAAUUAUUGUGUCCUAUUUUCUUUGCAUUUGUUUAUCACCACAUUUAUAUUUCUUUAGAAGUUGCAGUAUUAGUAAUUGCUCAACCCACACUUCCGCAACACAAAUUUCACAAAUUUCACAAAUUUUCCAGAAACGUAUGGGCCCUAUUUUUUUUCAUUUUCAUUCCCUCUUCUAUUUUAAGAAGCAUUCUGAAUUUGAUUCCUGAGUCCCAUGAGUAAACACACUAUUAAUGUAACUCAUGAGUGUAACCAGAGUAGUAAAGGCCAGUAAAGACAGCUGUUAGGAAAAAAAUUACAGCAAAUUGGUCGAAAUUGAUUACUAACAACUCAUUGUAUCCGUAUAUGAAACAAAGUGUUUCAUGCAUGGGGCUGGAAUCAGAUUACCUAAGAGUUUACAAAAUAAAUAAUUAAAUGAUCUCACAAUAUGUAAUAGUUUUCUAAAAUAGAUUUAGGUUAAAACCUUGUCUUUGGUCUUAAUUUUAAUGCGUAAAAAAUAAAAUAAAAACUUUCAAAAGAAAAAAAAUUAAUUUGAAAGACAGUGAAGCAAUUAGCUAGUUACACAUAUCAUAGACCUGUAAGUGGAGCAAUUAGUUUGGAUUCGCAACAAGCACUCGUCUCCUUUCUUAUUUACAUUUUGCCAAAUUCAGAGAGAGAAAUUUUAUGUACAAUUAUUUGUUAAUAAUUUAAAUUACAUAAUGCCCCUUUUGCUUCACACAAGCUCUACUAAACGGAGCAACAUAUAUUAUUCGAGUUAAAAAAUUAACAAGAAUUUAUAAUCGAGAGGAGACGACAUUGCCGGUUACAAGAAAUGGACAAUGUGCCUAAUUAUAUACGACAUGCCGGUUUAUUUUGCGAGGGGGAUCGUAUGAUGAGUAGUUAAUGUCGUCUAGCAGAGUAAGUUAUGUACGUGCUGAUCACUGAUAAUGAACAAAAGUUACAAAACCACUACUCCAUUCUUCAGGAGGACAAAGCCUAGAAAUAGUUAAAUCUCUAUCAUUAGAGUGUUAAGACCCUUUUUUACAUUGAGGUGUUGUAGAAAAAAACUGUAAUUAUAAAAUAAAAGUUAAUAGUAUGUAAUAAACAUAAUUUACAAAUAAUAAUUUUGAUAAAAUUAGUAAAGAUAUAAUAGAUUUUUCAUCAUACAAGUAUAAAAUUAAAUUAACUUAUCUUCAAAACUAUAGCAGAUAGUAUUUACUAAAUAUUUUAGUGCUGCAGCUUUGAAAUUAUAUCUGUCCAAACUCAAUCUUAAAAAAAUCCUAAGUGAGGUCUUGGGGGGUGGGGUGUGCCAAGACUAACCAUCAAGUGAUCUUGAUCCAAGAAUUUUCUUACUAUUUGAGAGUUUUUAAACCUUCACUCAUCAUAAGCAAGAUAAUUCAGAGUAGAAUGAACUAGGUAUGGUACUUGAUUCUGCUAAUUACCCUUGAUUAAGCUCUGAAUUCUCGUAAAAAUAGGACAACUAAACUUGAUCGUAUGCUUACAAAAGAUAUUCUAACGCUCAAGUAAGUGUUUGGAGAUUUUGAAAGCUAAUUUAAAUCUGAAUUUUCUCUUGACUUGAUUUUGGAAAUUGGCCACAAGAUCAUUUCUCAAUCUUUCAACUCAUAUUUAUUGACUGAGAGAUGAAAGAUUGGGGAGAUAAUGCUUUUUAGAUUUGAAUCAUUGCCAUUCAUUCUUGUAAUUUGAUUUUGAUAGUUAAAUUCAUUAACUAUUUUUGUUUCUAUUCGAGUUUUCUGCUCAUGGUUCUGUUAGUAAUCACUUAGCGUUACUUAUCAACAUUUUUGGGUUGAGAAAUAUACAAUUUUUAAACAAGUACAGGAAAUGCAAAUUAAUUCUUAAAAUAAAAAAGAAAUGUAGAAGAUAAAAUUUACAGCUUAUUGGAACUCCAGUGAAGUAUUUGCUCAAAGGAAAGAAGGUAAUCAGAUCACACAAUUUCUAGCUCCGCAUCCUCAGCUCUAUUUGUAUGUUUGUAUUCCAAAAGCAAGUCUUAGUGAAAAUUGACUUGCAUAAUUAAUAUUAUUCGUUAUAAACUUCCAUAAUUCUAAAGCACUUGUUAAUAGAAAAUCGCUUUAGAUUGUACUUAAUCAUACUUCGGCACUCUCAUAAUGUAUUCCUUAAUCUCAUCUAACCAUAAAAGAAAAUAUUUAGGACUAUAAUUUCCAUCAAGCAUUCGAAACAUGAGGUCUUUUGAAUAUUCCAAUCACAAAUGCAAAGCCAAUGCAAAACUAUAAACAAGGCUGAACUAUCAGGUGUGGUAUGGCUACCAGUUGGUGGCCAUAAUUUGGUGUGAUGAUGGUUAAAUCUUGUAGAUAUUGUGGUAAGGAACAUGAUGGUCACUAUGGACUGGUCAGAUUCACAACAGUAAAAGUGGAUCGAAGAGGUGAAUCUCACAGGUUUUGAAGGUUUUGUGUGGUGGGUUAUGGUGGCUUUAAGAUGGCUAAUCAGACACAGUGGUGGCUUGGAUUGGGUGUAGUAGACAGAAGGAAGUUUGAUGAUGGUUGAUUGAUGGUGAGGCAUCAGUGUUAGUGGUGGCACUAGAUGAAACUAGGAAACUACAUUGCUUCAGGUAGAGUUUGCUUACAACAACAUGUCAAAUCGAUCUACUAGCAAUACUACUUUUGAGAUUGUCUAUACUUAUUCCAUAUGCUAUGUCUAUUAUCUGGUUGGGAUGCCAAUAGUAGUCGGAGGAAGUAAAUCAAUGGAUAAUGUGGCAGAAAAAGACUGCAGAUUCAUGCAGAGGUGUGAGCUGACUUGGAGGUUGCCAAUGCUAUGUACAGGGCUAAUGUGGACAAGCAUCAACGCAAAAAAGUAUUUUAGGAAGAUGAUUUGGUGAUGGCACAUCUAAGGCAUACCCAUUUUCCUGGCAUUCACACUAAGUUGGACAAGCAGAAGUGUAGUCCAUCUCAUGUGGCGAUGUAGAUUAAUGAUAAAACUUAUGUGCUGCCGCUGCAAGAAAAUUGGAAUAUCUCUCACACUUUUAACGUGGUUGAUUUGUUUGAAUAUCAUCCAAAUGGUGAAGAGUUGAAUUGGCAUAACUCGAGGGCGAGUUCUUUGCUUUGAUACCAACUAAUGAUGCAAAAAUGUAAAAAAAUUGAUUGAUAAUAUAAACUAGGUUUUUGAAUAGCGAAAGUUUUAUUAGAAAAGUCUUAAUAAACAAAACUAGGGUUUGAGGUCCCCUUAUCGUGAAUUUACUAAAAUAGGAAAAUUUGAAAUAUUAUUUUAUAAUAAAUACUCCUAAUCUAAUUAAGGAAAGCAAAAUAACCGCACCCAAAUUCAAUGUAAAAAAAAAAAGAUAAAAAUCAUGAAAGUAAUAGACAAAUAAGAAAAUAACUUAAAAAUAAAAAAAGGACCAAGAAGGAAGCAAAAUUCUCAGCUCAAUCACAGGCAAAAUAGUACAACCAGCUCUGGAUUUGAUUCAUCUCGUCGUAAGCUUUGAAACGAUAUAUUUUAUGGCAAAAAUAAACACCUAUAGCCCAUGUUAUAACCUUCGGAAGAUACCCUACUCAUUCAACACAAAAGUCCUACAACAAUAUGGCAAGUACAGAGGCUAUUAGGGAGGCUAUUUGAUUACAAGGUUUGUUUGAAAUCUUGGGACAAGUACGGGAGCAAUUAAGAUGUUUUAUGACAGUCCAAGUGCUAUUCACUUAGCAAAGAAUCAAGUUUAUCGUGCACGUACAAAAUAUAUCAACAUAUGAUUUCAGUUUGUGCAAAAAAUAAUCAAUGAGGGGGAUAUUCUUCUUUGAAAGGGCAAGACCGUAAAGAAUCCCACAAAUAUGUUGACCAAGGCGGUGGUGACAAUCAAGUUUAAGUAUUAUCUAAAUAUGAUCAACAUCUUGCAAGCUUAAAAUAGUAAGAAAGGCAGAGAUUGGUGGGUGAUUUACUGUACACAGUUUAAUUUCUUUCAAAUAAAGGUAGAGAUUUAUUGAAAUAUUGAUGUCAUGUGGGAAAUCAUUAAAGACAAAUUGGCGAAUAAUUGAUUGGUAAAAGCGUGAAGAUGAAAUAGUAAAACUAUUUGACAAUUCUUUUCGUAAAAUUAAAUGCUAUACGGCGAUUUUGGCGAAAAUGGAACGUGGCAACAAAUUGCACAUGCAAAAUUGUUAACAAAAUGUGCAUGGCUUUAAUGCAUGCAAUUAAAGUUGCUAUCUCCAUGUCAUGGGAAAUUGAAAGGAUGGCAAUUCAUGCUCCUUUUGUCAAGAUUUGCCCAGCAAAAUGGCGGCUUGUCCCAGUGGAUUUUGUUCCAUAAUUGUCAACGGGCAAAGCCAUUAGAUGCCUAUAAAUAGAGCCUCAUUCCACAGAGUUAAAGUCAUCCCAAAUUGUAAAAAUUUGAGAGCAUUUGCAAAUGAGCUCUUCAAUAAUGCAGAGAGAGCACUUUCUUAGAUGUUCCUUGAGUAUGCUGCAGUAAUUUUUUACUUUACUGAUUUUGUAGAUCCUUUUGUUUUUGCUGCUCUAUAAGGCCUCGGCUACUGACGGUCUUUCUCUAACCGUUUCUGUACCUACAGCGGAACCUUAUAAUAAACUUUCCAUGUUUGUAGAGUUGCCGUGCUUGUUCAGCUGAAUGAUACUUUUGUCCCCUGCUCUUCUCUGAAGUAAAUUUUAUAAAUCAAAUAUAUGGUAUAAAUCAGAAUAGUACUUCAUCCAUCUCUCAAAUCUUAUUAUACAAUUAUUAUUCAAUUCCAUUUGUCUUUAUAAAUUAAUUUAAUUUGUACAGUUUCAUUAAUUUACAGCAUUUUGUCAGACUUAAAAUUGAUUUGAUUUGCCAAAUUCGGGACCCAGCCCUCUUUCUCCCCCCAAAGUAUCCAGUAUUUAACUGAGAAUUGAGUAGUGUAGAUAUAUCCCUCUAAUUAUGAGGGUAGAAUUCUGGAUUGUACUUUAGUGAGAAUUAAUCAAGGUGAGUCCUAGUAGAAUUCUAAUUGUAAAAUAUGUAAGUAGAAUUUCCACAUAUUGAAAAAAAAAAAUUGAUUUAAUUUGUAAUGUUAAGUGAUAUUCCACAAACAUCAGCCACAAUAUCAGAAGUCACCCCCGCCCAUGUUAUUCAAGUGAAAUCCAUAAAAUUUCAAUAAGAAUAAAUCUCAACAACCAAAGCCUUUGUAAGCUUGAUGUGCAAUAUUACUUAGAAGAGGCAAGCUAAGCUAUUCAACUAGAACACCAGAAGCUGUAAGGAAGGGGGAAAAAAUCCAAUCAGAUUGCAAAAAGCUAGGCUUAUUAAUUUAGAGGAUUGCUACACAUCCCAAAUCCUUUAUCCCAAAAAAUUUAUUCCAAAUGUUGUGUCAUUCAUCAAUUAGUUAGUAAAUAUUUUACUUAGAUCUUGUAAAGAAUUACCAACCACUCAAUUAAUAACACCUCAUUUGGGAUAAAAUUUAGGAUAAAAAUUUUGAGAGGUCUAUCAUUACUCCUAAAUUUAUUGUUUAUCCAAAUGUACACAAAAUAUAAGAUAUUUUGCAGGAAAAAAAAGAAAAGGAAAUAGACGGUUUAGUAUUACAAUCUAAUUUGAGUUAAAAACCCCUCUGUGAGCCAUUUUCUUGCCCCAGAUUGAAAUAAAAAUAAAGUUAUCCAGAUGGCCUUCAGCUGGACAUAAAAUGAGGUUAAUGAGUGCCAUAUACACGUGUGCGCGCACGCAAUAGUGGAUGCAAAAAUAAGAAAGCUGUACGAAGAAACAAUGCUGCAAUGAUAAGAGAAAUUAAGAAUACAAAACAGAAUAUUUAUUUCAGUCCUUUAGUUUUCCCUAAAUCGCAAACUCACAUAGCUUCAAUUUCAAAGAUCAUGAAUGCAAUUUUGAUUCAUGGAAGCCACAUUCUGAACAACUAUUGGAAUAUUGUUUGUUUCUGAUCCAAGCAGAGCAUUCUCUGGUAAUUCAGCAUAAGAAAAUUUUCAAGAGUAGAUAUAGUAAAUAAUAAAAAGAAUGUAAAUGAAUUAUAAAUAGCAAAGUACAAAAAUUGAAAUUGAGAUAUAUGCGCAAGAGGGUAAUCACCAGGCUUCACCCAAUCGCUCUUCAUUCGAGCUCUCUAAACCUUUUAGGUUGUGGUUCCUCAUCAUCACAGCAGCCACUUCCACUGGCUUCUGCCCCAAAGUAUUCAGUAAGGCUUCGCUUUGACGUUGUGGCUACAAUCAUCUUCGAUCCAACAAAAUGUUAUCGAAUUCAUUCAGAUUAUAAACAGUAAAACGACUUGGUUGGUUUGUCGUUUGGUCUAACUCCUCCACUUCGUCCAUAUAAACUGGAUGUAAACCACACAUCUUCACCUCCAAUCCUUGGCCCAACCAGGGUUCAAGUGAUACAUUAACAUGAUUAGAUUCAAAGGCUCAAGAUUAGACUCUAAAGGCAAUCUAAUAUCGUAGCAUGUUUGACGAGACAAAUAGAGUAGCCAAAGAUGGUCUGACCCAGCCUGACCGAAUUUAUCUCUAAAAUCAAUUCGAUAACUGCCAUGUCCAAUGCGGCAAUUCAACUGAUGUGUGGGAUAUGAACCAAAACGAUUGUUACCACGUGAAUUUUUUAGGACAUGAAAAACACAGCAGAUAGCAUAUCCCACCAACUUUUUCUUAUUAUACAGAUUUGAAGGCCUUGUGACUGUUAUUGAAGAUCCCUCAUUCUGAUACAUGAACCACUCCGGUAUUUCACUUCCUGGAACAACAACGCUUAAAUGUUGUCUUGUAUUUGACACUGCCUGCAUCCAAAAUAAUAAUAAUAAUAAUGAAGUCCAAACCAUUGCUUAAUGUUUUGGCAUAUAUAAUUUUGGCAUACGGAGUAAAAAACUGACCUCUAGGUACUCUCGUAGCAUUGAAAACGCCAAACUUUUGUUGCCGAGCAAUUUUAAGCUGUCUAAACAAUUAAUCAUUGUGCUGUCGGGCUUGCAUAAUUUUAAAGCAUCUAAUAAUGUCACUAACGAAGCACAACCAUUUACUCUAACUUCCCUGAUAUUGGGUGGAAGUUGUGGCAGAGAUUGAAGCCUCUUGCAAUCCUCCAAUUCAAUAUUCCAAAGCUUAGAAAGACGGGUAAUGCUUGUUGGAAGUGAAACAAAGCUGUUUUUACUCAAAUAUAACUCUUCUAAUGAGCAUAGGUUGCCAAUAUCACUUGGAAGGGCUCCUUCCAUUAGAUUACAAUCAGUGAGAUUCAAUUUCCUCAAAGAACACAAACCUGAGAGAGAAGGCAACUUCAGAGCCACAGACUUUCGCAUUAAGUUGAUUGGGAUGUACGAAUACCAUGACGUCGAAUGUGGUACAGCUGUUCCACUGAUAUCAAGCUCCUCCAAACAUUCAAUUUGUCCAAGUGUCUCUGGCACAUUUUCAAGUUUGAAGCAGCCAGAGAGAUUCAGAGUUUUAAGAGAUUUCAAGGCAAUUAUACUGCUUGGAAGUCUCACAAGAUUUUUACAGUCACUCAAGUUCAGCAAUUCAAGUUUUGUCAAAAGUUCUAUGGAUGAUGGCACUUCUUUGAUAGAAGUUCCAUCUAAAAAGAUCUCUGACAGAUCUUUCAUACUUCUUACAAUCUCAGGAAACUUCUUAAGUUUCGAGCAACCAGAGAGCUUUAAAGUCCUAAGACAUUUUAAACUACUUACAGUAACUGGAAGAAUCUCGAGACUCCUGCAAUUUUUCAAAUUCAACAAAACAAGGCCGGACAGAAGUUCAAUUGAUAGUGGCAAUCCUCUAAUGGCUGUUCCCUCCAAAUGAAGCUCCGACAGAUGCUCCAUAUGUUCUACAAUCCCUGGAAACUCUCUAAAUUUCAAAUCACCAGAGACAUCCAAAGUUGAAAGACAUUUUAGACCACUUAUGGUCGUUGGAAGACUUUUGAGAUUCUUGCAAUUGUUUAGAGCCAGCAAGACAAGUUUGGAUAGAAGUUUAAUAGAUAAUGGCAGUUCUUCAAUAGCUGUUCCAUCCAACAAAAGCUUCGACAAACACUCCAUACUUCCCACGAUGUCCGGAAAUUUCUUUAAUUUCGAGCAACCAGAAAGAACAAGUUUUUCAAGAGAUUUCAUCAAAAUCUUGCCAGGAAGAGUUAUAAGACUUGUACAAUCUUUCAUGUUCAAUAUGAUAAGCUUAUUGUGAAGCAGCAGAGAUGGGUGAAUUUCAUACAACCUUGUACAUCCUUCAAGAAUCAGCUUCUCUAAAUUUGGGGCCCCUGUGAAGUCUGGCAUCCUUAUCAAGUUCUCGGAAUGGCUGAGUAUCAUGACUUUCAACUUGUCUAAACGCUGUAGAAAAUAAAAAGGAGCGAGAAAGAUAUUUCUUAAUUCAAUUAGAGAGGAAUGGCAAAACUAAUAAAUUUAUAUACUAUUAUUCACUGAGAAAAUAUAUAUUAGUGACAAAAUUGAUCUUACUUUGAUUCCCUUCCACAAUUCUCCUAUGCGGCUAUAAGACAUGUUAAUUUCAAUAGUUUUAUCCAUUUGCAAAUUUGAUGGCAAAAAUUUCAAAGGAUAUCCAUGCCAAUCAAGUAACCUUAACCAAUUAGACAGGUAUUCAAGGCCAUUAGGAAGUUGCGGAUUACAAAUUUUGAGCAAUCUUAGGUUGGUCAUCUUCGAAAAUGCUUUAGCACUCGCACACAAAUACACCUCAUUUUGAAGAUGGUAGUUAUCAAGUACUAUUCCUUCCACUAGUUCAGUUCCCUGAAAAAAUCAUAAGCAAAGGAUAGACAAUAAAAUAAUAAUGUAAAGAUGUUGAAAAGUUGUCUGAGAUUUAAGUAGGUGAAAGAAAUUAACAAGCACGAGCUGAGGAAUACAUGUUUUCCAAACAAAUUAGUCACUUACUGUGCUUUCUGUCAACACAUGGCAUACUUCUUCUUCCUUCCAUAAUCUGCUGCGUUUCCCAGGUUCUUCAGGUGAUUGUCUCUGGACAAUUUGUUGCCCUAAUUCUUGUAACAAAUCAUGCAUCCACAGUGUGUUAUUAUGCACAGUUAUUAGACAUUUUUCAAUGAGAACUCUUAUUCCAAUAACUGGAUGAAAACCACAUCCCUCUAGAAAAUUCGUGACAUAAUCCCUAUCAUUUCCUUUAAAGAAACAUGCAACAUCGAGAAAUAUUUUUUUCUCUAGCUCCUGUAGCCCAUCAAAACUUAUUUGAAGUAUAUCCAGAAUCUCACUAGGAGGUUCUAUUUCUAGCCGUUCCAGGGUACUUCUCCACUCAUCCACAGAUCUACCAGACAAAAAGGAACCCAAAACUUCUACAGCCAAUGGAAGACCACCAGCAUACCGGAUAACACGUGCAGAUAGCUGCACACAUUCUUGCAAAGGUUGAUAAGUUUUAAAAGCUUUCAUAAUGAAGAGUUGAAGAGCUUCAUCAUAAUUUAGCCCAUGAGGCCUAUACACUUCAUCAACCCCAUGUGUUUUCAACAACUGUUCGUCUCUUGAUGUUAUGAUGAUCCGGCUGCCUGAACCAAACCACUCACGAUUUCCAGCUAAACUUUGUAAUUGUUUUACAUCAACCACAUCAUCAAUAACAAGAGCCUUUUUUCUUUGCAGUCUACUUCCUAACAUGUCGAUACCAUCAAAGACAUUCCAUAUACUAUUAUCUGCAAGCUUUAAUAACUGGGAAAGGAGUUGCCUUUGUAAAGAGACUAGGCCCCCUUUACCGGAAAUUUCUCUAACAUUGGCAAGGAAACCACUUGCUUCAAAUUCAUGAGAGAUCAAGUCAUAAACAACUCUUGCUGUCUUACCUAGACCUCCCAUCCCACAGAUCCCUAUCAUACGCACAUCACUAGACCCUGAGUCCAUAAGAAACCUUAGUUUCUCACAACGUGAAUCCAUUCCUACUAGCUCCUUAAGAGUCUCUGGUUUUGUACGAAUUUUACUUGAUACCACAUUGACAAUUUCCUCAAUAAGUUUUGACUCAUUGCUACAGAUUGAAAUCAACGAGAAAAGAUUAGUGUUAAAUUAAAGUAAGUGUGGACGUGGAGUCAAAUUAAUUCCAUUAAAUGUACAUAAAAAUUAUGCAAAAUUCAUUGGACCAAAUUGAAAUAAUAUAUUUUACAUAUGGAAAAUCUUUAGUUGUGUUCUUCAUGUAAAUAUCUACAUUGAUCUGUACCUCUCAGUUUGCAAAAAUAAACUUGUGGAGCUACUAUUUCAAAUACUACACAUCAUAUGAAAUAUGUAUUAACUAGAAGCAUUUUAAUUGAAAACACUCUAAAAGCUGUUUAAGAAUGGUUACCUUUGUUUUAAUUCCCAACCGGAGAUAUUAGCCACCUCUUUCAAAAUGUCUCUCCACUUUUGCACCUUUUCUUUAUUGUCCCUAAAAACUUCUUCAUGUUUAGCAAAUGCCUCAUGAAAAUUUCUUGUCUGUUUUCUUACCACAGUCGGUUCCAUAUCAUAGAAAAUAGGAAAAAUUUGAUCUUCUGCGUUCUUGCAUUCAACAAUCUUAACAAGUUCAUCCAAGCACCAAGUGGAAGAAGCAUAGUUUUGCGAGAAAACAAUAAUUGAUAUUCUUGAUUCUUCAAUUGCUUUAAGGAGUUCUAGUGGAAUGGAUCUUCCUCUCUCAAGUUCUUUGUCAUCCUUGAAUACAUAAAGUUCUUUAUUUUUCGACGCAGCAUAGAGAUGACCUGUGAAGCGUUUACGGGUGUCUGCUCCUCUAAAUCUUAAGAAGGCAUCAUAUUUCCAAUGAGAGAUAUUUUGGAUGCUGGUGGAAGCCAUUAUAUCUUUUUCCUGAAAAUUUACAAUAAACUAAGUGGCUUCCUGGGAACAAAAUACCCAUCAUUACUAUGCAAACAAAAAUGCAAUAUAUAUCUCAAUUGUCAAAGUUGUAUAGCUCUAGGUUGCACUGCACUGAAUUGCAUUAAGCUCUGAAGCAAUACCAUGUGUUAGGUAAAUAAGAGCACCAACUCGGCCAUGCCAUCAAUGGUACGAGCAGAACACUGAUAAUGAGCCCUCUACAAACAUGGGCCGACUAGAGACGAGUACCAGCCAGAGGAAUAUACCGACCAGAGACAUAUACCGAGCCGAUACCCAUUCCCCAAAGAGCGGGAACACGAUCCCACAGAAUCACAACAGUUGUGCUUUUCCCAAAACCGUUGAGGGAAGCGCGAGAUCCCACGUUUGCCCAUAAUGCAGUAGUUAGAGUCCCAUGAGGGGCUGCCACUACCCGAACAAGGGGGGAUGAAGGGUAAACGGAAACGUGGGACAGCGGCUAUAAAAGAGGAAGAAAUCGAUGAAGAAAGGGAUAGAAAAAUUGAGAGAAGGGAAAACUCUGUCAAAUUGAAACCAGACCAUUUUCAAUACAAAUUGUGAGCCCAUUAUAAGCAAUUUAUCGAAUCUUAAUUGUACCGUUUUCCCGUAAACACCUUGUGCUAACUUAGGCAUCGGAGGGUUUAUGCCGGCAAAACCACUGGCGUCUCUGAUCCACUUUUGUGAACGCAGGCUUAGUGGGAGAAAGAAGGAUAAUUCCAACUUCGGUGACUAGAGCAAUCGUCGAAGCAAGAAGAAAUUGACAUCCUCACUGUUGAUAAUAUAAACGUUGGUGUAAAGAUCUGGUCGGGCAAAGGACGAGCAGAUUUCAGCAUCAACAUUUUGGCGCCGUCUGUGGGGAGCUGGAUAAAAAGCUACCACCAAGUUAAUAGUAACUGGAGAAGCAACGAACGAUUAGAUAUGGAUGUGUCAAGGAAGGAUGCUUUGAGGGAUGACAAUGAAACUGUUGAGACAAUCACUCUCCGGGAAAUUGCGAAUGAAGCUCAAGAGAGGAUGAUGCAAGAUCGACUGGAGCGGAUGGAGAAAUAAAUGGAGACUCUCACGGCCAUACUGUAUGAGCUGAGGGAUGAGCGGAGAAGGGAUUGUGAAACCCCCGCGAGGAGAGAUGAAGUUGGAGCAGAACCCAGCCUCCGGAGGCCUAAAGUCGAGGAAAUUCCUCCGCCGGUGGACCAACCUAAUGGGGUACAUCCCCACAGAAGUACUGGUCAGGUUCCAACAGAACACGUGGAUGAAAGGAGGGACCAACCUCGUCCCGGACGGGUAUUGGAAAUUGAUGGCCGAGCAGCCAAUGUUGAUGAAGGAGAGCUCAGGCAAUGGUUGCAGAAUGCCGAGCAAGAACGAGAUCAGAUAGCUGCACGUGAUCCUGACCGUGCUGUAGAAUUGGAGGGAGAGGUGCGCAGAUUGGCACAGGUGAUGGAGGAGAUACAGGGCAAGAGAAAGCCCCCGAGCUGGAGGAUAAUGCUAGAUGAAGAAUCUCCGUUAUCAACCGAGAUCAUGGGUACUGUAAUCCCAAGAGACUUCCGCUUCCCCGACCUCAAAUACUCCGGGCGAAGUGACCCGUUGGUGCACAUUGAACGUUUCAACGACAUGACGGGUGUGCAGGGGCUGACACCAGCUCAGAGGUGCAGGGUGUUCCCAUUGACGCUAAAGGGACAAGCCCGAGAAUGGUACUGCAAGCUGCCCCGAGAAAGUAUAAAAGGGUACGAGCAGAUGUACCAAGAGUUGGCCGAACAGUUCCGAGGAGCAGUAGCCUUAAAGGACGACAUGAUAGAACUGAUGGGGAUGAAGCAGGAGGAGCAUGAAUCCCUUCAGGAUUUUGUAAAACGAUAUCAUCGGGCCGUGCUGGAUCUGGGAGCUUUUAAUCACCCGCAGGCGUUGAGGGGAUUAAAAGAAUGUGUAAGAAUCAGCCGAUUGUGGAAUAACUUAAGAAGCCCCAUAGUGCAGAAUUACUCGGCGGGGUAAGAACAGGCGAGGCGAGAUAUAGAAAUCGAAGAGGAGAAAUCGGCAAGAAUAAAAAGUGAACAGCUGGAAGAGCUGAGACGAAAGGAACGGAGAGCCCCGAACGAGAACGAAUCGGGAAAGCGAGCUGGGGAAUCCUCAGUAAUGGGCGGAAUAUCAGCUCUGUCCCACCCUUACCCCAUAGCUCAGAGACCACAACAGUUCCAACACGGCCGGGCUCAACCUUCACGCCCCCCAUUCCCGGAGCGGCAACGAGAAUUCAGACAGAUGGCUGCCUACCCUUAUCACAACACUCCCAGAGCGUUACAUGCAACUAAUUCCAGGGCUGGACGACCAGAUCAGCUACCGACGAUACAAGCCCGAGGUGAUAUCCAUGAUAGCCGAGCAGUUCAACUGGUUGACCAGAGCUUGGCGUAUAGACAGUACACCCUAUUAAAAAUCUCCAUGGAGGAAUUGUAUGAGAGGAUCGAAGGACGAGGUCUGCUAUACCCUCCGGCCCCUAUAACAAAAUCUACUCACCGACGUGAUAAGAGCAGGUUCUGCAAAUUCCACAACACUCAUGGUCACACUAUCAGUCAAUGUCAUGACCUAAAGAUUCAGGUGGAGGAUUUAGUGAGGAACCGGUACUUGGAUGAGUAUGUAGAUGGAGUGUCCCCCGUCAUUGAAUCACAGUACAUGCGGGAUGAAGGAGUUGAGAGGGGUCUGGAACGGGAACAGCCGACCAUCCGUGUGAUAGUAGGAGGGCCAACAUUGGCCAGGGAUUCGAACAGGGCACGGAAGAACUAUGGGAGAUACGCCAUGACUGGCAAAGAGGUGCUUCUCAAUUUGCCAAUAGCCAAGAGAGCAAAGGGGCGGCAAGUUCCCAUUAUGUGGACGGAGGACGACGAAGAGGGUAUUUUAUAUCCUCAUGAGGAUGCACUGGUGAUUAAAGCAUUGGUGGCUAGUACAGAAUUGCAGCGAAUACUGGUGGACACGGGCAGCUCAGUUGACAUUCUGUUUAAGUCGGCCCUAGAUGAUAUGGGGAUUUUAUACUUGAAGCUGAAGCGGACGAAUACAUCCUUGAAGGGAUUUGGAGGGGGACGGUUAACUCCUAUGGGGAUCAUCGAACUCCUAAUUACUAUGGGGUCAAAGCCGUUUGAAAGAACGAUGAUGCUGGACUUUGUCGUGGUGGAAGAAAGAAGCCCUUACCAGAUGAUACUGGGGAGACCGUUCAUGAGGAUAAGCCAAUGUGUAAUGUCCACGCAUUAUCUGGCGUUGAAGUACAGAAUAAAUGGAGUUGUUGGCGUAGUAAAAGACGACCAGAGAAUGGCAAUGAGCUGCUAUGCUACAGCGGCCAAGGAAACGCUGCAGGUUACCUCUCUAGAUAACCGAGGGGAUUCAAAAAAGGGUCGCCAGGAACCUGUUGAGAAGCUGGAGGGAGUUGUUGUAAGCAAGAAUAACCCGAGCAGAGUGGUUAAGGUCGGGUCAGAAUUGGGCGAAGCAAUAAAAGGCGAGCUGGUGAAGUACCUACAGUCCCAUGCAGAUAUAUUUGCCUGGUCUCAUGAGGACAUGUCAGGUAUUGAUCGAGGGAUAGCUUGCCACAAGCUGACAAUCAAGAAAGGGGCAAGGCCGGUGAGGCAGAAAAGGAGGUGCUUUAACCAAGAAAGGUACGAGGCCAUAAUUGCCGAGGUAGAGAAGCUGUUGAAAGCGGGAUUUAUAAGGGAGGCUAAAUACCCAGAGUGGAUUUCCAACGUAGUGUUGGUGAAGAGGCCAACGGAAAAUGGCGAAUGUGUGUGGACUUCACAAACCUUAAUAAGGCAUGCCCGAAGGACAGUUUUUCCUUACCAAAAAUAGACCAAUUGGUGGAUUCAACGGCGGGGCAUAGUCUGCUCAGCUUUAUGGAUGUCUUCUCAGGAUACAACCAAAUACCCAUAAACGAGUAGGACGAGGAGAGUACCACCUUUAUAACUAACAUGGGUUUGUUUUGUUACAGGGUGAUGCCUUUUGGCCUGAAAAAUGCAGGAGCUACCUAUCAAAGGUUAGUGAACAAGGUCUUCAAACCAUUGAUCGGUCACACUAUGGAGGUAUAUGUAGAUGAUAUGAUCACAAAGUCAAGAGAACCGAAGGAUCAUGUGAAGCACUUGGAAGAGACCUUUGAAUUGCUGAGAAGGUAUGAAAUGAAGCUGAACCCGGAGAAAUGUGCAUUUGGGGUCAGCUCGGGCAAAUUUUUGGGAUACCUGGUGAGCCAUCGAGGGAUCAAGGCCAACUCAGAAAAAAUACGGACGGUGAUAGAAAUGAGGUCCCAAUGAACAGCUAAGGAGGUGUAGAGCCUUACAGGGAAAUUGGCAGCAUUGAACCGAUUCAUUUCGCGAGCCACUAAUAAGUGCCACCCUUUCUUCCAAACCAUAAAGAAAGAGAGGAAGAUGGAAUGGACAUCAGAAUGCAAAGAGGCAUUUGGACAGCUGAAGGAAUACCUAGCCCGCGCCCCGUUACUAUCAACUCCGAGAGAGGGUGACCAGCUGCUUUUGUACUUGGCAAUCUCUAAAUGGGCUACCAGCUCGGUCUUAGUCAGGGACGAAGAAGGGAAGUAACACCCGGUAUACUACACAAGCAAGGCCCUGGUAGACGCAGAAACCAGAUAUCCACUGAUGGAGAAGUGGACGCUGGCUCUAAUAACGGCAGCACGCAAAUUCCGACCAUAUUUUCAGGCCCACCAGAUUGUUGUGAUGACUGACCAGCCCCUUCGGCAAAUGCUUCAAAAACCAGAUGCAUCUGGUCGGUUAGUAAAAUGGUCCGUGGAGCUGAGCAAAUUUGACCUAUCCUAUAGGCCCCGAAGAGCAAUCAAAGCCCAAGCCCUGGUCGAUUUUAUAGUUGACCGUGCUGAACCAGGGGAAGAAAUUCAGGAGGAACAACCAAUAGAGCAGGAGAAACCAGAGGGGGUGUGGCUGGUGAUGGUUGAUGGGCACAUAAUGAACAGGGAUCCGGAGCAAGAGUUGUAAUACGGAGCCCAAAAGGGAUCGAGGUAUCCUAUGCAGUAAAAUUCGAGUUCCAGCUUACGAAUAACCAAGCUGAAUAUGAGGCCUUCAUUACUGGGCUCGGGCUUGCACAUGCACUACGAGCUGAAAAAGUAGAAAUCCGAGCAGAUUCCCAGCUAGUCUGCAAUCAGCUCUGCAACUAAUUCCAAGUAAGGGAAGAGAAGUUGGGGCGUUAUUUGAAGAAGGUGAAGCAAAUGGUUGAACUCUUCAAAGAGAUAGAGGUAAAGCAGAUAUCCCAGAUGAGAAUUACCAAGCAGAUAUGUUGGCUAGAAUGGCUGCAAUUGUAGAUCCAAAAUUACCUAAGUCAGUUCCACUAGAGGUGAGGACCUCGCCUAGUAUAGGGGAGGAAGUAGAGGUAAUGAGAGUAAGCACUGAAGAAUCCUGGAUGGACCCGAUUCUCGCAUACAUCCGCGAUGGCAUUUUACCGGAGGACAAAAGGCAAGCAAGAAAAUUAAAAUGCCGAGCAGCGAGGUACACGCUACUCGAUGGGAUGCUCUACCGCCGAGAAUUCACCUUGCCCCUUUUGAGAUGUUUGGAUGAUGAGGAGGCAGAUUAUGUAUUAAGGGAGAUUCAUGAAGGAAUAUGUGGAAAUCACUCGGGAGCAAGAACUUUAGCCUUCAAGGCACUCCGGCAAGGAUACUUUUGGCCAACCAUGCACCAGGAUGCGAAAAGGAUGGCAAAGAAUUGUAAAAUCUACCAAAGUUUCUCAGAUAUUCCUGCACAACCCCUAGAAAAGUUUACCACUAUGACAUCCCCAUGACCUUUUGCUCAAUGGAGAAUCGACCUGAUUGGUCCGUUACCGAAGGGCCGAGGAGCAGCAACACAUGCAAUUAUAGCAAUAGACUACUUCACCAAGUGGGUAGAAGUGGGAGUCUUCAGCCAAAUCACGGAGAGAAAGACGACGGAUUUUCUUUGGAAUAAUAUCAUCUGGAGAUACGGAAUCCCUUAUACCAUCAUUACAGACAAUGAGAGGUAAUUUGACAACAACUUCAGAGAAUUUUGCCGGAACCUGGGGGUAGACCUGAAGUUCUGCACCUUGCACACCCCCAGGCAAAUGGACAAGUGGAAGCAGCCAACAAAGUAAUAAAGAAACUCCUGAAAACUAGACUGGGAGAGAAGAAGGGAGCUUGGGUCGACGAGCUGCCAGGAGUAUUGUGGGCUUACCGGACAACUCACAAAACCGCCACAGGGGAAACCCCGUUUGCUUUAGCUUUUGGUCAUGAGGCGAUUGUCCCAGCAGAAAUUGGAGUGGAAACACAUCGGACGGAAUAUUUCAAUAAGGAGCAAAACGAUGAGUAGAUCUGCUUGAGCCUGAACCUGCUGGAGGAGAAAAGGGAAGGGGCCUCGCAGAAAGUGGCCCAAUGUCAGCAAAGGGUGAUGCGUUAUUACAACAAGAACGUAUGCGUGAGGCAGUUCCGAGCAGGGGAUUGGGUGCUUAAGAAGGUGAAUCAAAACACUAGGGAUCCUAACCAUGGCGCGCUCGGCCCGAAAUGGAAAGGCCCAUACAGGGUGAUUCGGGCGACUGGACCAUGAGCUUACAAGCUAGCGUACCCAGACGGACGAGACGUGAAGAGGUCGUGGAACGCCGAGCACUUGAAGAAGUAUUUUCAGUAAGCAGAGUGCUCUACUAAGUCUUCAUUUUGACAAGUUAUUUCUAUUAAAUGCAUGAUGAAUUGUUACACAUGCAUAUAUUCUGCAUUUCUGUAAAGCAUUCAAAUUUCAAUAAAGAUGAAUUCAGCAUGAAAUCCCUCUGCUAGCAAGCCCAUUAAAUUUUACUAAGGCAAGUAAGUGUUUGUUCCUGCUCGGUCAACGAAAGACCAGCAGGCAAUUUCACGAAAUUUUACUAAGGCAAGUAAGUGUCUGUUCCUGCUCGGUCAACGAAAGACCAGCAGGCAAUUUCAUGAAAUUUUACUAAGGCAAGUAAGUGUUUGUUCCUGCUCGGUCAACGAAAGAUCAGCAGGCAAUUUCACGAAAUUUUACUAAGGCAAGUAAGUGCAUGUUCCUGCUCGGUCAACGAAAGACCAGCAUGCAAUUUCACGAAAUUUUACUAAGGCAAGUAAGUGCAUGUUCCUGCUCGGUCAACAAAAGACCAGCAGGCAAUUUCACGAAAUUCUACAAAGGCAAGCAAGUGUCUGUUCCUGCUCGGUCAACGAAAGACCAGCAGGCAAUUUCAUGAAAUUUUACUAAGGCAAGUAAGUGUCUGCUCCUGCUCGGUCAACGAAAGACCAGCAAGCAAUUUCACGAAAUUUUACUAAGGCAAGUAAGUGCCUGCUCCUGCUCGGUCAACGAAAGACCAGCAGGCAAUUUCACGAAAUUUUACUAAGGCAGGUAAGUGCCCAAUCUUGCUCGGUCAAUGAAAAACCAGCAGGCAAUUUUAUGGAAUUUUCACUAAGGCAAAUAAGUUCCUAUUCCUGCUCGGUCAACGAAAGACCAGCAAGCAAUUUUAUAAAAUUUUACUAAGGCAAGCAAGUGCCUAUUCCUACUCGGUCGCCAAAAGGACCAGCAGACAAAUCUACAAAUUUGGUUAUAGCAAACAACUAUCUAUUCCUACUCAGUCGAUUAUAGGGCUAGCAGGCAAAGCCAACUAAAAGUGUUAAGGCAAUUUGCAAAAACGAUUUAUAAGUAAAACCACAAUAGAAGAGCCAAUAGAAAGCAUUUAAAAUUUAUGCUAAAAAAUGUUUACAAAACAGAUGAAAAUUUAGAGUUUAUACAAAAAUAGAACUAAAAAUUUGGAGGGUCGACAGCUUCAGCAGUUGAAGAAUCAGCAAUCUCGGGAGGUGAAGGAUCAGCAAUCUUGGGAGGUGAAGGAUCAGCAAUCUCGGGAGGUGGAAGAUCAGCAACACCGGGAGGAGGAGGCAUGGACCCUUGACCCAUUUCAAGAGCACGACCCCCAGCUUCCCCUUCCUACACCCCAUCUACAGGAGCCUCCACCUGAUCCUGCUCACCCUGCUCCUUACCUCCAUGAUCGGCCUCAGCCAUAUAUCUCUGCACUCCAGCCUCCAGCUUGCUCAUGUCCAGCUCGGGAUAUUCUUCCUUAAGCACAGACAUGAUGCACUUAUAGCAGAAAGCAACCCCAGAGUCAUACUAUGCAUCCAGCCAAUCAUCCACAUCAACAGAUUUGCCUUUCGCCUCAGCCAACUGCUCAUUCAAGGAUUUGAUUUCUCACUCAAGGGCGGUCCUCAAAGUAUCUCUUUCACUUUGAGUAGCCUGAAGAUCAGACUUCAGGUCACCCAACUCACCCUCAAGUUUGGAAGAGGUGGACUCAGUAACCGCAACUUUCUCCUCCAGCUCCGUAAUCUACUUGUUUAGCUCAGCCAGCUUCUCCUUCGAGCGAUCAGCAGAUUCAGUUUUUUUCUUCAAAUCCUGAUUGUCAGCUUGAAGCCUCCUCUCAUGGCGCGUGGACCUGUUCUUGUAACAAGAAACUAUAGUGGCCAGCUUGAAGGAGACCCUCUGGACAGAACCAGCCAACUCACUGAGGCUCAUACUCUCGAUUUCCUUCACCAUCUUGGGCCCCACCGAUUUGCCGUAAUCCCUCUAGUACGGGCUCAGGUAGUCACCUUGAUCCCGAGAUGGAAGAGGAGCAGACCGGUCCCCGGAUUGGAUGCUGACCUCGGGACCCUUGUCGGAAGUUUUCUCCCCACCACUCUUACGAGGUGGAGGAGGAGGCAGAGCAGGAGCAGGAGCUUUGGAAGGACUGACGCUGGUUUUCUUUGGAGGAGGAGGAGGGUUACUGGAGCUGCUUGGAGCCCGAGCACAUUUUCUGCUCAUCGCGCUGAGGAUCUUGUUAUCCAUUCCGGCUGCAAUGUCCACUAAGCCCGAACCGACCAAGUUUGUUGGUGACAGGAGGUCUUGGCAAAUAGACGCGUUCACUAGAGCAGUUUCCACCUGAAGCAAAGGUUGGUCUUCAAGAUCCUUAACCAAACCCCACGAUUCUGAAAAAACAAAUAAGGUUAAAGAACCCAAUAAGUGGCAAUUUGAGAAAGAAUAUAGGCAAAAAAUGAAUGACCUGGGGUGACAAAAUGCGUUGGAAGGUAAAUAUCACCACCCAACGAGCGGGCUGCUGGACACCAAUUUCCUCCAGCAAAGAAGAAUUUGUUCUUUCAAUUUUUGCACGAGGAGGGGAAGCCAGUAAUUGGCUUCCUCUUCGCAAAGCUCGACAUGAAAUAAUACCAGCCUGCUUCCUUUGGGCUACUCCUCAGCUGGUAUAAAUGCUUCACUUCAACAAGGAAGGGCUCAUCUGAUCCACACCUCUCCCAUAAUACGAACAUAGCCGAGAGAACCCUCCACCCAUUCGGAUGUAACUGACCUGGGGCCAGGUGCAUACCCCCCAGUAUCUUGGCAAAAUAACGCUGAAGGGGCAGCCGAGCUCCUAGUCUAAAACUCUUCAGGUGCAUCGUCACAUACCCCCGCGGAGGCCGACUAGGAACAUCACCUUUCCCAGGAACUACAAGGGGAACCUCCUCAGGAAUGUUGUAAAGGUUCCUAAGCUUGAAUAGAUCAGUUUGGGUGGUGGCACAGGCUAUGUAGUCGAUAAGGUAAGAAUCCGCCUCCACCCUAUGGCCAAGGUUUCUCUUCUUAGGAGCUCGGCUCGGCUCGGAACUGCUUCUCUCACCAUCACCCACUUCUUCAGGGACCCCAACCCCAUCAGAACUGUGGUUCUCACCAGAGCCCGACGUAGGUCCCCCUCUAUUUCCUACAAGCUCUAAUUCAGGGGAAGGUGAAAUGGUCAGGGGACGUGGGUACUCAAGGGUAUCCCUGCCAUGGGAGGGGCCUACACUACUCGAGGGACGUAAAAAAUCAGUGUGUAUUGACAAGUUAAGGUGUAAAUCCUCUGUUUCUUUGUCACUCUCAUCUGCAAUCAACUUCCUUCUCCGAUUUGACAUAUCGAAGUCCCAAAAGGAAACCAAAACAAACCCGAGUAUACGAAUACAAAAAGGGGCAACAUAGAACCCAAUCAACAACAACCAAAGAAGAGGUUAAAGGCUAUACUUGGAAUAGACUGGCACUGAUAAUGUUGCUGUGAUGGAGGAAAGACCCAGUAAACGGAAAUCCCAGACGCGGAAAGUAUGAACGAAGUUCGUAGGAGUUGUCUCACGACAGAGAAGCGAAUAGUAAAACGAUGAUGAUUUCAAUCUAGGGAUUUGAAACGAAAAGGGGGAAAUGGAAGCGUUUAAGUGAUGGGCAUGCCAGCUCACUCACCUUAUAUCGAGGAUGGAUAGCCCGUCGUUUCAAAUUUCAAAUACGAAGAGUCGGGAAGCGCCACGUCACUAACUAUUAUAAAAGGCCUGACGAGACAUAGGCCCAAAUAUUUACGAGAUAUAUUCAUAAAGGCCCAUACUCGGAUAAAAAUCUCCUCAGACGAGAGAGGGAACCUCAGGUCCAUCCCAGUAAACAGAAGACCAAAUGGGAAGUUUCCCGGGCCGGUAAGAUUCGAUUAUCAGUUUCUACUCUCAACUCCUUUCACUCGCAAGACCAGAAACUGGGGGACUGGUGUUAGGUAAAUAAGAGCACCAGCUCGGCCAUGCCAUCAAUGAUACGAGCAGAACACUGAUAAUGAGCCCUCUACAAACAUGGGCCGACCAGAGACGAGUACCAGCCAGAGGAAUAUACCGACCAGAGACAUAUACCGAGCCGAUACCCAUUCCCCAAAGAGCGGGAACACGAUCCCACAGAAUCACGACAGUUGCGCUUUUCCCAAAACUGUUGAGGGAAACGCGAGAUCCCACGUUUGCCCAUAAUGUAGCAGUUAGAGUCCCAUGAAGGGCUGCCACUACCCAAAAAAGGGGGGAUGAAGGGUAAACGGAAACGUGGGACAGCGGCUAUAAAAGAGGAAGAAAUCGAUGAAGAAAGGGAUAGAAAAAUUGAGAGAAGGGAAAACUCUGUCAAAUUGAAACCAGACCAUUUUCAAUACAAAUUGUGAGCCCAUUAUAAGCAAUUUAUCGAAUCUUAAUUGUAUUGUUUUUCCGUAAACACCUUGUGCUAACUUAGGCAUCGGAGGGUUUACGCCGGCAAAACCACCGGCGUCUCUGAUCCACUUUUGUGAAUGCAGGCUUAGUGGGAGAAGGAAGGAUAAUUCUAACUUCGAUGACUAGAGCAAUCGUCGAAGUAAGAAGAAAUUGACAUCCUCACUGUUGAUAAUAUAAACGUUGGUGUAAAGAUCUGGUCGAACAAAAGACGAGCAGAUUUCAGCAUCAACACCAUGUUUAAAAAAUAAUAAAAAAUUAGAUUAACACUACUGUAGCAACGUUUUUCUAAACAGUGCAGCCAGCCCAAAACCUGCUCCCAGAAUAUAUUUUAAUGCUGGUCUAACUACAUCAGCAAACAUUGCAACUAAAACUUGUAGCUAAAUAUGGGAUAACAAAAUUCUGAUAAGGAACAGUAUUUUAAUGCAGGCUGCCAAACGAUCUUCUUCUUCUUAAUAAUAGAUAAACUUACUAAGCUUGCGAAAGGUUCUGAUUUCGAAGUUAAUCAUCUUCUUCUUAAACAAACUAAGCAGACCCAUCAGCUUCUUAUUUACUUCAUUUACCAAAAAGGAAAAAUUAUACCUAAUAAAUCCCAAAUUGUAAUAAAAAAAUUUAUUUUCAAUGCUGAUUGAAAAAAAAAAAAUCCUUCUUUUACAGUCAGGGCAUGCAAACUAAUUGUGAAAAUAAAAGAGAAAGGACCAAGCUAAAACUUACAGGUUGAAGCGUGUAUCGCAGGGAGCCACUUAAUUGAACUCCAAUGAAGUGUUUGAAUGAAAGAAGGAAAAUAUAUUUCUUCUGUGUAAAAGCAAUCAGGCAAUUUCGGAGCUCAGUGUUCUGCUGUAUGUCUUCAGAAGUCCUAUUUCCAAAAGCCAAAAGCCUUGGUCAAAACUAACUUUCAAAGGUUUUGCCCCCACGAAAUUUCCUUGAAGCUACAAGAAAUGUUUUAUUUUUUUUUAAUACGCGUGUUGAAAAGCGGGAAAACACUCUUUUUGUCACUUUUAUCUUUUUUUUGUUCUUUUUUCCUUCCCACCCCCCGCCCCCCUCCAGCUACGGUGGCGCUAUUUAUUAGAUGUAGGUGUCCAGUUGUUUUCACAAUUAUUUUAUGUGACAUCAUUUUCUUAAUAUUUUUAGAUUGCGGUAAUACCUAGUUGGGGACAGAAAUGUGAAGGUUGGACAUGUGGCAAUCUUUGACUAAACAAGCCAGUCGGGAUAAAUAAAAUAAUAUUUGAAACGCUUUUUUCAACUUUUUAUUUUCAAUUCAAAACCGAAAUGUCAAAAAAUUGAAACCACAGGUUAUCAGCAAAAAGUAAAACUAAGACAAAAAAUAAAAUAAGACCAAAAAUAAAAAUUUCUCAAAUUUAUGAGUAAUUAUAUGUAAUGGGGUAAUGCUAGACACACCAUUAGAAUAAGGCUAACGCUACGUUACGUUAAACGUAAGAUACAUUCCACAAAGAUAAUAUCAAUAAGUGCCCCUAAUUAUUAUGGAAACUACAUUAUUUGAAUUAAAAGAAAUACUUUUAAAUCUCAAAGAAGAAAUGAAAGAAAUCAAACAAGAAAUAGGAAAGAUAAAAAUAGAAUUGUCUGUAAUUCAAUUAAGCCAAAAGAAAAAUAAAAGAGUGGAAAAAUUUGAAAUACUAAAAUCUGGAAUAAUUGGAACAAGCCUUAAAAAACCCAUACAAAAACCUCAACCAGGCAGCUACGAUGACUGGUUUGUAAAGACUCAAUACCCAAAAAUAUUAGAAGAAACAGAAAAAUUAAAAGCAGAAUUAAAAAUUGAAGAAAAAGGAAAAGAAAAACUAGAAAUAAAAGAAACAUCACUUAGCGAUACUGAUUAAUGGAUGAAAUACUAGAAGAAGUAACUGAAAAAUUCAGUGACAUAAAUCUAAGUGAUUUGGAAGAAUUUGAAAGAGAAUAUUGUGUAAAAAUGAAUACUGCUGGAGGACCAGAAAUGAAACCUAAUGUAGCAGAGCCAAGCCAUAGAUAUGAAAUACAAAAGAAGAAAAGACCAUUUUUUGAAUAUAAUCAAAUAGACAAUCCUUACAUGGAAGAAGAGGAAAAACCCCUAAAUCCAAAAGAAGAAGAAUAUAAACAAUUUUCUACAUGGAUAUAUUCCACUUGUUCUCAUAAUAAUACAAUAUUUAGAGCACCUGGAAAAAAUAUGUACCCCAGGAUGAUUGUUACAAAAGGAGCAGACCCACUCCUUGUUGGGAAAAUAGCAAAAUAUGGCUAUUUAGACUUAGUAUAUCCUAGUGUAGAUCUUCGAGAAAUAGCCAGCUUUGAUGAGUUACUAAUAAAAGAAGUCUCAAGGUUUGCCCAAAAAAGACCCAUAUAUUUAAAGUUUUAUACUAUAAGUCCAGAAUACCAUCAGAAUAUAGAAUACCAAGCAUUCUACAUGAUUUCUGUAGGUCAUAUUACAAAAAAUUUUAAAGUCGAAGUAGGAACAGAAUAUACAAAUGUUCCUCACAUAAAUGAAACCUGGAUCAGAACACGGAGAGCCAGAGGAAUAAAGGCUAUAUGGAGCAUAGCAAAGGAUUUAUAUAAGAGAAAUUUCAGAUCCAUCAUUAAAUUUCAAAAUUACAUCCUUAUAACUUCUGAGGAUGGACAUACACCUUCAAAUCUGUUACUAGAGUUCAUCAAUGAAAUAAGUACUAUGCGUUUCCCUAGUAGCAGCAAAACCACAGAACAAGCUUAUCAACUCAUGGAUAUAAAGCAGUGAUUGACAGGCUAUGGCCGACAGCAUAAAACAAAGAAAAGAUAAAGAUAUGGUGGACAAGAUAAAAGGUGAUGUCUGACAAAAGGAUACGAAGCAUGAAGAUAAAGAUUCGAAGAUAAGGCAUAUGGAAAAGCAACAACAAGACAAGAUAAAGUGGCUUGACAAGAUACGAAGCAUGAUAGACAAGAUAAGGAGCAUGAUAAAUCUACAGGAAGAUGCUUGAUAAUGAUGUAAAAGCACAAUAAUACAAGGACAAAAAUGUAACUUGCUUGAUAAUAAUGUAAGAGCCCAAUAAUACAAGGGCAAAAAGGUAAACAUAAACCCGAGACGACUUGAAUAUAAAUAAAGAGCAAUAAUCUCUAAGGGAUUAUUCAACCAUUUUUACAAUAAUUCCAUUGUCUUCUAUGAUCAUGAAUAGCUAAUUCUCUCAGCUCAGAAUCCUAAAUCGAUACAUCAUUAAUAAAAAACAAAAAAUCACCAUAGAAAGGAAAGAGAAACCUAAAUUUAUUCAACAUUUCUAAGCUCAACGAUCGCAUUCCAUACAGUAAGGCCACUCGAGUCCGCCGAUCCCGUUGAGGCAAGGAGGCCGUUGAGGGAGUAAGGACAGUAAGGCUGCAGGUCACUGGAGAAAGAUCGGAAGGCAAAGAAACAAGAAUAGCUUGGGUAAUAAUUCUCAAACCUUAUCUGUUGGUGGAAGUUUGUUGAUUAUUAUUGAUGAGGAGAUUUAUGGAGGAAGAGCUAAUUUCUUUGAAGUGAAAUAUUUUAAUGAACAACAAUAUCAUAUUAGGAAAUUCUAAGGAAUACAUGAUAAAUCCAACAACUAGAAUAACAUAUAAUGAUUAUACAAUGAUUAUAGAUUUCAAUUUAGGAUCUUUCAAACAAAGUUCUUAUCUUUUAAAUAAAGACGAACUUGUUAGAACUGAAGAACUACAAGCAGUAUAUGCUCUUGAAUUACCAAAGGAAAUAAAAAGAAAAAUAAUAAAUCAUGUAGAAAUAGAUACUUUAAAGCAUAACAUCAUCAUGCUAACUAUAGAACAAGGAAUUGACAUAGCUCUGGCAUAUACAGAACAUGAAAAUAGAGAAGCUGGACCAUCAUACAUAAACUACUUAGAAAAUUCUGAUAAUGAAGAACUUGAAUUAUAUGGUAUAUAGGCAAGCAACCCAUGACGUAAAUUGGAUAGACGAUCCCGAAUGGGCGUUAGUAUCCUCUGUACUUUGGGAUAACAAGCCACGUACCUAUAAUCAGUAUAGUUUAUAAUCAUGGAAAUUUAUAAUGAAACCAGAUAUUACACUAGUAUAAUAAAUAAUUUUAUAUAUUUUAUAAAAGUAGAAAUAUUCUAUUCAGAAAAUGUAACAGAAAGUUUAAAUAAUCAAACUUUAAAUCCUACAUAUAUUUUGGAAACUAAUAGUAGCUAUUACGACUUAUAUGUUCCCAUUCUUCCUAAUACAUUUCCUAGAACAAUUGAUGGAGAACAAGUUAUAGCUGUAUUUUUAAGAAAUAAUAAUAAUACAGGAUAUGAUAGAUAUGUGCUAUAAAUAAUAAAAACCUUUACAAAAAAAAAAAAUUUAUCUGUUUUUAGUAGUUUAAUUUUUAUCAUUUUUUCAGUUUAUUCAAUUUAUUUCAGUAUAAUUUUUAGUUUCACCGAAACAAAUGGUAUCAGAGCCAAAGUUCUGAAAUAAAAUUCUCACAAAAAACUUAAUAAUAAUUUAUUAAUGGACCCGAUACAAACAAUAGUUAAUAGCUUAUACACUUUAAAGGUAUAUAAUAAAGAAGAAAUAAAAAAUCUCAUUAUGGCUUUAAAAAUUGAUAAAAAUAAUAUUAGAAAUAUAGAACUCGAACUAACAGAAGAACUUAGAGAACGACAUAUAGACACAACAGGAGGAGAGAUAUUAAUAGAAAAGAAAAUGAAAUUUAUAGAUGAAUUUAUAAAAUUUCUAGUAUACUGGUAUAAAAAAGAAACAAUAUGAACCAUAAUCAACAUGCAUUUAAUAUAAUACAUGGAUUAGUAGAUAGUAUAGAUCAUAUGAUUUUAGGAUGGGAAAAUACAUUAAAUACAUAUAUAACUUUAAUAACUCAGAAAAUAGAUUUACUAGAACAAGAAAGAAUAGGAAUAAUAAAUUUAGGACCAGAAAUUUAUUCUGAAAUUAUAGAUCUAUAUGAAUUUGAUAACCAUUUAAUGUUAUUUAAAGAGGUAAUCAAAACCUUAGAAAAAAUAAGAAAUAGAUGUAGAAGGGAUGGAAGAAGACAAAUACAUCUAUAAUUAAUAAAUAGAAGGACCCAAGAAAAAUUAACCAGAAAAAGAAAAAGACAAAAAACGUAAGAUACAUUGAUCGUAACUUAGGUACUCCCUUAGAAUAAACUUAUCCUGUAACUAAAAAGAAAAAAAAGGCGGCGGUUAAAAAUUAAAAUAAAUAAAAGAACUAAAGAAGGAGCUGUAAACAGGAAAACAUAUACACACGUGUGAGUGAGAGAAGCUACCAAAACCUGACCCGAAACCCGACCCAAACCCGCAAGCCCGACCCGGCCAUAUCUCCAAUUUCCGGCCACCUCAUCGGCCGAGCAACGUACCAACCUGAAGCUUGAAGACCAUCAUACCCCAUCUGUCCUCGUCGCCGGAAAAUGGUUAGAACGCCGGCGAUCAAGCUCGAUAAGCGGCGGUAAAAUCCACCCCUUCUCGCCGUCGAUUCCGCCAGUUUUGGGUGACGUCACCGCCUGGAUCUUGAUCCUCAGAUCAUUCCCAUCAUUUUCCGACCAACCCCGCCACCUGAAACCGCCGUUUUGGCAGCGAACGACCGCCGGAAAGCUUGCGGCUUGGGAAACUCGAUCCGCCGCUUUUGCCGCGCGUGCAAGCUCACUGCCGGCACCAUUAGGCUCAGCGUGGCCGAACCUUUCAGGCUUGAGCUUCCCGGCUACUGUUGACUGAAUUUCGGUCACUGAUGACCGGUGAGGGCAAUCUCGUAAUUUUAUAUUUUGAGGGCGAUUUUGUAAUUUCGGAUCAUGUGGAGAUUUUACUUAUUCCGAAAAAUUAAGGAUUCGUUGUAAUUAGGAUUUUGAGGGUAAUUUGGUAAUUUUUAAUUCGGGAGUAUUUUAAUAAUGUACAAACUCAAGGGUAUUUUAGUAAGUUUUUUGGCACAAGAGUUAUAAAUUAUGGAUUGAUAUUGGUUUUGAGUUUAUUGCAUAAAUUUGGUCCUAAUUUCGAUUAAUGAAAAAAUAAUUAUGUCAUUUCCUUAAUUUAGGAGGAUCCACAAGCUAAUCAAUCCGUAGACGUGAGCGAUAAUUGAGUCUGAGCAUCGUCACUAUGAGUGAAAUAUACAAAACCUAUUUUUAUAGUUAAUUAUGAUAGUGAAACAUGUUCGUGAAAUGAGAAAUUUAAAUGUCUUGAUUCAAUAAAUUUCUCGAAAUGGAUUUAAGUUACGCAUUAAUAUUUUAUUAAAAUGUUUUGGAUUAUGAUUUUCCAUAUCGACUUUGGAAAAAAUAUUAUAAGUGUUUUAUAGACAAGAAAAGUGAUUUGGAUGUGAUAUAAAAAGAAAAUAGAUUUAAAGUAUGUUAAAUAGAAAGGAAAUGAGAUUUAUAGUAUGAUUUUAUGUUCAUGUAUAUGUGUAUAAAAUGUUGAUUGUAAAAUUAUUGGACAGUACCAUUCUUUGGUUGCAAUGAUACAGAUAUGAUGAGGCUUUUGGAGCCCGUUUAAAAACACAUAAAGGCUUUUGGCCGUGUGUUUGGGUGUUUCUGCCUUUUGAGGGCAUAUAUAUGUGAUAUGAUGAUAAUAGUGAUAUAGAUACAAAUAAUAAAGAUGAGAUACAAGCUUUUACAGGCUCGUCUAAGUACACACAGAAGCUUUGGCCCGUGUGCUUAGGCUCUUUUGUCAUUUAAGAACUAGAUUAUGCAUGCACAAAUAUGAUGAUAUGUGAGAUGACACUUUUAUGUCUAUCUGUGUAGCUCUGGGGCAUAACCGUACCUAGAUAAUACAUCAAUACCCAUCUGUUGAGGUCUGGAUACGGUGAGAUUAUUUCUUUGGGUACUUAUUUAAUGAUAAUUUUAAAUUUGUGUAUUUUAUAUGAUAUUGUAAUAUAAUUUCCAUGGUUAUUAUGUACGAUAUUACAUAUGUUCUUCAAGGUUAAUAAUCUGAUUUAAAUGUUAAAUGAUUUAUAAAUAUUUUCUCGUAUAUGGUUUGAUGAAAUCGAAUUUAAAAAUGAUAUGAUUAAAUUAUUUUUAAGUUAAAUUAAUUUUCAAAAAUCAUUAUCCACUGACCUCAUUGAGUUUUAUAUUCAUCAUGUUUUUAUUAUAUUUUUCCCCUCAAAAGGAGAUUGUAGGUACACCAAAUCAACCUAGGGACUGUAGAUAUUUUGAAUUUUGGGCACAUGAUAGUGUUACAAGAUAUAGAUGAUUUUUAUUAGGACAUCCUGAUCAUUUCAUUUUUCUUUUUUUGCGAUUGUAUAAUUUUAUUGUAUUAUUCUUUUGGGAUUAAGAAUAAACUAAUGUAUAUUAAUAUUGGUUAUAAUAAAUACGAAUACAAUAUUAAAAUAAAAAUACUAACUAAAAUAGCACAUUAAUACAAAUAAGAUAUUAAAAUAAAUAUAAUUAAAAAAACAAAAUAUAUAUGUCAUGCAAAUUAUUUUAAUAUUAAAGCCAUUAUCAACAUGUCUCAAUAGAUUUUAUUAAAACUUAAAUUUGUUAAUCCAAAAAUUUAUUUUUUAUUUAUUCUAUUAUAGACAUAACUCAAAAAAAGUAAUAUAUAUAAUAUAAUAUAAAUAUCGAUUUUAUAAAUUAUUUUGAACGUUAAAUACAUUUAUUUUAUAUUAUUAAUCUAUGAAACCAAUUUUAUUAAUAUUAAACAAAUCUAACAAAUUAGUAAUAUCAAAAAAAAUAUUGUUUAAUAUUAAAAUAAUUUAUAAUAUUUAUAAUAUUUUAUUUAAUGAACUAUUUAAUAUUAUAUUUCUAUGUGUUAUAAAAAUUUAUUUAAAGUCAAUUUCUAUGUUGUUGUAAUCUAAGAAUAUAAUCUUUAGAAAGGGGUAUGUGUGAUCAUUUGUGAGAGCAAGACGACCUAUGUUAUAUUUUAAAUAAAUCUUGGAGGCAUGGGUGCAUUUUUUCCUAAAGAAAAUAAAGACUUUAAAAAAACUUAACUUGAUUAAAGGACCCAGGGUUUAGAAUUCGUAAUAGCUAGCAUGAACAAAUAUCGUAUUCGGGGCAUCAAUCUUUGUUAUUAUUAUUAUUAUUAUUAUCACCAUCAUCAUCAUUAUUAUUAACAAUUACACAAAUAAGAAUAAUAACAAUAACAAUUAUAUAAUAAUAUUUUAAUUGAAGACAAAAACAAAAUUAUGAAGUUUAAGUGGGGUAAAAUUUGGAGCUCAUAGGAAUAAGAACUUGACUCCCAAAGGUCCAUAAGAAUCAAUUCUCAUUCAUUAAUCCUAGAAACGUAUCGGCCCCCCACAUUUUAUUUUCGUUCCUUUUUCUAUUUUUAAAAAUAAACAUUAUCGAUCAUUCUCAUUUUGAAUUUUAAUUUCAGAAUCUAACUAGUAAGCACAUCAUUAAUGUAUCACACGAGAGUAAUAAGAGUAGUAAUAGGCCGGCGAAGACAACGGUUAGGAAAAUAACUACAGCAAAGCGGUGGAAACAAAGUGUUCCAUGCAAGUACGGGUUCGGAAUUAGAUUUGUCUAGGAGUGUAAAAAAUAAUUAAAUUGAAUAACUGAGUUACGUAAGACAAACAUUCAUGUAAACUUCUAAAACAAAUGCUAGAAUACAAAACUGCGAGGAAACUUACCGCUCUGAGCGCGUGGGAGGCACUGAAAGAUGAUGAAAUUUUACUUAGAUUACAAUUAGGACAGUGUUUAUUUUUUAGAGUGGGAGUGAGGAGUGUGGAUUCCUCCCACUUUAGUGUUGACUUCAACAAAAUAGAGAAGGAUUGGGAAUCCCACUCCGUGGGCUCCACUCAUUUUUGGAGUGGGGAGUGGGAGUGGGACUCCCACCUCUCCCUUUUCUAUUUUUUUUUAAAUUUAAUUUCAUAAAAUAAAAUAAUUUAUAAUUAUAUUUAUUUAAAUAAUAUUAUUAUAUUUAACUAAAUAAUAAUUUACAUUGAUUAUAAGUUAAAAUUACUUUAAAAUAAUAUUAUUAUAUUAAUAGAGAAUUAAUAAAUAUAUGCUAUCUUUAUUUAAUAAUAUAAUAUUAUUAUAUUUAUUUUAAAAAUAACAGUACUAUAUUUAUUUAAUAUUAAUAAUUAAUAAUAAUAAACAGUUUAUUCUAAGAAAAUAUUAAUUUUGUACUAAAUAAUAUUAUAUUAAUAAAUUUAAUAUAAAUAUAUAAAAUAAAAUAAUGUUUCAUUUUAUAUUUACCCUUCUUUUUAUUAAAUUUACUACAACUAUAUUUAAUAAAUAUUUAAAUAAUAUUAUUAUAUUUAACUAAAUAAUAAUUGUGUUUGAUUCUAAGUUUAAUUUACUUAAAAAUAAUAUUAUUAUAUUAAUAGAGAAUUAAUCAUAUUACUAUAUACAAUCUUUAUUUGAAAAUAUAAUAUUAUUAUAUUUAUUUAAAAAUAAUAGUAUUAUAUUUAUUUAAUAUUAAUAAUUAAUACUAAUAAAUAGUUUAUUCUAAGAAAAUAUUAAUUUCAUACUAUGUUAAUAGUAAAAAUAUUUCAUUUAUAUUGCCCUUAUCAACAAUUUUUAAUUUAUAUAAUUAAAAUAAAAAAAAUUGUGAUGUUCAUAAUUAAGAAUAUUAAUAAUUAUUAUAAAUUUACAAAUAUAAUAAAAUAAAUGUUUAUUCAUUAAAUAUAUUUUUUAUUAACUUUGUGAUUAAAAACUAUAAUUCUUUACAUAAGGAUAAAAUUGUAAUUUGAAAUUAUUUACUCCCAAUUCAAGACAAAGUAAACACAUAAAUUAGAUUCUGAUCUCUAUUCCAUGCUUCUAUUCAUGUGCAAGUAAAUAACCUACUCCCACUCCCACUCUACACUCCCAAUCUUAAAAUUCUCACUGCUCAAGAUUCCCACUCUAAUUCAAAAAGUAAACGCAGCCUGUGUUUCUUUCAAAGAAAUCAGUUAGAGGAUUUCAUGUUUUCUAAUUAAUUCUUCUUCUUUUGUUGGCCGACAGCAAGUCUUGUCAGCGAUAUUUGCAAGAGAUAAUUAUAAAGGACGGCGAAUGGAAUAAAAGACAUGUUCAACUGUAACAAAUGCUUCGAUAACGUAGAGUCCUAGACACCUAAAGCAAUUGCAUUAUCUCUAAUUAUUUAAAUAAUAAUAAUUUAGACUACUUAAUGAAACAAGACAUAGAAGAUACAUGGUAUGAACCAACCUCUCCACUGAUCAUCUAUUUUGUCUUCUUUUUCUCUUCUUUUUCUCUUCUUCAAGUUCUUUUAGUACGUGACGCGGCAUUUUAUUUUGUUUAUUCAGUGUCGAUAAAACUGUGUCGGAGCAUCUUCCAAGAAAUUAUAUAUGAAACAUAAAUUAUAAGUAAGUACAGUAAUAUUAUAUUCAUAAAUUAUGUCUACAAAUAGAAAGUAAAUUAACAUAACAUCAAUGAAAUAAUAAACAUAUAAAUAAUAAUGAUAGAUAAAAAAAAAUGUGAUAUGAGCCUAAUUAGAUAAAUCAGUAAUGCCUUAAUAAACAAUAGUAUAGUUUAUGGUAAGGCUAGCCUUUUGAAGAGAUGAAAAUCCGCCAAACAUCGUUUCCUCAAAAAAUAGGAACUUUUAAAACCAUAUGCAUAUGAAAAUUUAUCAAAAAUAAACUUUAUUAUACACUAAUUGUUCCGUGCCAUUUUCCUGAAUACUUUUUGUAUAUUUUAGAAACACAUACCUAAACAAUCUGAUCAAGCAUGAAAUCAUUUUCGAUUCAUGGAAGACAACAACUUUGGGGAUGAUAUUUUGCUCUUGUGGUAAUUGAAGAUGCAUACUUACUGAAAUAUUCAGAGAAUAGUAAGUAGGCUUCUCCUUUUGUAUGAGUUCACUCAAUGAAUCUUUGAGGUUGUGGUUCCUCAUCACCUCAACAUAUGCAGUAAGGCUUCGCCUUGAUGUUGUUGCUACAACCAGUGGCGGACUCAGAAACUAAAAUGAGGGGGGGCUUAGUUUAAAAAAAAAUUAUUUAACUUAAAUUUUUUUUAAUGUUCACUUGAAUACAUUUUAAGUCUUAUAAAUUCAAAUUUUAUUACUUUUUUUUAAUUCUAAAUAAUAAUAGUAAUAAAUUAUUUUUUUAAAUGCGUGAAAAUAUCAUUGUUUCGAAGUAGUUUCCACAAAAUAUUUUAAAAAAUAAAAUAAUGUGGCUAAUGGGAUUUGAACCAAGGUUUUAAAACCAUUAAAUAGCACUCUUACCAUUGAACUACAAGUCUUUUGAUGUAUAAAAAAUAUGUCCAAAUUCAUUUAUCUAACUUUUUCAGAAGGGGCUUGGGGCACAUUUAAAAGAAAAUUUAACGGCCCAGGGGGGGCUAAAGCCCCUCCUGGGCCUUCAUUGGGUCCGCCCAUGGCUACAACCAUCUGUGAUGCAACAAAAUUUUGAGAGGGUUCAUUCAGAUUAUAAGUGGGUAAAGCGACCCCAUAUAAACUGGAGGGAUAUCAUACCUCUCACCUCCUAUCCUGGCCAAAAUAUGUUGAAAAAAUAGCAUAUCAAUAUGCUAUAUUGAGGGCACAUUUUGAAUGGGUCCCAUUUAGCAAAAAUGAGAAAUCUUUGUGAAGUUCGUGUUCUUCUUCGUGAAUAUUUCGAAAGUAAUAUUUAUUUACUCAAAAUGGUGCUUGGGUGAAUAAGCAAUUGUCUCUCAAAGUUCACUCUUGAAGUUGAAAAUUUGAAAGGAAAUGAGGUUUAUCCCACAAGGGAAAAAUAAUCCAAGGGAUUUGUGUUUAUAUAGGCACUUACCCAUACAUGAGAAAAAAGUAUAAGGAUAGAAGCUUAUCUUCACACGCGUGUGCGCAAAGGGGGAUGCGAAUCCAAGAUCGAUUUGGUUGCCCGCGUGUCUUGCGUACGCGAAUGUCAGUCCAAAAUUUCAAUUUUUUUAUAACAGUUUCACAAUGUUUGAAUUCAAAGGAUUUGUAACAGCUUCGCAAUUAUUUUUUGGGCUGUUAUGCAAUUCAAUUUUUGAAUUCAAUUGGCUGUUACAACAAUUAAAUGGCAUAUAUUGAAUUCAGAAAUUCAAUACUAUGCUGCUGUUAUAUCCUCACAUGUGUAUAAAAAGGCAGCUUCCUCUUCUAUUUUUCGAACACACAGAAACCAGCACACAGAGCACUUAAAAUUUUCUUUCCUUCUUCGUCCGUCUUCUUUUCUGAUCGAGUUUGUCGCUGUUGUAGUUUGCCGAAAUUAUCUGUCUGUGCUUGACGGAUAUUUCUUGCCCAUUGUAUCAUGGGAAACAGUUACCAGCAAACCUAAAGCACUGCAGUAGGUGGUAAAUAUAUUUUAAGGAUACUGUGUUACAGGCCUUGGAUUUAUUUUCUUUGUUUCGUUUGAUUUCCAGUUGCUGUUUUUUGCUGCUGUUUAAUUCCAGUUGCUGUCUUGCUGCAGUUUAAUUCUAUUAGCAAUUAAUUUUGUAUAAUUACCUACUGGUUUUAUUUGUUAACUCGCUGUUGUUAUUUUUCUAACAAAAUACACCUCUGAGAAGGUACAAAUUUUAUGAAGACGCGCAACCCUAAAUUUAUAUUAUUGAAUCACACUCAACAGCUUGGGAAAUUGACCUUGUUGAUUUGAUUGCUUUUGGUUUGGAAAUCGUAGUGGUGGCGCAACGGAUAUCAUCUUCUCUUUGUUCAACACUUCAGUUGGGAAUUGGGAUGGCAUGGUUCCUACUUGGGCAUUUUAUCAAACAUGUUCUGGGCAUGGGUAUCAUACAAUUACUCCUCAAACACAUUUUAUCAAAUCUGCAAAAUUUAACUCAAAUUAUAAUUUAAAAAAUGUGUCAUGUAAUUUAAGUGAAUGAUUGAAAUUUAAAAAUUUAUCAUUAAUCAAAUUUUUUUCAAUUUACGUGUAGGGAAAAAAAGGGAAUAUUAUUUUGAAUUUUUAAAAUAACAAAACAAUAUAAAUUUUUUUUUUUAUUAACACAUUUAUUGAAAUUCAAAUUUUAAGCCUGUCUUUAAAAAUAUAAAAAAAAAAAGAAAAAAAAGGAGAUUUUAUGAUAAGAUUGGGGUGGGGUAGGCAAAUAGUCCAACUCCGUAAAAAAUAUAAACAAAUAGUUCAACAAAAGUCAAAAAGUACAAAUUAAAUAAGCAAGGUUGAAUUCAACAAGCCCAUAAAGGCCUACAAAAUUCCAACAUCAAAAUGGAUGGGAAGGGCACUUGAUGAAGCCUUAUUUUACAAUGAAGACAACCUGUCAGUGGCUAUGAACAAUAAUUGUUUGCCAAAAAUAUUUUUGGUCAAAUAUGUGGUAUGAUCCUUAUAAAUAAAUGAUAAUUUACUUCAUCAAAAUAAAUUUUAUCGAUACAUAUGCAUUUAAUUUCAUUUUUCUCGAUAAAUUAUUGUGCUUUCAAGUUUCUUUAAUUUGCAGCAUUUUAUUAGAAAUUUAUUAGGGCCAGUUUGAGAUUGCAGUAAUUGAUGAAGUAAAUAAUUUCUGCCAUGCGGAUAAAAGAAACUGCUUACUUAAAAAAAAGUUCAAUGUUUGCUAAAUUAUGUUAUUGCAGUUGCUAUAAGUUUAAAAAGCAAAGUAUAUGCAUUUGAUAAAUUUUAUUAUGAAAGUGUUAUUUAAUUAUAUAAUUAUCAAAGUAGAUAUAAGUUUAAAUUAUUUUUUAUUUGUAUAUUAGAGUGAUUUCAUUGGAAAAUAAGAUAUAAUUAUCGUUGUUUUUAAAAUGUUAAGGAUAUAAUAAGAACUUUAAUAAGAUCAACGACUUAUUCAGUAAGCUGCUUAUAAAAAACAACUUCUAUCCUAUUUCAAAAAACUGUUGACAUAAUAGAAAAACUUAUGAAAUAAACCGUUUUAAAAAUAUUACUAAACACUAUUUUUAUUAAAAUUUAUGAAUUAAGCAAUUCCUAACGGGAUUUGUACUAGGAAUAACUAGAACUCUUAAGGCGCUAAUGCUAUUUAUGUAAAAUCUAUACAAAUUCAAUGAAAAUCUCAACGAGCGAAAAUCCUUAUCCGCUUCAAGUACUAUUUAUAAUUUACGAUAAGCUUAGCUGGGCUACUCAACCAGAACAACCGAAGCUAUAUGCAAAAAAGAAUUAAAAAAUAAAAAAAGAGUAUACUCAACCAGAUUGCAAUGAGCUAAUUAGUUUAUUGAAGAUAUUAAUUAAUUAAUUUAUAAAGAAAGUUAAUAAUCAAAAUAACCUCAAAGGUAAAGUACAAAUGAAUAUAAUUUUUAUUUUAAUUUUGGGAUUAAUUUGGUAAAUUAAUUUUUUAAAUAAUUAUUAGAAAGACUAUAAUUGUAAGGGUAUUAAAAAUUGCUUUAAGUUAGUUAGUAUUAAUUUUAUUUUAAAUCAUUAGAAGAUUGUUGUAAGAGUAUGAACAAUACCAGUUCAUUCAGACUGAUAAUAAUUGGUUAAUUUACUAAUAAAUAAUUAUGGCUAAAUUUGUUAAUUAACAUUUUUCAUAGAUUAAUUAAUUAAUGUCUCCAAAAUUGUAGUAAGUGUAUUAUUGUAAAACAAAAGAAAACAAAAGGCAAGAGUGCAUAAAUUCAAUAAUUAGGGUGUCUUGAGAUAUUUUUUAAAUAGAAAUAUUAAACAGAUAUUCAAUCUAAAAUAUAAAGACUAUUCGAACAUUUACCCUCACAACUUUUGACAUGAAUCAUAAAGGAUAAUCGCAUAUUAAAAAAGUAAUUUCUAGUUAAAUUUAUAAUAGUUAUUCAAAAUAGAGAAACUUUGUUAUAGUGAAUGAUAAAAUAAAUAUUAAGAUACGUGCAUAUGAGAUUAUUAUAGAACGAACCUGCUAUCAAACCCGAAGCUUGAUCCUCAGCUGAGGUUUGUAUUGUACAACUCCCAUCAUUGUCUAAAUCCAGAUUCCGUAAAAUCCAAACGUUGAUAAAAAGUUCUCCGAACAUCAGUUGCUAGGUAGCUGGACACGGCUAAUGGACUGUUUAAAGACACUUAUAACCUUUUUUUUUAUCCGUCCGUGAAAAUCACAACAAAAAUAAAUUUUGUUUUAUUGUACAUUCAUUUUUUUAAAAUCCAUCUGUGUAAAUUAUAAUACAAGUAAAUUUUUUUUUUUGUCUGAACCAGGAGGUGUUCUUGAGUGGACUUCAACUGUGGGAGGCACCUUUAAGCUCGUACCACAACCCAGACUAAUCCCCGCUCGUACCGAGUCGACCCGUAAGGGGUAAAGUACUAGCCAAAGUGGUGACUCCAUACGAGAGCGGGACUUGAACCCCUGACCUCAAUUAAAGAGUGAGAAUGCCAAACCACUCACACUAACCAACAUUGGUUACAGUACAAGUAAAUUUUUUAUUGUACAUUUAUUAUUCAAAUUUAUUUUUCUGCAAAAAAAUUAAUUUGGUAAGCACAUUUUUUCAAAUUUGUGGCAUGCGCAUAAAGUAGAGCUCGAAUCUAAAACUUGAGUCGUAGAAAGGCUUCCUUUAUGAUUGGAGCUAAAUCUAGCCUCUAACAUAGUACGUGCCCUUUCUUCAAGUAAAUUCAUGUAAAGCAAACCCUGAGAUGCAAGUAAAAUUGAAAAUGUAAGAAAAUUAACUUACAUGUUUGAGCUUAUUGGAAGCAAUCAAAGAUGAUAAAUUUUUGCUUGAAUUUCCAAUUAAGUUCGUUUCAAAGAAAUCAAUUAGUGAGAGGAUUUUUAUGUGUUCUAAUUAAUUUCUCAAAGACAAAAAAUUUAAUAAAAAGUGUAUGCCGAAAGUAAUUAUGAAGAAUGAUUUUGGUUUUUAGUGGCGCAUGGAAUCAAAGAUAUGGUCGACAUGAUGUUGACAAAAGCAUGUUAUUAAUGGCGUCUUCAAUGUAACUGCAUUUUAUAGGGCACAUUGAAUUCCACUUUAAUCUUUUAAGAAUUUAUUCUUGUGGAAUAAUUCCACUAAAAAUCUUUUAAGAAUUUUUUAUUUAAAUUGUAGAAUUUUCUUGUUAAAAUAAGUAAAGAUGGGGGAGUAAAGGUUAAAAGGCUUGGCAUUUUUUUACUUGAAUUUCCAAUUAAGUUUGUUUCAAAGAAAUCAAUGAAAGGAUUUUCAUGUGUUCUAAUUAAUUUCUCAAACAACAAUUUUAGUCUAAAGCGUGUGCCGAAAGUAAUAAUGAAGAAUGAUUUUGGUCUUUAGUGUAGAAAAGACAUGGUCUAUUUGAUGUUGACAAAAGCUAGCUUCAAUAAUCUACACAUCAAAGAAAGGAUUUCAUAUGUAUCGGAGGGUUUAUCUUUUAUAAUUAAUCACCAGCCAAAUUUUAUACAGUUAAACUUCAUAGUAGAUAAAUUAGGACCAUUCUAUUUAUCAAUUAAUUUUAAGCCAACAAUAUCAAUCGAUUAUUCUUCUGGAAGUGGGGCGGAUUACCAAAUAACAUAGAGUCUUUAACAGCAAAUAAGGAAGGAAAUCAGUCACUGAUUUGAAUUGAAUUACUUACUAUAACCACUUUCGGGCUUUGUUUUACAGUUACAGAGCAUCACUGCCUAUGCGUAUAUUUAUCUAUAUACAAUGUUAUUAAUUACUGCAGCAUCGUCAUCACAAAAGCGAAAAGCUUCUAAGCGACAAUAUUCUACUUGCAAAUUUCCAUCAUCAUUUAGAGUAAUUAAAAUAAUUAAUUGGAAAAAAAAAAGAAAAGAAAGAAAGAAACAAUCGAACAGGCAGAGGCAAAGGGUUUCAUUUCUCGUAUUUAGACAAUGAUAAAUUAAUAAUAAUAUGAGCAAAUCUUGAGAUAUGAUAUGAACGAAAAAGAAGGUUGACAUUGAAGAUAAAGAGAUCACCAUCAAAUGAUAGUCAAACAGCAUAUUAAAGAUGAUCGGUUACUACUUACCUUCUUCAUAGAAGCCUUCUCUACCAGCGUUUUCACGAACAUUUUUGCAACAAAAAUCUCCAGGGAAAACCAAUCACUUCAACUGAAGAUCCAAAACGGCAGUUUCAGAAUUUUAUUCAUUUUUAGGGAAAAAUGAAUAAAAUAUUCUUUUGGAAUAAAGAAAAAGAGCAUAUUCCAAAAUCAAUUUCUACUUAAACUUAUAGUAGUCAUGCAAAAGAGAGAUAGUGAAUGUAUAUCACUGUGCAGAAGUAAACAAAGUAUGCAAGCAUGAUGAAAUAAAGAUCAUGAUAUGUGCCUAUGAGAUUAUUAUAGAACGAACCUGCCAUAAAAAAUGAUGCAGAGACUAACCCGGAAGAAAAGGCCACCUAAGAUGUGAAUUUGCUGUUAUUUGAUUCAACUCUUCGGCAUGGCUCUUGAGGUUUGAAUCAGCCUAUGGCAGGCAAGUGAGCAAGAUAGCUUGAUGCCCUUAUCAACAUUCUUUUUCCAUGAAUCUGAAUCUUUCUGUCGAACAACAUUAAUAAGAAUGCACAUAGAAGUAAUACGGUAUUGCAUGUUAUAAAGGAAAUUAUUAAUUUUGUAAAGUACCUUAGCAAUUCUGCUUUUGCUAACUUUGUUACUGUCUAGACUGCACUCUGUUCCACAGUCGAAAUCAUUCUGCAUUUUGGCACAAUUCCAACGCAUCUUCUAUUUAACAAAAAAGAAAAAAUAAGAAUCAACCAUUGUCAAUUCUUAUCAACAAAGUCUUCAAAUUGACAUUGCGGUCUCUGUUGUUUAAAGGGGAAAAAAAUCGAUAGUUGUGAAUUCUUAUCAACCAAAAUUAAACAUGGGGGUGGAGAAAAGAAAAAUAAAAAUCAAAUGUUGAAUCCUCUUGAUUGUAUCAUGGAUAAAUCUGAUUUAGAUCUGAGUCCAUAUUUUAAGAGAUUCAUCGACCCAUUUUCAGACAUGCCAGGAAUUGUAAAUUAAGUCAAAUAUUCACAAAAAACAGAUUCUGUGUUCAGCCGCAAAUGGGCUAUUUCACGGCCAAGCAAGAAAACAAAUGAAGAAAAUUAAUUGCUUUCCACUGGUUCAAGAAUUAAUACCAUGAUUGAUUGCUUCUCUUUUGGAAGAAAUAAUUUUGAAUAAAACACAGCAUCAUUACAAAAAAUGCGAUGAUAUUUUUUCAAUAAUCAGAUGAUGAUAAUUUCUCCAUACAUUCAUUCUACGGCCUGACUCUGUUUUAUGUCUAAGGCUAAUGUGGUGCACUUGCAGCAAGAUAACCAAACCGGUAUGUGUUGGGAAAAUAUGCUCUUUAAAAGCAUAUAUGUUUAUUUAAUUGUAAUAAACUAUUUUUCUGAUUAAUAAAAUAAAUGAGGUAUUUUAUUCAAAUAUCUUAAUUGCAUUAAUACUUGUAUUAAAGUCCAUUUAAUCAUAUUAUAUGUAUUUAUGUGAUUACCAUGUGGAUUCACAGAAGACAUAAAUACAUGUUAUCUUAUGAUUAAAUAAAUUUAGUUCGCAGUUGAUAAAUAAAGUUGGGCACUUUAUUUAGGUAUAGACUGUAAUAAAUUCAUUGAAUGAUUUGUCUUAAUCAUGUAUGAAUUUAUUGAUGUAGUACGACUACAUUGAACAGGAUCACAUAUGAGAUUUAAUUAACUUUGUAAUAACUGUCAGACUUAUUAAAUCUCAUAGGCGUUGAUUUUACUGUAAUCUUAAUCUUGAGUUAAUUAUGAUUUCAUGAUUGUAAUUGUUAUUCCAUUUGAGUUACCAAUGGGCACGACACAUCCUUGUGGUCAAGAUUACCCGGUAUCUUGGUGGGAGCAAUUAUGAGUAUUGGAGUUAUAGAUUAACAAUAUAGAAUUUGUACAACACAUCUCUUCAUGGGUUUUCGGCACUUGAUCAUGGAAUUCUCUGGCCAGAGUGUGUCAACAUAUUUAGUAUGUUGAAAAUGAUCAUUAGAGAAAACCAGUAAGGAUCAAGGAAUAAGAUGUUAUUAAAUUGAUUGGACAGUUGAGAUAUCAAUUUAAUUAACGAUGUGGUACAAAGGAUUGUGCAGUAAAGAAAUCAAUGUGGCUUGGGACGAAUUAUUAUUCGAGCAUACAAUUAUGGAAGUCAGUUCCAAUCUUUUAGUGGAGUAGAUUUGGAAUUAAAUAAUUGGGCUAGUUUAAUUACAGGCCUAAUUAUUGUAGCCACUAUUGUAUGUUCCCAAAUGAUCCCCGGGUUAGCUCAUUUAAUUGACUGCACCACUACUGGACUAAUAAGUAAGAUAACUAGCUAUUUGGGUCAAAAGCCUAAAUAUAUCAUUUAGUGGGAGGCUCCAUUUAAUUAGCUUUUGUAUAAGGGGCCUUAUGUUAUUUUACAAGGUGGGUCCCCUAUUGAAAAAGCAAAUAAACGUGGGUUUUGUUUUUCAUUUAUUUGAAGCCUAGGGUUUUCACUAAAGGGUGAUAUAAAAGGCUUAUUUUUCCCUAAAGAAAAAGUGAGAAGCCACUUUAUACAGAUCAGAGAAAAAGAUUUUUCUCUCUAUUGUUGAGAGAAAAAUUUUCUCGUGCUAGUUGCUUUGGUAGUGAUAAAGGCGCCCACACGUCAAGUGCAGAUCGAACCUGAGUCAUAACCUGGAAGAUCAUUGGAGACUGUUCGUGAUCUAACAAGCGUGGUGGUGACGGAUCGUGAUCUAACAGGAGCGGUGGUGGCGGAUCGUGAUCUAGGAGCCUAAAACACUUCAGCGGAAAAAGCCAACUCGGAUUUUCAAGGUACGAUUUCUAGAAUACAAAUUCUUAUAUAUUAUAUGAGAGCGAUCUUCAAAAGGUUUUAUAAAAAAUUAAAAACCUAAUUUUUCCCCAACAAUUGGUAUCAGAGCCAUCUCAUAUUAAUAUAUAAGAAUUUCGUAUGAAAUUAAUCUUGAAAUUUAUGUAUUAGAGUGGCACAUUUUAUUCAGAUAUAUAUUAUUUGUUUAAUAUAUGAAUAAAGCAUGUUAUGGUUUGUCUUAAUUCAUGGUUAGAUGUUCUACUGUAUUUUUCGUUUGGAUCUGUAACAAGAGGGGUGGCUUAUUAUCACCAUGUUUCCCUCUUGAUUUAUUGUAAUGUAAUUAAAAUUUUGUAAGCCAAAAUUAGCAUCGGAUUAUUGUAAAUCACUGGAAAAUUGCGGAAACUUGCUGGAACCUGCAGCAACGAACCAGCACACGCAGCAGCGAGCGGCCACCAGCACACGCUGCUGCACGAGCAGCGCGCGGCCAGCAGCACAUGCUGCCAGCAGCGCGCGUUGCACACGCAGCGGCCAGCAGCCACGCUGCAAGCAGCUCGCGCUGCACAUGCAGCAACUGCAGCGCGCGUUGCAACGCUGCAAGCAGCGCUACCUGCAGCGAGCGAGCAGCAGCUGCAGCGCCCAAGCAGCAGCGCGAACGUGGGCUGGAGGCGCGGAGCGUUUUGGUUGACGUCUUUCCGGCGUUAAUGACGGCUGUCCGGUGUGGAAACAGUGAACAGCGGCUGGAUUUUUUUGGAGAUGGCGGCUGGGGAAGAGAGGAAGAAAAAUAUGGAUUUAGGGUUACAUGGUUUUUAUCAUGGAAGUCCCUAUGGUUCCAUAAUUUUUCAUUUGAGCAGAAAGUUUUUUAAUUUUUUGCAUUUAAAUCCAAAAACAGUUUUGGGUUUAAUGAAUCCUAGUUUUAGGCCCAAUUUCAAUUGGGCUUAAUGGAUUAAAAAUGCAUAGACAAAAUUAAAUACAUUAAAUUUAUUUUUGGUCCAAAAGCUUUAUUUUAAAAAAAAAUAAAAUAAAAUAAAACUAUUUAUUUAUUUAUUUCCUUUCAAAAUUAAAAUUGGACCAAUUAUAAAUUUAAAAGCCCAAUUUCCCCUAGUCCAUUAACAAAAACAAGCUUAUGGAAGAUGGACAUUGACAAGAAGCCCAAUGAAGAUUAGGCUUAGGGUUAAUGUAUUUUUCAUUAUUAGGAAAGCCAUGAAUUAAGAUUAUUUAAUUAUUUUUCUAUAUGUUAUGUUUUGGAUGAUAACAUGCCAUGAUAACAUGUCAUAUAGAAUAGGUAGUGUCACUCUAUGCAUAAUGAUACAUGUCAUUCAUUAAAUAAUGAAUUUCAUUAUAUUGUUUGAAAUUUGCAUUUGCUUAAUAAUAUUUGAUAUCAUCUAGAUAAUAUUAUAGGAAGCAUGCAAUUAACAAUAUGUAUGUUUUAAAAAGGAAAAAUCAAUUUUAAAAUAUUGAGUGGGAGAGGGAAAAUUCAAGAUAAUUUUUCCCACGGGCUCCAUUGUUAGUUCAAUAAUAAAAUUAUAUAUAUACCUCAACUUCAUGAUACGGUGAUGCUCCCUACGGAGGGUAUAUAUAUUGGAUAUUUUAUUUGAUGAACUUCUUCAAAGAUAAAAUUGAAAUAUUUUUUCAAUCGAUUGCUCGCCCCAACGGUGACUAUUGAUAUGAAAAAUACGUAGAUUGAAACAAUGGUUAUACACUCAACUAAAGUUUGUUAUUAACCUUCCCAACGAAGCUCUGUUAACAAAUUUAGGCCCAAAGGGAUAACGAUAAUUAUUUAUCAUGUCUCUACAUGAAAGUAAAUAAUCUAAUGGAUAAUUGGGUCUAGUAAGUGUAGACAUGACUUCCCCAACGGAUAGCUUGUCAAAGCGGUACUAGAUUAUCGUUACAAUAAAUUAAAAUGCAUUUAUGGUUUUUUGUAUUUUUGUCAUUUAUUGUGAAUAUUGUUUCAAAGUAUUUAUGCAUGUCUAUUUUGUUUUUUCAGAAAAUGUCUUCCAUCAACCCAUUAUUAAUUAUUCUUGUUAAAAAUGAACUCACUGGCGAAAAUUAUUUAGAUUGGAAACGCAAUCUAUUUAAUAUUCUCACUGCUAAGGGAAGCAAAUAUGUUUUGACUCAGCCUUGCCCUCCUGAACCAUCGUUAUACGAUUAUAGAAAUCAGAGGGAGCCUUAUGAGAAAUGGUGCGAAGCUAACAAAAUGGCUAAGCGCUAUAUAUUGGCUUCGAUUUCUGUGGAACUGCAUAAGAAACAUCGGAGCAUGGAAACAGCCACUGAAAUAAUGGCUAGUCUUCAUCAGAUGUUUGGGUAAAAUACCCAUUUUUCUAGAGAAGCAGCAUUGAAACGUAUUACGGAUACUAAGAUGGAAGAGGGCACAAAAGUUCGUGAUCAUGUCCUCAAAAUGAUGGACUAUUUGAAUGAGGUAGAGAUUCAUGGUGUUCAAAUCAAUGAUAAAUCAAAGAUUAACAUGGUGAUUGAAUCUUUACCUGAUACAUUCAAAGAGUUUAAGGUCAGUUAUAUCUUAAACAAUAAAGAUAUGACCUUAAUUGAAUUAAUGCACGAACUACAUGCUAUAGAAGAAUUCUAUCAUAGCAGAAAACUUCCUGAAAAAGGAUUCUCUUCAAGGCUUAAGUCGAAAGACAAGAAUGAGCAAGCAAGAGUUGGGAUCGGCAAACUGUCCACUAAAAGAAGUGGCAAGCCAAAAGGCAAGUGUUACAAAUGUGGACAGAAGGGUCGCUGGAAGAAAGAUUGUCCUAAGAUUAUUAAAAUCAGGUAUAGGAAAUCUUUAAGCUUCCUAAUUAGUUCAGAUUUCUAUUGCAUCAUACAAUAAUGAAUUCUGAGAUAACUAAUCUUAUUUGUAAUUCAUUUAUUUGGUUUUCAGGAAACCAAGAGAUUAAGUGAAGAAAGUAUCAAACAGCAGUUGAGGACAUGCUAGUUUAUAUUAAUUGAAAGACUAGAUCAAUUUUACAAGACUUUAGUUUUGAUAUUUGUCUUUAUAUUAGAGGAAUUUAAUUUCGGUGGCUUGUUUUAAUAAACAGGAGUACACUGUUAUUUUUUGGAUCCUCUAUUUAUUAUUUAUUUUGGUUAUUUAUAAAGACAAUUUAUAUCAUAGAAGUCCAUUGAUCUAUUCAAAGUAAGAUAUAAUGAUAAAAAGUAUAUGCAUUUAUCUAAGAAAAGAAAUGUUUCUUCUAACCAAAAAUCACCUCUGAUAUUUAUGCCUAAGUCAUAUAAACUAUAAUAAGAUUUUAAGAAAAUGAUUAAUGAUAGACUUGUUGGCCUAUUAAGAUUGAUCAUUGUAACUCCAUAAAUCUUAUUUAGAAAAGUAAUAUGACAAGGAUGCUCUUUUUGAGCUAAAAGCAUAACUAUGUAUUUGAUGAUUUAGCGCAUACAAAUGUAUACGGACUAAUCAGUUUACAUGUUAUAAGGGGUUAUGAGUAUUCUAUCAAUCUUGUUGAUGAAUAUUCAUUUUAUUUAUGUUUGUCUAAAUGCGUCAUGAUUCCAUUGCUUUUGAAAUUCAAAAGAGUACGUGGAUAAGACAGAAGCAAUUAGACAGGAACAUAAAAGAACUUCGAUAUGAUCGAAACAAAGAAUAUCUCUAUGGAGAAUUCAAGCACUAUUUGGUUGUCAAUGAACACUAUAAUACAAUAGUGUAAUUAAAUGAAGAAACAAGAUUCUUUUGGAUAAGACAAGAUAUAUACUAAGUGGUUUAUCAUUUACCUUUUUUGAUUCCAGAUAUUAGUAUUUAAAACUACAAAGUUUAUUGAACUUAGUUUCAUCUAUCUCGGUGUCUACUACUCCAAGAAAUUAUGAAAAAGUCACAAACAUGGUUUGAGACACAUUCAUAUUUGGAGUUUACUAGUAUUUCUACUAGAAUCAGAGAUAGACAAGAUGGAUUCGUGUUCAGAAGCUUGCAUGUUUUAGGUAUCUUAAAGGAAUAAGGGAAAGUCUGAAUUAUAGUCCUCAAGAUAGGAAUGUAUUUAUAGAAAUAUUCUUUACUUUCUUUGAGGAAGACUCUAUAAUGACUUAUAACCUAAGAGUAAGGUAAAACUAGAGAAAUAAAAGAGAUCAGGUUGAUGCUCAGCUUUCAACACCUGUUAUAGAACAGGAAGAACAGCAACAACCAGCUGAUCAGCACAGGAUUAUCCUUGAACAACCAUCACUUUUAGAACCUUGUCGUAGUGGGAGGGUAACUAGGUUACCUGCGAGAUACAUAUUUUUGGGAGAAACCUAUAUGGCUAUCUUAGAUGAACAUGUACAAAAUCCCACUAGUUACAACGAAGCUCUAAUAGAUAGAAAUGUUAAAUUUUGGAAAAAGGCCAAGAACACAUGGUAUGUAAGUUGCAGAGAUCCAUUUAUAGAUUGAAGCAAGCAUCCCGGUCAUGGAACAUCAGAUUUGAUCAAGCGAUUAAAUCACUUGGAUUCAUUCAGAACAUUGAUGAACCAUGUGUGUACAAGAAAAUUCAGGGAAAAUUUGUAGCCUUCCUAAUUCUUUGUGUAGACAAUAUUCUUCUGAUUGGAAACGAUAUAGGAGUAUUGACUACAAUAAAGAUUUUGUUAGCAAAAUAAUUUGAUAUGAAUGACCUGGGGGAGGCAAGUUAUAUUCUUGGUAUCAAGUUACUACGAGACCGGAAGAAUAAAACUUUAGCAUAGAUAGAAAUGUUAAAUUUUGGAAAAAGGCCAAGAACACAUGGUAUGUAAGUUGCAGAGAUCCAUUUAUAGAUUGAAGCAAGCAUCCCGGUCAUGGAACAUCAGAUUUGAUCAAGCGAUUAAAUCACUUGGAUUCAUUCAGAACAUUGAUGAACCAUGUGUGUACAAGAAAAUUCAGGGAAAAUUUGUAGCCUUCCUAAUUCUUUGUGUAGACAAUAUUCUUCUGAUUGGAAACGAUAUAGGAGUAUUGACUACAAUAAAGAUUUUGUUAGCAAAAUAAUUUGAUAUGAAUGACCUGGGGGAGGCAAGUUAUAUUCUUGGUAUCAAGUUACUACGAGACCGGAAGAAUAAAACUUUAGCCUUGUCUCAAGCGGUCUAUAUCGAUAAGAUAUUGGCUAGAUUUAGCAUGGAAAAUUCCAAGACUGGUUUAUUACCAUUCAGACAUGGAAUUACAUUCUCUAAGGAUCAAUCACCUAAAACAUCUGAAGAGAUAGAGAGAAAGAGACGAGUUCCCUAUGCAGACGCUGUGGGAAGUCUCGUGUAUGCCAUGCUUUGCACUAGGCCAGACAUCUGUUUUGCGGUAGGGAUGGUUAGCAGAUAUCAAUUUAAUCCUGGAUCUCUAUACUGGACUGCAGUCAAGCAUAUUAUAAAGUAUCUGAAAAGAACUAAAAAUUAUAUGCUUGUGUAUUCUGGUGAUGAACUCAUUCCAGUGGGUUAUACUGAUUCUGACUUUAUGUUAGAUAAGGAUUCCAGAAAAUCAACUUCCGGCUAUGUGUUUACAUUGGGAAGUGGAGCUAUUAGUUGGAUGAGUGUGAAACAAUCUUGUAUCACAGACUUAAUAACUAAAGCUGAAUAUGUGGCUACAUCUGAAGCUGCAAAAGAAGCUAUAUGGCUCCGCAAGUUCCUACGAAAUCUUGAGGUGGUACCUAUUGUAACUACACCCCUUAAACUAUUUAUGUGAUAAUGGUGGUGCAGUAGCUCAAUCUAAGGAACCAAGGAACCACAAGAAACAAAACAUAUUGAAAGGAAGUAUCAUCUUAUAAGGGAAUAAUGUAGAAAGGUUAUAUGACAAUACCCCAAAUGGCAUUAGAUGCUAAAUGGCAGAUCUUAUUACAAUGGCCAUUAGUGGGAAACCUUUAUAACCUGCACUUAGAGCCCUAGAGCAUGUGCAAUAUGCCAGAUAUGCUUUGAGAGCUAGUAGGAGAUUGUUGGGAAAAUAUGCUCUUUAAAAGCAUAUGUGUUUAUUUAAUUGUAAUAAACUAUUUUUCUGAUUAAUAAAAUAAAUGAGGUAUUUUAUUCAAAUAUCUUAAUUGCAUUAAUACUUGUAUUAAAGUCCAUUUAAUCAUAUUAUAUGUAUUUAUGUGAUUACCAUGUGGAUUCACAGAAAACAUAAAUACAAAUUAUCUUAUGAUUAAAUAAAUUUAGUUCGCAGUUGAUAAAUAAAGUUGGGCACUUUAUUUAGGUAUAGACUGUAAUAAAUUCAUUGAAUGAUUUGUCUUAAUCAUGUAUGAAUUUAUUGAUGUAGUACGACUACAUUGAACAGGAUCACAUAUGAGAUUUAAUUAACUUUGUAAUAACUGUCAGACUUAUUAAAUCUCAUAGGCGUUGAUUUUACUGUAAUCUUAAUCUUGAGUUAAUUAUGAUUUCAUGAUUGUAAUUGUUAUUCCAUUUGAGUUACCAAUGGGCACGACACAUCCUUGUGGUCAAGAUUACCCGGUAUCUUGGUGGGAGCAAUUAUGAGUAUUGGAGUUAUAGAUUAACAAUAUAGAAUUUGUACAACACAUCUCUUCAUGGGUUUUCGGCACUUGAUCAUGGAAUUCUCUGGCCAGAGUGUGUCAACAUAUUUAGUAUGUUGAAAAUGAUCAUUAGAGAAAACCAGUAAGGAUCAAGGAAUAAGAUGUUAUUAAAUUGAUUGGACAGUUGAGAUAUCAAUUUAAUUAACGAUGUGGUACAAAGGAUUGUGCAGUAAAGAAAUCAAUGUGGCUUGGGACGAAUUAUUAUUCGAGCAUACAAUUAUGGAAGUCAGUUCCAAUCUUUUAGUGGAGUAGAUUUGGAAUUAAAUAAUUGGGCUAGUUUAAUUACAGGCCUAAUUAUUGUAGCCACUAUUGUAUGUUCCCAAAUGAUCCCCGGGUUAGCUCAUUUAAUUGACUGCACCACUACUGGACUAAUAAGUAAGAUAACUAGCUAUUUGGGUCAAAAGCCUAAAUAUAUCAUUUAGUGGGAGGCUCCAUUUAAUUAGCUUUUGUAUAAGGGGCCUUAUGUUAUUUUACAAGGUGGGUCCCCUAUUGAAAAAGCAAAUAAACGUGGGUUUUGUUUUUCAUUUAUUUGAAGCCUAGGGUUUUCACUAAAGGGUGAUAUAAAAGGCUUAUUUUUCCCUAAAGAAAAAGUGAGAAGCCACUUUAUACAGAUCAGAGAAAAAGAUUUUUCUCUCUAUUGUUGAGAGAAAAAUUUUCUCGUGCUAGUUGCUUUGGUAGUGAUAAAGGCGCCCACACGUCAAGUGCAGAUCGAACCUGAGUCAUAACCUGGAAGAUCAUUGGAGACUGUUCGUGAUCUAACAAGCGUGGUGGUGACGGAUCGUGAUCUAACAGGAGCGGUGGUGGCGGAUCGUGAUCUAGGAGCCUAAAACACUUCAGCGGAAAAAGCCAACUCGGAUUUUCAAGGUACGAUUUCUAGAAUACAAAUUCUUAUAUAUUAUAUGAGAGCGAUCUUCAAAAGGUUUUAUAAAAAAUUAAAAACCUAAUUUUUCCCCAACACAUGCAGCAAUAAAUAAUCAAAUUCUGUCCUGUAUAUUUUUAUUUAGAAAAUUGCAAAAAAGCUAGUCGCUAGAAAAAAGUAAUUAAUUAAGUAAACACUGGCUUUGCACUUUGCACUGUGUUUGCGGUAAACUUUUGUUAAAGACAAGUAUACAUAAACUACCAAGGCACUGAAAAUAUGAAAUCAAAACAAUAUAUUGAAUCAAAACAAUACAUGUCUAUAGCGAAGGAAUCUCAAAAUCUGCUCACUAGCUAUGGCUCGUGUAGAACAAACCUUCACAAACUGACCUUGUUGGUUGAUUGCUUUUGCUUGGCAAAUCAUAGAGUUGAUGCAACACAUCAGGUGGGAUGCACGUUCCUUCAUGGGCAUAUUAUCGAACACGUCCUAGGCAUGAGAAUUAUACCAUAAUUCCCCAACAACUCCCCUCUUCAGCUGGGCCUGCAAAUUCCAUAUAAUCAUUCCAUUGUCUAUUUUUCGUUCGUUCUGAACCUAAAUCAAGCUUGCCAAUUCAUCUGAUCAUAUUCAUAUAGAUAUUUGUCUGUCUUCCUAAAAUUCAACAUUUGUCCACCAAGUAUUAGACCCAUAAAAAUUCAGAGAGGAAAUGACAAGGAAGAGGGUGAGCUCAAUAGACAGUCUCUACCUCAGACCCUGUGUUUUUUUCCAGCUGCCGCUAAUUGCUAAACACGGUUAAGAAACUUGCACACCAAUCUGGACAGCUCAUCAAUGCCACGUCACUACCCCUUAAACUGAUUUUUAACAGAUUUUUCAAUAAAUAGAAUGCAAAUGAAAUAACAUUUGAAUGCAUGGUUAGUGACAAAUUCAGAUAAUAGUAGGUAUGUAUUUGAGUUCAUCUUUGAGGUUGUGGUUCCUCAUCACCACAGCAGCCAUUCCACUGGCUUCUGUACCAAAAACAUAUUUAAUUUAUUUAUAUUAAUAAUAUAUUUAUAUUGAUUUUUAAAGUUGAUUAUUGAGGGAUUAGAAACACUUAAUACAUCCCAUCAUCAUCAUCAACAACAACAACAACAACAACAACAACAACAAAGAAAGAAAGAAAAGACUCAAGAGUAUUUGCAAAAGAUAAUUAUAAAGAGCGACUAUGGUCAACGGUGGAGAAUGGAAUCAAAGACAUUGUCAAAGGUAGCAAAAGCUUCGAUAAUCUAAACACAGAGACUUUUCUUCAAGUAUAGUUAAAUAAUAAAAUAAUAAUUUAGAUUACUUAAUGAAACAAUAAGUAUUUAUGAUAAAUAAGAUACAUGGAAUAAACUAACCUCUCCGCUUAUCAUUUUCUCUAUUGUGUUUUUUUUUUCCUCUGUCUCUCCUUCUUGUUGUUUAGUAGAUGACACAACAUUUCAUUUUGUUUAUUCAAUUUGCUAUUGGAGCAUCUUUCAGGAAAGUACAGAAAUGUAAAUAUACAGCUAAUAUUAUAUUUAUGAAUUAUUUAUAUGUACAGUACAUACUAAGUAACUAAAAUAAGACAAAUGAAAUAAUAAAAAUAAAAAUAUAAAUUAGAUAAGAUCAAAAAUAUCAUAUGAUCAAUCUCUUUCAUCACCAACAUCUAAAACAUUAUUGCUGUAACGUUAUACAUUAUGUACGAAACAGGAAUGUAAGCACAGUAGUAAUAUAAUGUUAUACAUAUCAAAAUUAUGUCUACAAAUAAAAAGUAAAUUGAAAAAAGAUUAGUGAAAUAAUAAAAAAUAUAAAUAUAAAUGAUAGAUCAAAUAUAUCAUAUGAUCCUAAUUUAAUAAAUCAAUAAUGCCUUAGUAGACAAUAUAGUUUAUGGUAGAGAAUAUUACUUAUCCUCUUAACAUUGUUUGCUCAAUAAUCUUUACUUUUGAUCCAAGCAUCUUUGAUCCAAAAAUUGGUAGAGAAUAUUACUUAUUAACGUUAUAAAUCCAUCCGCAAUUAAUAAAGGAUCACAGCAUAUUCAAAAAGCAAUUAAUUUCUAUUUAGAUUUUUAGUACUCAUGCGAAAUAGAGAAACAAGAUAUGUGCGUAUGAAAUUAUUAUGGAUUACAAGCUACUCGAUCAAAACUCGGAAUCAAAUAAUUGAAUGGGUGUCGAGCACGCUUGUGGAAAGAGUCACGGCACGAGCUCCCCUUCAUCAUCUCUAAAAAACCACACUUCAAAUAAAAAUAUUUUUUUUUCCUGCAAAUUACUUGCAUUCAUAACCAACUAUUUUUUUUAAUAGUUAUCAUUCAUGACUUCCUCUCUAUCCAAAAUAAAUUUGCUUAAAUUUAAAAUAUUAAAUUAUUCUUUUUCUAAUUUUUAUUGAUUGAACCUUAUUUUUAAAUUAAGAUUACUUUCAAAUUAUAAUUUGGAAUAUGUGUAAUGAAGUCCUAAUUAUAAUUUAAUAAGUCAUAAUUAUAAUUUAAAGUAUUUGUAAUUUAAGUCAAUGAUUUAUAUUAAAAAAUUCAUCACUGAUAAUUUGUAUAUAGGAUAGAUUGCAAAUUAACAAGAAUGUUAAAGAAAAGAAAAAUUAGAAGAGUGUAUUAAGAAAAAGGAUGUUUUUGGAAUUAAAAGUAAGAAUAACUAAAAAGAGAGAGAGAGAGAAGGUUUCAUGACAAUAUUAGAGGGGUGGCACUAGUCCAGCUCCAUACAUAGAAAUUACAAAGAAUCAACAAGAUAAUAACAAAAACACAUCCCAUACUCACAAUAUCCAAUUAGAGGGGCACCAAAUUUUUUUUGGCGAAAAUCCUCCAAUGCUCAAGUCAGUAAUUGGGUCUCUUUUAGAAAAACUUGUAUCACAAACUCAUGGCUUAAUUAUAUCAAUUGAAAGUUAGAAAUCUUAAUUCUCAAAAGAAGAAAAAUAAAUGGAGAGAAUUAUCGAGAGAGAAAAAGUCAAAGAGAGAGAAAAUAUGGAAAUAAAAAAAAAAUUGUCCAGCCCUUUUUACCUCCCAUUCUCCGUAGCUUUUAUACCCAACCUGAACCAUCGACUCCAUCUUCCCCACGAUUACUGUUGGCUUGGAAGUGAAAAGCGUGCUGUGUCUUUGAAAUCAUGGGUCAAUGGACAAUGUAACUGCCGCUGAAUGGGCUUUGUGCCCGAGUUUCUUGGAGACAAACUACGUGUUGGCCUUUGAUCAAGCCUUCGAUCUGACUCGAUUUUGGUCUCUCCUCGCAUGCCCUCAGGUCUGCUAUAUAGUACUCGUACGACCAGUAUUCAGAUUUUUUUGAUACAAGCAGUGGUCAAUAGAGUCAACUAAGAUAAAACUUAAAUUUCCCGCCCAAACAAAAACUAACAUACAUAAAGAAUUCGAAUCAUCCUUCAAUAAUAACAUAAAUAGCAACUACUGAGGCUAGUAAUUUGAUCAUUUCUGUAUUUGUCAAUGCAUUAUGGAUUCUAAGACCAGGCUCUAAAAUCAGCAAAUCCAAAAAUUGUUGAUAAUAUUACUUAGUAAGGUUACGAAUCCAUCCACAAGACAGCUGUAAAUAGUCAUAUAUCCUGACAUAUGAACUUUUUAUAUGAUUAAUAAAGGAUAAUAGCAUAUUCAAAAAUCAAUUUCUACUUAAAUUCAUAGUAGUCAUGCAAAAUAGAGAUAGUGAAUGUGUAUAUCACGGUGCAGAAGUAAACAAAGUAUGCAAGCAUGAUAAAACAAAGUUCAUGAUAUGUGCCUAUGAGAUUAUUAUAGAACGAACCUGCUAUAAAAAAAUGAUGCAGUGACUAAGCUGGAAGAAAAGGCCACCUAAGAUGUGAAUUUGCUGUUAUUUGAUUCAACUCUUCGGCAUGGCUCUUGAAGUUUGAAUCAGCCUGUGGCAGGCGAGUGAGCAAGCUGAUAUUGCUGUUGUAGAUAGCUGAAUCUUAUCAACAUUCUUCUUCCAUCUGAAUCUUGAGUGAGCAAGCCUAUGCCCUUAUCAACAUUCUUCUUCCAUGAAUCUGAAUCUUUCGGUCGAAGAUAUUGAUAGGAAUGCACAUAGGAGUAAUACGGUACUGCAUGUUCUAAAGGCAAAUAUUAAUUUUGUAAAGUACCUUAGCGAUUCUGCUUUUGCUAACUUUUUUACUGUCUCCACUGCACUCUGUUCCACAUAGUCGAAAUCAUUCUGCAUUUUGGCCCGAUUCUAACAAGACAAUCUAACUUCCAAGCUUUCAACUUUUCCCAAGGUCUCUGGCACAUUUUUAAGUUUGGAGCAACCACAGAGAUACAACGUUCUAAGAGAUCUCAAACCAUUUAUGGUACUUGGACGACUCUUGAGAUUUUUGCAAUCUUUCAAAUUCAACAAGACAUUGCCAGAAAGAAGUUCAAUAGAUGCUGGCAAUCCUCUUAUAGCAGUUCCUUCCAAAUGAAGCUCCAAGAGCUGAUCCCUGCUUGAAGUUUUCUCUGGGAACUCUCUGAAUUUCAAAGGGCUGGAGAGAUUCAAAGUUGAUAGAUAUUUUACAGCACUUAUUGUCCUUGGAAGACACUCAAGAUUUUUGCAGCCAUUCAGAGUCAACUGCGCAAGUCCAAAUAGAAGUUCAAUUGAUAAUGGCAGUUCUUUAAUAUCAGUUCCAUCCGAAAGAACUUCCCACAAUGUCUAGAAAUUCCUUCAAUUUCCAGCAACCAGAAAGAACACGUGUCUUAAGAGAUUUCAUAAAGAUCUUGCCUGGAAGAGUUGAAAGACUUGUACAACCUUUCAAAUUCAACAGAAUCAGCUUCUUUGAAGCAGAAAAAAUGAGUGAAUCUCCUGCAACCUUGUAAAUCUUUCAGAAAUCAGCUCCCCUAAAUUUGGUACUCUAGUGAAGUCUGAUUGGUCAUAUUAGAAAAGGCUUUAGCACUGACAUGCAUCUCUUUGAUGUUAAAGCGAUCAAAUAUGAUGCUUCAACUACAUCAGUUUCCUAAACACUAUAACAAAAAAUAAGUGGGAACAAAAAAAAAAUGAAACAAAGAAAAUAUUGAUAAAACUAUGCAAAGGUUUAACUAGUUAAAUAAGUGAUCAUGAUCCCAAAAUUGCAAGUUUUCAACCUAACUGAACAUUUACUUGUGCUUUGUGAUAAUACAUGGCAUAUAUCUGCUUUCUCCCACAAUCUAUUGCAGUUUCUAGGCUCCUGAUGGGAUUGCCUCCUAACAAUUUGUCUACCCCAUUUCUUGUAACUACUCAUGCAUCCACAGUCCGCUGAAAUCAUCUACAGUUAAUAGAGAUUUUUCAAUAGGACCAACAAUUUCAAUAAUUGGGUCAAAAUCACAAUAUUUGAGAAUUUUUGUCACAUAAUCUCUGUACUUCCCUUCAUAGAAACAUGCAAGAUCGAGAAAUAUUUUCUUCUCUGUUUCUUUUGACCCAUCAAAACUUAUUUGAAGUACAUCAAGAAUCUCAUUCUCAGGAUCUCCCUAUAGUCAUUGUAGUAUAAUUCUGAAAAUAUUUUCUUCUCUGCUUUGGAAAUUAAUGAUCUUCUUCUUCAUAUUUAUUCUGAAAAUUCAAAAACAUAAAUGAAAAUAAAGAGAACUGCAUGGCAUAAAACUUACAACUUUGAUUAUGUCGCAAGCAGCAUAGUAAUCAAAAUUUUUUAAAUAUCAACUACAUGUCAACGAUGCGGAAUUCCAAGGCAUCUUCUAUUAAACAAAAACAAAUAAUAAGAACCAACAGUUGUCAAUUCUUAUCAACAAAGUCUUCAAAUUGACAUUGUGAUCUGUUGUUUAACGAAAAAAAGGAAAAUCAAUUCCUAUGAACUAAGUCCUCGGACCAAAAUUAAACAUGGAGGUGGAGAAAAGAAAAAUCAAAAUCAAAUGUUGAAUCCUCUUGAUUGUUUCAUGGAUAAAUCUGAUCUAGAUCUGAGUCCAUAUUUAACAUAUUCAUCUACCCAUUUUCAGACAUACCAUGAAUUGUAAAUUAAGCCAAAGAUUCGCAAAAAGCAACAAAGAAACAAAAAACAGAUUCUAUGUUCAGCCACAAAUGGGCUAUUUCACAGCCAAGCACAAUGGUUAAGGAAGAUUGCUAGUAAACAAAUGAAGAAAAUUAAUUGCUUUUCACAGGUUCAAGAAUUAACACUAUUAUUGAUUGCUUCUCUAGUGGAAGAAAUAAUUUUGAAUAAAGCACAGCAUCAUUCCAACAAAUGUGACGAUAUUUUUUUCAUUCAUUCCAUGGCCGGACUCUGUUUUAUGUCUAAAACUCAAGAAAUUCUACAAUUCCUUCUUUCUACCACAUCAUUCACGAAACAACAAAUAAUCAAAUUCUGUCAUGUAUAUUUCUAUUUAGAAAUUUGCAAAAAGGUUAGCCGCUAGAAAAAGAAAAUAAUUGAUUAGAUAAACAUUGGGUUUGCACUGUGUUUGUGGUAAAAUUCUGUUAAAGACUAAAGACUCUCAGAAUCUGCUCACUAGCUAUGACUCAUGCAAGACAAACCUUCACGAAUUGACCUUGUUGAUUGAUUGCUUUUGCUUGGGAAACCAUAGAGUUGAUGCAACACAUCAGGUGGGAUGCACAUUCCUUCGUAGGCAUAUUAUCGAACACGUCCUAGGCACGAGAAUUAUACCAUAAUUCCUCAACAACUCCUCUCUUGAACCUGGCCUGCAAAUUCCAUAUAAUCAUUCCUUUGUCUAUUUAUCGUUUGUUCUGAGCCCAAAUCAAGCUGAGAUCGAUCAUAUUCAUAUUCAACAUAUGUGCACUAAGCAUAGUAACCUCAAUUCCGAGGUUCAAGUAUUUAAACCCAUAAAAAUUCACAGAGGAAAUGACAAGGAAGAGCGUGAGCUCAAUAAACACUCUAACUCUUCGCUCUACCACGGUUAACAAACUUGGACACGUCACUAACCCUUAACUGAUUUAUAACAGAUUUUUGAAUAAAUAGAAUGUAAAUGAAUUAUCAUGUGCAAAAUAACAUUUGAAUUUGAGAUGCGCGCGGUGAUAAAGUCAGAUAAUAGUAAAAAUAAAAUAGUCAAGAAUAAUAAAUUUAUAUUUUUUAUAUUAAUAAUAUAUUUAUAUUUAUUUUUAAAAUAUAAUAUCAAUUUUUGGCUUACUAUAGUCAAGAAUAUAAUAGUAAAAAUAAAAUAAAAUAAAAUAAAAAUUACACAAAAAAUAAAUAAGCAUGUCGAAAUUGUAAAAAGAAGUCAACUAUUAUGUGAUCACUUAAGUUAUAGUUACGUAUGAAUCAAAUUUCUACUUUAAUUGAUCUUGCACAAUUUUAUGUUAUCCUUUCUUUAAUGAAAAGAAAAUACCAUACCGAAAAUCCCAAAAUAUAUCAGAAAAUUUUACUUUCCACAUCCUGACGGGAGAGUGUACCUGAGCAAAUCUUAAAUAGAGAGGAUUUUUGUAAGUAAAUGAAUUCCAAUGAAGUACUUUGCUUUAAGAGAACUUAAGCUAAUCAGGGAAGUAUAUUUAUUUUAAGGAAAAGCAGAGGAUUUUUAUGAGUAAAUGCCUCUUAAAUUGAAAGAAAACAAAAGGAUUCAAGAGCCUACCUUUCUUGAUGAGUCCUGCAGUGGAAUGAUCGAAUGUUGGAUCACGUUAAUGGCCGAAAGAAAAUCACAAGUGGAAAACUUCCUUUUGAUCACAAUAUAAAUGCCUUCUUUCUUCAAUGGAUUGUUCAAUGUUCUCUUUUUUUCAGCAUAUGGAUAAGAGAAGAAGUUGAAGAAGCAAUUGUUUUUUUUUGUGUUGUUGGGGGAAAAAAUGUGUACUCACAUUGAGUUCCAACUCAACAAGUACCGAAAAAACUGUACAUAAAUAAUCAAAUUAGCAAAGAAGAGAACAUAAUCUCCCUCUAAUAUUGACUGAGUGAGUGAUUAGGAACACUUAAUCUAUCACAUCCAAAAAAAAAAAAGAAAAAGAAAAAAAGAAACACUUAAUACAUAAUAAUACUUAAUACAUAAUAAUGUAAGACAAACAUUCAUGGGAAGCAAUGUUGGAAUACAAAACUGCGAGAAAACUUAAUGCUUUGAGCGUGUUGGACGCACUGAAAGAUGAUGAAAAUUUACCUUGCCAAAGAUAAUUCCUCUUUAUAAAGGAGAAAUGUUCCAGUCCGGAAUUUUAAAGUGCGGGAAAGUGCAGGAAAUCUUUAAAACUGCAUGGUUUUAAAGGCUUAAACUGUAAGCCUUUAAAACCGUGCGGUUUUAAAGCUUUCCCGGACUUUCCCGCACUUUAAAAUUCAUGACCAGAAAACUACUACUUUAUAAAGAUCUUUUCAAUUUUGUUUGUUUCAAAGAAAUCAACGAGAGGAUUUCAUGCUUUCUAAUUAAUUCCUCCAAUAAAUGUAAUAAUAUAUACAUUGUAACAUAAUUUCAAUACUUAGAAAAUAUUUUAAUAUUUUACAAUCUAUUAGAUAUAUUUUAUUAUAUAACAUAAAAUUUUAUAAUAAAUAGAAUCAUAAUAUUAAAACAAGUGUAUUAAAAUUUAAAUUAUUUUGAAUAUUAUGGAAAAUAAUAAUAACAUUAGUAUGUGAGACUUUGUUAUUGUAAAAUAUAUUUAAUGCAAAUAUUUAUUUAAAAUAUCUAAAAUAAAUAAAUAUAUUAUUAAAUAAAUAUAACAAUUUAUAUAUUUAAAUUUAUUAAAAUAUUAAGUUAUUUUAAUAUUCUUAGUCUAUUGCGUAGAUUACAUUAUUUAUGUAAUAUUUCUAUUUAUUAAAAAUUUUAAAUUCAAUUUUUUAAAUGACAUAAUGGUCAAAAAGGGGUCUUAGUGUCCCUUUUUUAAAAGUUGUGGGUGUUGGUGACAAUUUCUUCAAAUUUAGGGGUUUACAUGUCCCUUUUCCUUAAAAGAAAGAAUAAUUAAAAAAAAAUGGGUAAAAGCUCGUUUAGUCCCUAUAUUUUGAAGUUAAUGUCCGUUUAGUCCCUAUAUUUUUAAAAAUACUUCAAAGCAUCCCUAUCAUUAAAUUAUUGACAUUCUUGCCAUUAUCUUUUGUUCAUUUUGACUUAUUUUUACAAUAUUACCCUAUUACAAUAAUGUUCCUUUUUUUAAACAUUAUUAAAAAGAAAAAUUAAAUUAUCAGUUUAACACUAAAAAAUAAAAUAAAAACAAUAUAUACAUUAAUUUUUGUGGAACACUCUGCUGAGAAGUUAAAAUAUUAAUUUUUAAAAAAAAUUGAUAUCUUAAUUUUUUACAAAAUUAAAUUUUUUUGGACACACAUGAGCUUCCACAAAAAUUAAUAUAUAUCUUUUUUGUUUUUUAUUUUAUUUUUGGGUUUAAUUUGAUAAUCCAAUUUUUUUAUUUAUAUCUAAAAAAGAAACAUUACUGUAAGAGUGUAAAAUUGUAAAAGCAUGCUAAAAAAAUAAAAAAUAAUGGCAUAAGUGUCAAUAUUUAAUAGUAAGGACGUUUUGAGGUAUUCUUAAAAAUAUAGGGAUUAAAUGGGCACUAAACUCAUAAUAUAGGACCAAACAAGCUUUUACCCAAAAAAAAAGUCUAAUGAGAAUAUUAGAGGGGUGGCAAUAAUCCAACUCCGUGAAAAAGAAUCAACAAGAAAAUAAUAAAAGAUAUUUUUGAAAUUAACUCACGCAUCCGUUAAAGAUCAAGACAAGAACUUAAGUCUUAGAAAAGCUUAGCUGUGAAGCUAGACCUCAACUUCAUGUGAAAUUUAAAGUAAAUUUUCACAAAUAAAAAGUAAAUGAAAUACCAUAUGCAAAUUUAAAGAACAUAAAUUGAAAUUGGGAUGCGUACUCUCACUGUUACACCAGGCCUUACCCUUCAUUUGAGUUGUUUAAAUCUUUUAGGUGGUUGUUCGUCAUCAUCAUCACAGCAGGCAGCAGCCACUGCCACUGGCUUCAGCUGCCACUGCAUUUUCUGCAAGGCUUCGCUUUGAUGUUGUGGCUACUUCCAUUUUUGAUCCAACAAAAUUAUGAUGGGAUUCAUUCAUAUUUGAACGUCAUAGUGAAUGCUUAGGGACAUGAAAAACAAAGCAAAUAGCAUAUCCCACAACCUUCUUUGUAUUAUACAAAUAUGAAGGCCUUGUGACUGUUUUUGAAGAACCCUCAUUCUGAUACAUGAACCACUUUGGAAUUUCACUUCCUGGAACAACGAUGUGCAAACGAUGGCUUGGAUCUGACAUUGCCUGCAACAAAUGGGCUAUUUCACAGCCAAGCAAGAAAACAAAUGAAGAAAAUUAAUUGCUUUCCACUGGUUCAAGAACUGACACCAUUAUUGAUUGCUUCUCUAUUAGAAGAAAUGAUUUUGAAAAAAGCAGAGCAUCAUUAAAACAAACGUGAUGAUAUUUUUUCAGUCAAUAUUAAAUUAAUAUUUUAUUGAAUUUUCUACGUGAAAAAAAAAAAAUUGUGGCAAUAGAUGUAUCAUAAAGUUGCAGCAUAAUUGACUUUAUUGAUUAACUGGGAAAUCAUAAAGUUGAUUUUGUUGACUGUUUGAUUCUGAUUGCUUAGGAAAUCACAAAGUUACAGCAACAGAUGCAUCAUGUCGUUGCUCUCCAACAGGUUAAAAAUUUAUUUAGUCCUUAUAUUAUGAGGUUAGUGUUCAUUUAGUUCUUAUAUUUUUAAAAAUACCUCAAAACGUCCCUGAUGUUAAAUAUUGGCCCUCUUGCCAUUAUUUUUAUUAUUAUUUUAGCUUGUUUUUACAAUAUUACACUUAGUAAUAUUUCUUUUUUGGAUAUUAAUAAAAAAUUAAACUAUCAAAUUGAACCCAAAAAUAAAAUAAGACAAAAAAGAUAUCUAUUAAUUUUUGUUAAAGCUCACGUAUGUCCAAAAAAAUUAAUAUUGUAAAAAAUUAAAUUAUCAAUUUUUUAGAAAAAUUAAUAUUUUAACUCCUCAGCAAAGUGUUCUACAAAAAUUAAUGUAUUUUUUGUUUUUAUUUUAUUUUUUGUGCUAAACUAGUAAUUUAAUUUUUUUUAAUAAUGUCUAAAAAAAGAAACAUUAUUGUAAUAUGAUAAUAUUGUAAAAACAAGUAAAAAGGAACAAAAGGAAGUGGUAAGGGUGUCAAUAAUUUAAUAGAAAGGAUGCUUUGAUGUAUUUUUAAAAAUAUAGGGACUAAACGGACACUAACUUCAAAAUUUAGGUACUAAACAAGAUUUUACCCCUCUCCAACAUACCAGGUGGAUGCAUUCCUUCUUGGGUAUUUUAUCAAACAUGUUCUGGGCAUGCUCUUGACCUGCAAUUCUAUAUUAAAAGACGAACGAGGCCGGCCCUGGGUCAAUUGUUUUAAAGUUUUUUAUUUUGUGAUCAAUUACUUUUAAAUAAAUCCAAAAUAAAAAUUCAUUUUUUUAUUAUUUAGUCUAAUAAUAGCAAUCUGAUUUCCUCUCUGUAAUUUUUAUUUUAGGAUGCCAUCUAGUUGAGAUACUAUACUUAUUAUGUUGAAAACAAGAUAUUCGGAAUUCUAAAAUAAAAAUUACUUUUUUUUGUUUAUUUAUUCUAAUGUUAUGUUUGUACUUAUUUUAAAAUUUAAAAUCAAUUUUAAUAUUACUAUAAUUAAAAGGUAUAAUAGCCAAAAAAAGAUAUUAUAAUGGAAAAAGGAUAUCUACACCCCCAAAGUUUAGAGAAAUAAUCAUUGACAGCCACACAUUUUUAAAAUGGAACACCAAGACCAUCUUUUAACAAUAAUACCCUUUAACCUCUAUUAUCCAAAAAACAAUCAACUCUAAUGUUUUAUAAUAAAUAGAAAUAUAACAUUAAAAUAAAUGUAAUAAUGUAUAUGUUGUAAAUUAAUUUCAAUACUUCAAAAAUAUUUUAAUAUUUUGCAAUCUAUUAGAUAUAUUUUAGUAUAUAAAAUUAAAUUUUAUAAUAAAUAGAAUCAUAAUGUUAAAACAAGUGUAUUAAAAUUUAAAUUAUCUUGAAUAUUAUGUAAAAUAGUAAUAACAUUAGUAUGUGAGUUUUUUUAUUGUAAAAUAUAUUUAAUGCAAAUAUUUAUUUAAAAUAUCUAAAAUAAAUAAAUAAAUAUUAUUAAAUAAAUAUAACAAUUUAUAUAUUUAAAUGUAUUAAAAUAUUAAACUAUUUUAAUAUUCUUAGUCUAUUGCGUAGAUUACAUUAUUUAUAUAAUAUUUCUAUUUUUAAAUGGUCAAAAAGGGGUCUUGGUGUCUUUUUUUAAAAAAAGUUGGGGGUGUUGGUGAACAUUUCCUCAAAUCUGGGGGGUGUGGAUGUCGUUUUUCCUAUUAUAAUUGCUAUAUUAGAAUGAGAGAAAUAAAAAACCAACAAGUACAUAUUAAUGAUACGAAAGUUUUCAGAUUACAUAAUUCAAAUGAAUAUAUAGUUUAUCAAGAAAUCAAAAAUCCAAGUUGGAUUGCAAUUUCAAUUAGCUAAUAGCGAAACAUGAACAUAAUACUAAGCAUGAGUAUAAAAGGGCUUUGCUCUUUAUUAGAUUUCUUAAAUUCUUGUAGCAUGAGGUUCUUCAUCAUCAGUAAGGCUUCGCUCAAAAAGAAAAAAAGAAAAAAUCAAAACACAAACACAAUAUCUAGAGAUGUUUAGAGAGAAAAUUGCAAGCAACAGAAUGGGCAUCAUACAAUAUACCUCAUCGGUCAUCAGCUUAUUAUGGGUUUGUAAUAAUUUCCCGCCCUUUCUAACCGAUUUAACAGCUACAUGCUGACACUAAUGCUCUUCAAAACGACAGUAUUUUCAGGUCGUUUGAUCAUUAUGUAUAAGUGAGUGCACGUGACCAACGCGUGCACUCACUUACUAAGUUUAGACGACUUGAGCCAGACGUCGUACACGAGUCCUCUAGGAGUAAUCGAGAGAUCGUAUGCAAAGAAACAUCAAUUCAUACUAUCAUUUAUUAUUCAGCCCACAUUGCGUCUGGUCUGGGAAUUAGAUUCUGGUUCAUUCUUGAACAAUAGGCAUAAGUGGCAACUAUCACUUGGGAUUUCUCCUCCUUCCACUGGUAGAUUACAGUCACUGAGAUCCCAUUUUGUUAAAGAACAUAAGCCUGAUAGAGAAGGUAACAUCAAAUUAGUCAUGGGAUCUAAACUCCUUCACAUCAUAUUGGUAGGGAAGCACAAAUCCCAUGAUGUAGAUGAUAGUGGUCCACUGGUUUAAGAUUCUUCAAGAUAGAAACAGACGUCGGAAGUUGCCUAAUUGCUGUUCCACUAAUAUCAAGCUCUUCCAAGCUAUCUACUUUCCCCAAGUUCUCUGGCACAUUUUCAAGUGUGGAGCAGCCAGAGAGAUUCAGAAUUUUAAGAGAUUUCAAACCACUGAUGGGACUUAGAAGACACUCGAGAUUUUGCCAAUCUUUAAAAUUCAACACAACAAGGCCAGUUAGAUAUUCAACUGACAAUGGCAAUUCUCGAAUAGCAGUUCCAUCUAAAAUGAGCAUAGUUAGAGAUUUUAAACUUCCCCAAAACUUUUCCAGCUUCGAGCAACCAGAGAGCGUUAGAGUUCUUAAACAUUUUAAUCUACUUAUAGUAAUUGGAAGACUCAAGAGAUAUUUACAACCUUUUAAAUUUUGCAAAAAAUGCCAGAGAGAUAUUCAAUUGACAUUGGCAAUCCUCUUAUAGCGGUUCCCAACAAUCGAAGCGCCAACAGAUGUUCCAUACGUCCCAUGAUCUCUGGAAACAAUCUGAAUUUCAAAAGGCCAGAGAAAUUCAAAGUGGAAGGAAAUUUUAGAGCACUUAUGAAAUUUGGAAGACACUCAAUAUUUUUACAACCUUUCAAAUUCAACUAAACAAUUCCAGAUAAAAGUACAAUUGAUAAUAGUAGUCCCUUAAUAUCAGUUCCAUCCAAAAGAAGCUGCCGCAAAAACUUCAUAUUUCCCACAAUCUCUGGAAAUUUCUUCAACUUUGAGCAACCAGAAAGUACCAAUGUUUUUGGAGAUUUCAUAAAAAUUAACCUUAAGUUCUGAAAAGUCAUAUACCAUGCAUUCGACUACUUCAGUUCCUUACAAAUCAUAAAAGCAGAUGAUAAGUGCAGACUAGGAUGUGAAGAUGUCCAUAAAAUUAUUUAUGCAUAGAUUUAAAGCAUAGAAUGUCAAGCAAAACAAAUGUUUGAUAGAAUGAGCAAUAUGCUCAAUGAAAUGCCUCUAUGAGUCAAGCAUGUCAGAUGACUCAUAAGAGUGAUUCAGCAAGAGAUGAGAAUAAUUUGGAAUAGUCAUGAAGAUAAGAUCAAAGAUUGAAUUAAGCAAAUGUGGGCAGACCUUUCUCAGGGCACAAAGUCGUUUCCUUCGUAUCAAUGUAACGAUGACCAAAGGAUCUCCUUAAAAGCCUACAUUGUGAAAUUGAUAGCUUGGGCAAAGGAAAACAUUUUGUACGUGUAUCAUUAAAAAAAUGAAUAAAAUGUAGGCUGCAUUACAGAAUAUGUUUUACUUUGCAUUAUAUAAUGAUAGCAAUUUUAUACUUCAUUUCUUGACUUUUAGAAUCACGAACUCAAAAUACAUGCAUUGCACUUUGUCACUUACCCUUUUUUUUGUUAACACAUGAUGUACAUCUGUUAUGUUCCACAAUCUGCUGCUGUUGUUCAGCUAAUGUUCUUACAACAUUAGCUGAUUGGUUUACAACACUUUCGACAGCUACACAUAUCCUUUCCCUGGCUGAUUGGUUUUGAAGGCUUUCAUACAAAGAAGUCCAAGAGCUUCAUCAUAGUAUAGUUGCUUAAGGACCAACAAUUCGUCCACUCUAUGUGUUGUCAACGAUGCUUAUCUCUAGAUGUUAUGAUGAUCCUGCUGCCUGAACUUUCUAGCUAACCUUUUUGUGUCGUAGCCCACUUCGAAUUAUGUUGAUAACAUUAUAUACAUUCCAUUUUGUUAGGAAAUCUGACCUCUUUUUUCUGAGGUUUAUCUAACGUUGGCAAGAAAACUACUUACUUCAAAUUCAUGAUAGAUCAAGUUAUAAACAACCUUUGCAAGAGCUGCCUUACCUAUACCUCCGAUAUCACAGAUCCCUAUCAUACGAAUAUCAUUAGGCCCUUUAUCCAUUAGAAUCGUUAGCUUCUCCAAGUGUGAAUCCAUUCCUACUAGCUCUUUAAGAGUCUCUGAUUUUAAAGGAAUUUUGCUUGAUAUCUCAUUGACAAUCUCCAUAAUAAAGUCUGAUUCAUUCCUGCGGGUUGAGUAGAACAAGAAAAGAUUUGUGUUGGUGAGCUAAAGCUAGUGUGAGCGUAACGUAGUGUCAAAAAAUUAGAUAAUAUAGAUCUACAAAACGGAAGUGAUAAAGUCAUAACUUGUGUUUGAUUAAUCUCUAGGUUAUUCUUCAUGUAACUCUUCUCUAAUUUCGUCUAUAACUCUUCGUAUGUAGAUAUUCAUUGAUCAAGUUAUUAUUUCAAUUAAAUCCUAUGAUUUUAACAAAUUCUUAUACAUUUAUUCUAUUGUCUCUCCCUGUUCUUAUGCCUAAAACUUGAUAAAUUCUAGAAUCCCUCUGCUCUACCACAUCAUUCACCCAACAACAUAGUAUAAAAUCUUGUCAUGUAAAGUUUAUUGGAAAAUUGUAGGUAAGUUGGUUGUUUCAAUAACGAGAUGAAUAUGAACGCUAUUUUGGUAAAAUCUUAUUGUUGAUACAAAUAUGCACAUGCACAUGCACACACUGAACAUGAAACUAGUAAAUAAAUAUACUGAAUAAAUAUUGGCAGUUUUUUAAUAGUGGAGAAAUCCAGACAUCUUCUCACUUAUUAUGAUUCAUGCAGAACAAACAAAAAUUAGUUGAUCCACAUCUUAGAAAAUUAAUCAUUGAGAAUAAGAAUGAUUACCUAUCUUUCAAUUCCUAGCCAAAGAUAUUAGCCACCUCUUGCAGAGCGCCUCUCCAUUUUUGCACCUUUUCUAUAUUCUCCUUCAAGAACUUCUUCAUGAUUAGCAAUCGCUUCUUGAAAACUUCCUAUAUGUUUCCUUACCACUGUUGGUUCAACAUCAUAGAAAAUUGGAAAAACCAAUUGUUGGCGAACAUGACGUGUUCUUCCAUUCAACAAUCUUAACAAGUUCAUCCAAGCACCAAGUUGAAGAAGCACAGUUUCUUGAGAAGACAAUAACUGAAAUUCUUGAUUCUUCAAUUACUUUAGACAGUGUUGGUGAAAUGGAUAUUCCCCUUUCACGUUCUUUUUCAUCACUGAAUACAUUAAUUCCAGUUUUAUUCAAAGUGGACUAGAGGUGAUCUGAAAAGUUCUUGCAGUGCGGGUGUCUUGUCUUCACCUCUGAAGCUCAAGCAGACAUGGUAGUUCCUGGGAUGCUCAUGAUGCAAGCAAUUGACUCCACAACCUCUUAUUGCAAUAAGUAACUGGCUGUUAAAUAAUCGUACUUCAGCAAACGAAAAUAAAAUACCAGCAAGUAAAUUGAAACAGUGGAAAACACCCAGAGUAUACCAGUAAAGUGGCAACAGUUUUGGUUCUUGGCAACAAGAGAAAAAAAAAAUUCUCAUUCAACUGCUUUAAUUGAAUUUCUUAUGUGAAUAAAUUGUAGCAACAGAUGUAUCGUCUCAUUGUUCAACAUAUCAGGUGGGAUGCAUUCCUUCUUGGGCAUUUUAUCGAACAUAAUUUCUCAAAAAUUCCUUCCUUAAACUUAGCUUGCAAUUCCAUAUAAGGUGAGAUCGAUCAUCUACAUAUUUGUUUUUCAUCCUUCCAAUGCUUGAAUUUCUUCGAAAAUCCCUGCGAUAUAAUUUACUUGAUCUAGGUUGUUCUAACUUUUUUUCCUUUUUUUUUUUUGAUGAAUCCUCACCAAAGUGAGGAGGUUUUAUUAAAAUAAAAUAAAAAUAUAGCAAGAAAACCAGCCAAACUAAAAUUACAAAAGCUAGCUGAACAGAUAGCUAGGCAGCCUAAAAACAUCCUCAUGCAAAAGAGAAGCAACAUGAAGGGUGCAGAGUCCCACCAAGUAAAGGAAUCCACCAUGGCACCUAAAUUGCUCAAACAAUCAGCUACCCUAUCAGCCUCCCUGAAGACACGAGAAAAGCGCAACGUCAUGGAAUCCAUGAGAGCAAAACAAUUAUUCCAUCGAUGAAUAAGAAACCAUGGGUGGAAGCCGCUUGUUACAAAGAUGAAGCACAGUUAAAGCAGAUUCACAUUUGAUCCAUGACGUAGUCCAACAUUCAAAAGAAGCAUGCUCAAUCGCCAAGAUAACAGCAAACAGUUCAGCAACAAAAGCCGUUUCAACAUGUAAUGGACAAGAGAAAUCCCCCAGAAAUUCUCCCUCACAGUUUCUGAACACAGCCCCACAAGCGAAAACAUGCAAAGAACCUUCAGCGAUUUUUGACUAUAAACGUAAGCAGAUUUUUAAUUUUAAUAUACGCAUUAAUGAUUUAACUAAUUUUAUGUAUGUAUUUAUAUUUUUAAUUUUUUCUCAUUCCUUUUUAUGUAAGAGUGAGUUGAGGCUCGACCCCAAUUCGGCCUUUAAACUAAGACCUUGUUCCUUAUACAUGGGCCCAAAUGGGCUUGGGUCAUUUAUUUCAAGAGUAGCCUUUUGACAUCCCUUAAAAUUUCUUAUAAAACUCAUUUUCUAUUAAAACUACUUGAAUAACUAUAAAUAAAUAAUUUUUUUUAAAUUUUAAAUGGGAUUUCAAUUAAACACUUAAAUAAAUUAAGGUUUUAAUAAAUAAUUUACACCCACAUCAUUUCAUAAUUUAUAUCUAUAUUUAUGAGAAGAUAUUUAAUUUUAAUAAAUGAGUUUAUAUUUUAUAAAUUAAAUAAGAAGUAUUUUUGGAAAUAAAAUUCAAUAAGUGGUGUUGUCUAUUAUGUUUCAGAUAGAUCACCAAAACUAUUGGUGUGUUAAAACUUCACUUACUUUCAAAUCUUAUUGAAGACAAUAUGAAUUUGAUCCAACUUAAUGCUAGUUAAUAUGUUGGUUUAAUGCCUAUGUUGGGGGUGUCAAUGCCUUUGCAUUCAACCAUUUCAACUAUAGACAAUAGAUCUAUGCUGUAUUUUCUUUGUGAUAAAUAUACACAAUGUGCGUCUUGCAACACUUUAAUUCCAAGGAAAUAAGAUAAUAUUCCUAGGUCUUUUAAGGCAAAUGCUUUCCUAAACUGAAUUAUAAAACUUUUUAACUUUAUAGUACUUGGACUUGUAAUGAGUGUUUCUUCUUAUGAAAAGAGAGGUAUCCAAAUUAGUAUUAAUAAAACCCUAAUGGAAUAAACAGCUUUUUAGCUUAUCAAACUAAGCUCUAGGAACUUGUUUGAGUCUCUAUAGACAUUUGUACAAUUUGCACACAAACUCAGGUUUCUCAGCAUUAAUAAAGCCUUUCGGCUGACGCAUGAAUACUUCCCUAGUUAACUCUCCAUUAAAAAAGGCAUUGUUAACAUUAAUUGCCUUAUUUUCCAUUAGUUCAUCACUCCUAGGCUCAGUACCACUCUAAUAAUAGCUAAUUUAACCACUUGACUGAAUGUGUUAAAGUAAUUCACCCCUGCCACUUGCUAAAAUCCUUUAGCAAUAAGCCUGGAUUUAUACUUAGCUACAUUUCCAUCUUUGUUAUACUUGAUCCUUUACACCCAUUUAUUGUCAGCAACAUGAUGACCAGCUUGUCUUGGAAUUAAUGUCCAUGUAUUAUUCUUAACCAAAGCAUUAUAUUCUUCUUUCAUAGCUUGCAGCCCUCUGGAGUCAUCUAAUGCCUCUUGUACAUUAUCAGGUUCUUUAUGAAUGAGAGCAACAGUUGUUGUAUCUUUUUUUUUUGUUUUGUUUAUUCAAUAACAAAAAAACUGAUGUUAGAGCAUCUUCCAGGAAAUUAUAUACGAAAACGGAAACAUAAGUACAAUCAUAUUAUAUUCUUAAAUUAUGUCUACGAAUACAAAGUAAAUUAAAAUAAGAUUAGUGAAAUAAUAAAAAUGUAAAUAUUAAUGAUAGAUAAAAAAAAAUAGCAUAUGAUAGUAAUGCCUUACUAAACAAUAUUAUAGUAGAUGGCAAGUCUAGCUAUUUGAAGAGAACUUUAAAACCAUAGGCAUCUAAAAAAUUACCGAAAAUAAACUUUAUUAUACGCUAAUUAUUCCGUGCCAUUUUCCUGAGCACUUUUGUAUAUUUUAGAAAUGCAUACUUAAACAAUCUGAUCAAGUAUGAAAGCAUUUUCGAUUCAUGGAAGGUAACAACUUUGAAGAUGAUAUUUUGGUUUUGUGGUAAUUUAACAUAUAUGAAAUAAAAAUUGCCAACUGAAAUUGAUGAUGCAUGCUUACUGAAAUAUUCAGAGAAUAGUAAGCAGGCUUCUCCCUUUAUUUGAGUUUACUAAAUGGAUUCUUGAGGUUGUGGUUCCUGAUCACCUCAACAUAUGCAGUAAGGCUUCGCCUUGACGUUGUUGCUACAACCAUCUUUGAUGCAAAAAAAUUUGAGGGGAUGCAUUCAUAUUAUAAUUGGUAAAGCGAUUCCAUUGGAUUGUAGUUUUGUCAAACUCCUCCAUAUAAACUAGUGGAUAUCACACCUCUCACCUCCGAUCCUGGCAAGAACACACCCCUGAGAAGUUACAGAAUUUAUGAUUACAGUCCACAAAGCAUUUGUACUUUUCAUGGGAAUGAAUGGAAAAAAUAUUAUCUAUUUAUUACAGUCCACCGCAUGGUUUUAAAGUUUUUCCGGACUUUCCCACACUUUAAAAUUCUGGAUCAGAAAACUACCCUAUUUGGCAAUGACACAGUCCACAAAGCAUUUAUACUUUUCUUUGGCUACUAACACAUGAUAGAUUGAAAACGAAAACGAAGCUAAUGAGGAGGCAUAUUCCAAUAGGCAUUAUAUAUGAUCAUUAUGUUUUUUCGGUGAAGGAUAUGUUGCAUGUUCUUAGGGAUUGGAUCGUGGAAAAAAGACUUUGGAACCGAUUCCUCCCUGUGGCACAAUGCCAUCAAUUCUUUUCUCUUAAUCUAAAGGAAUUGACUUGUCAAAAUCUAUUGAGUAAAAGGCUGUUGGGUUCAAAUUUGAAGUGGAGUACUUUAUUUAGAGUACUUUGUUUGGAACUUUGCAAGUUCGUUAGUGAACAUCAAGCUUGCUUGGCAUUGUUAAAGUUUUGGAAAUAUGAUGGGUGACCUUCAAGUAGUUGGAAGAGUUAAAAAGCUCGACAAGAAAAAUUACAAUACGUGGGCAACAUUGAUGGAGUCUUGCUUACAAGGUCAAGAUCUCUAGGAGAUUGUUUGUGGUAACAAUAUGAGACCACUAACUGAGGAUGCCGCUUUAAAGAAGUGAAGCAUUAUAGCUGGAAGGCCAUGUUCGCCAUCAAGACUACAAUUGAAGAAGAAAUGCUGCAACACAUAAAAAAGGUUAAAAUACCUAAGAAAACUUGGGAUACUUCUACAAUGAGUUUUUCAAAGAAGAAUAACAUAUGGCUACAACUUUUGAAAAAUGAGCUACUAUCAAUUUUAUAAUGAAACAUGAUGAUUGACGAGUACUUAAACAAGUUAAAAUUCCGAUACCAUAAAAUUUCUAGGUUAGAUUCUACUGCUGUAAUUUCUAAAUUUAGAAUAAAGAGAAUUAUUGUCAAUGGUUUGAGGCUUAAGCUUAAGAGCUUUGUUACAACUAUCUAAGGUUGUCCAACUCAACCAACCAUUGAGAAUUUUGAAAACUUACUUACUGAUCAAGAAGUAAUUGACAAGCAAUUGAGUGGGGCCUUAGUAAUGGAUGAUGAGGAAAUGUUAUUUAUUGAUAACCCUACUAGAAAAAUGACUUUUACUAAUAUUAAGUUGCUGAUACUAAAUAAAAAAUAUCAAUAUUUGAUGACUUAAUUAACUUUUAGUGUGUUUUACAUAUUAAUGCCGGUGGUUAUUAAUAAUAUAGUAUCAUAAACUCUUACUGAUACUAAGAUAUAUAUUUUUAAUUUUAAUUUUAAUUUUUCUUAUUUCACACGACGUGGUUUUACUUUUAAAAUUAGGGUAUCUUAAAUUCUAACACUUGAGAAAUUUUUUGGCCUUAACGAAAGUACUAUUCCCUCUUCAUCUUGCCUCUCUCCCAAAUCCUUCCUACUCAUUUGAAGAAACCCUAAAUUGAAACAAAGCAAAUCACCCAGCCUUUUCAGUCUUAACAAAACAAUUACUCUCAGUCUCCCAACAAAGUAAAAUCAUCCUAGUUUUACUUUAUGAAGCGUAUGGGUCUUGAUUCUUCGGUCACCACCGAAGACAACCAAAGGAUAAAAAAAGUCAAACAAGAUGAGGAGGAAUAAGAAAGAGGAAGAGCAAGUCAAAGAAACUAGCUUCACAAAUCUAUAUGAGAACUCCCUGUUCGAGGUGUUGAAACACGCGGACACCAGGACUUCGUUGCAGGCGGCCUUGCGUCAACAAGCUAUGGCACAAGACACUCAAAAUGAGCACCUUUGGAAGUUAAUUUGCACCCACCACUUCGCUAACGUUGGGUGCGCUACCCAACAGCUCAGAUCUGUAGUCCUGGCUCUUGGUGGCUCCCGUCGCCUUCACUCCCUCUAUCUCGGUGGCUCCCGUCGCUUUCUCUCUCUGCCAUUCUUUCUCUCACAGUCGAAACCAAAACUCAAAUCCCUAACUCCCCAGCCACAAAACCUCUCAUUUGCCUCAAAACAAAACAAAAUCAAUCUGUACUCCUCUCUGAUUAUUCGAAAGUUAGAAGCACCUUCAAUAGUUCUCUCUGAAAAGCCAUUCACCUUAAAUAGUUCUUUCUAAUUUUCUCUUAAUUUCGACUGUGAUUUUAUUGUUUCUAUAGCUGUAGUUUGAUUAAUUUUGAUAAAUUUUGCUUGAUUUGAUGGAAAGCAUGAUUUAUUACAUGUCUGCUUGAGAUAAGCCGGUUAGUAAUUUUUUUAAAAAUAAUUAUAUGUAAUAUUUGUUUUGAUUCGCAUAUCGUAAACACGAUGUUAUUGUCUACUAACUAAUUAUAGACUUCGAUUUACAUUCACCUAAAUAGGAUAUGAUUAUGUAUCCUUUUUUUUUUUUUUGGCUGUUUGCUGAUUGUGUUAUUUAUAGUGUUGUUAUUGGCGGUUUAUAUGGUGAGUAGGGCAGUAUUUUAAUUGAAACAAUUAAAGAUAUGGGGAAUUAUUAGGUAGAAAGUGGCUGCAGGAGGAGGUUCUUCUAUUUCAGUGUGCCUAAAUAGUAUUCAUUUUGCCCCCUUUUUUUUUUUACUGCUGACUAUUGUUCCUUGUGAAUGCGUUUCUAAUCCAGAGACUUCGCCCUGUGGUAUCCACUUUGAGAAACUACUCAUCUGCAACUAAACAGGUAAUUGUGCCUUUUAUAACUUAUUACUUGUAAUGCACUGAUUUUGGCUGUAUGAUGAUUGUAUUCUUCUAUAUGUAUAGGCUUUUAUUAUUAUUAUUAGUGAAUCAGCUGAAUGCUUAAGAAAUUCUAAUACUAAUAGUUAUGUUCUUCAUUAUACUUACUAUGUAUGGAUUUUGAUGCAUUUUAAGAAGAAUAUGAAAUUAAAUAUUUGACUGUAGGGACAACAAAUAUGUUCGAGCUUUUAUUAGUAUAAUAGUAUGUGAAUUAAAAAUAUUAUAAUUUGAACAAACUCCGAAGCUUUGAAACUAUGCACUUUCAUGUUGCUAUUUGUGACAGUGGAUUUUGAUUGCUCUUUGUUAGCGACUCGCUUUUACUUGUUUGAUAAUGUUUAUAAUUCGUCCAUCUCAUUAUACUUGAAAGUUGGUGAUUCUAUGUAAUUUAUAAAUCCAACCGGUAUCUUUUUAUUUAAAUCGGUAGGCCAGAAGCAAAGCAAUCUUUUUAUGCAUUGGCUGUAUUAGUAAAUCACAUAGAUAAAAUCACAGGGUUUAUAUUGUUAUUUAUUUCUUUUCUGUUUGCAGGAAAAUUCCAAGGGAUUUGACAGAGGCAUCACUAUCUGGUGCAGGAUUAUCCAUAAUAGCAGCCCUUUCUAUGUUGUUUUUAUUUGGAAUGGUAGGUUGCCGCUUGCAUAGUUGUGCCUCUUUUGUCGGAUAUCAUGGGUGCAUUUUGCAUAUUCAGUGUAUAUUAUCGUCCACCUGGAUUGUUUGUGUAACAUGAUGCUUUCAUGGAGUUCUAUUUGGCUUUUCAUUGUUUCUAGAACAGAUUAAAUUUAACAAAAACUAUUCGCAAUUUUUCUAUAGGACCUGAUUUAAGACCCACUGGUUCUGAAUUCCACUCAAUGCUUGUUAUACAUUCGCUUAAGCAUGGAGAGGAAGCUGAUGAUGAUUCUGUUGAAGGUUCUCAUACGCUACCUGCCAAUAAUUUUGAUAGUUAUUCACACGAGUAAGUGAGCCUUCUCUGAACCACAACUUAUAAUUUUUAUUUUCAAUUCUGUGAUCACAAUAUUUCUCUGCUAUGUGGCAAUUGCAAUGAUGCCUUCUUUGAUUUGUAU